rnacentral:lncRNA from 1 species
AGAUCACACACAUACAGUUCAAUUGCCAUGGAGCCAAAGUCUUUCCCAUAGUAUUUCAUUAUACGAAUGGGCUCCAUGGCAUAGCUAUCUGGGGUAUCACCGCUCAAACAGGGCAAGCACCGAAUGACCCGGCUUUCGUGUCUUUGCAGGGGAAAAUCAAGCGUUUCAACAUGGGGCCAUAGUCUAAAGGCAGCAGGCGGGCAACCAGGCUCCUCCAAUGCACAGUGGCGAGAUUGGUCUCGUCACACCUAGUAACUAGACAGCAUGGUCAACACAGACUUGUGGUUGUGCCUACCUUUUCUAUUUUGUAAAAGUGUGUUUAACAGUUCGCUGGGGAUGUUCUAAGUUUUUAAUCUAAUUUUAGCUUUUGGUUGGUGCUUCCCCGGAACCUAAUCAAGGACUUGUUUUGAUUCCAGUUCCUUGUUCUCCAUAUUUAGAUAUGCUUUCUAACAAGAUCUCGGGCCUUCCAGAAAGAUAUGUAUUUAUUUUGAGUCAAAGUUUAUUUAGGAAUUUUGUAGAAACAGGAUAAAUACCUAUUCUUUUAAAAAUAUCUCUUUCUGUCUAGUCAUCUUUUAUUUCACAAUAAAAAUGUUUUGCACCCAUGUAUAUAUGCCAGGUAUCUGUAUGAGAAUUUAUUUCCUUAAUUCCACAGUGGGGGUUGUAUUUCAUUAUAUUUCUGUAGUGCUGAGUAACCAGCAAAAAAGCAAGAAUGGCACUGCGAAUGCCGUAUAUAUAACUCCACUCUCCACAGAAUCCUUGGAAAGCAUAUUCACUCCCAUAACUCUGACUGCCAGGCCACUCAGCUAUCAAUAACAGGAUAGAAUGAAGGAUAGUGUGGGAAAAUGGGUAAAAUCAGAAAGCAUAAGAGGGCAAGGGUGGACAGAAGGUCACAAGUAGAAGAAAAAGGGGUUGAUGGAUAUAGAGAAUCAGGUGGAGUAAAAGUAGCACAUUGUUAUAUGGACAGAUACUCGCAAAUAGGGGGAAAUAGUAUAGGUGAAUGGGCAUGAGAGGGUAUGGGUAGAAGACACUAGUGAUGGAAUUGAUCGAUAGGCAAAGAGACUUAGUGAAAGCCUCAAGAGGAUAAAAUGGGGUCAAGACUGAGAUUAACAUGUAGGUGAAAGGGUUAUCAUCAGUGGGAGAAUGUCAAGUGAAUGCAUGUGAGGAAAGUGGUGUAGGCUGAGGGAUACAUUAAUCCAAAUGGGUGGAAAGGGUUAUAUGCAGAGGGAGGCUAAUGGGGGGAGUAGCAGUAUGGGAGAGGGAGACAAGUGGGGAAAUUGGGGAAAAUUCACUUACACACACCUACAUUCACACACAGUAACCCUCAAUACUAAUACAUCACUGCAUUCUCACACUGGCACUCCACAUAAUUUACAUCUGCAUUCAAAAAUGAACAUACAAACAUAUACAGGGAGUGCAGAAUUAUUAGGCAAAUGAGUAUUUUGACCACAUCAUCCUCUUUAUGCAUGUUGUCUUACUCCAAGCUGUAUAGGCUCGAAAGCCUACUACCAAUUAAGCAUAUUAGGUGAUGUGCAUCUCUGUAAUGAGAAGGGGUGUGGUCUAAUGACAUCAACACCCUAUAUCAGGUGUGCAUAAUUAUUAGGCAACUUCCUUUCCUUUGGCAAAAUGGGUCAAAAGAAGGACUUGACAGGCUCAGAAAAGUCAAAAAUAGUGAGAUAUCUUGCAGAGGGAUGCAGCACUCUUAAAAUUGCAAAGCUUCUGAAGCGUGAUCAUCGAACAAUCAAGCGUUUCAUUCAAAAUAGUCAACAGGGUCGCAAGAAGCGUGUGGAAAAACCAAGGCGCAAAAUAACUGCCCAUGAACUGAGAAAAGUCAAGCGUGCAGCUGCCACGAUGCCACUUGCCACCAGUUUGGCCAUAUUUCAGAGCUGCAACAUCACUGGAGUGCCCAAAAGCACAAGGUGUGCAAUACUCAGAGACAUGGCCAAGGUAAGAAAGGCUGAAAGACGACCACCACUGAACAAGACACACAAGCUGAAACGUCAAGACUGGGCCAAGAAAUAUCUCAAGACUGAUUUUUCUAAGGUUUUAUGGACUGAUGAAAUGAGAGUGAGUCUUGAUGGGCCAGAUGGAUGGGCCCGUGGCUGGAUUGGUAAAGGGCAGAGAGCUCCAGUCCGACUCAGACGCCAGCAAGGUGGAGGUGGAGUACUGGUUUGGGCUGGUAUCAUCAAAGAUGAGCUUGUGGGGCCUUUUCGGGUUGAGGAUGGAGUCAAGCUCAACUCCCAGUCCUACUGCCAGUUCCUGGAAGACACCUUCUUCAAGCAGUGGUACAGGAAGAAGUCUGCAUCCUUCAAGAAAAACAUGAUUUUCAUGCAGGACAAUGCUCCAUCACACGCGUCCAAGUACUCCACAGCGUGGCUGGCAAGAAAGGGUAUAAAAGAAGAAAAUCUAAUGACAUGGCCUCCUUGUUCACCUGAUCUGAACCCCAUUGAGAACCUGUGGUCCAUCAUCAAAUGUGAGAUUUACAAGGAGGGAAAACAGUACACCUCUCUGAACAGUGUCUGGGAGGCUGUGGUUGAUGCUGCACGCAAUGUUGAUGGUGAACAGAUCAAAACACUGACAGAAUCCAUGGAUGGCAGGCUUUUGAGUGUCCUUGCAAAGAAAGGUGGCUAUAUUGGUCACUGAUUUGUUUUUGUUUUGUUUUUGAAUGUCAGAAAUGUAUAUUUGUGAAUGUUGAGGUGUUAUAUUGGUUUCACUGGUAAUAAUAAAUAAUUGAAAUGGGUAUAUAUUUGUUUUUUGUUAAGUUGCCUAAUAAUUAUGCACAGUAAUAGUCACCUGCACACACAGAUAUCCCCCUAACAUAGCUAUAACUAAAAACAAACUAAAAACUACUUCCAAAAAUAUUCAGCUUUGAUAUUAAUGAGUUUUUUGGGUUCAUUGAGAACAUGGUUGUUGUUCAAUAAUAAAAUGAAUCCUCAAAAAUACAACUUGCCUAAUAAUUCUGCACUCCCUGUACACCCAUGCAUUUACACACGUACACACGUACACACGUACACACUAACACUCAACAUAAACAUACUUCUACAUUGACACACACUCAAGGUUAUUUACUAAUGGCCAAAUUGUAACUGAUUAAAAUCCAAAUGUAUGUGAAUAUACAUUCUUCCAGGCACUAAUCUGUCCAAUGUUCAUUGACAGAUUGGUGUCUGGCAUUAAACUGCAGCAAUGCAGGUGUUCUCUCUGGUAGAACAUUAAACACAUUAAGUUCUUCUACAAUCGUAUUAUGACCUAGUUUCUAAAAAUAUGUAUGAAAUGUAUCCAGUACAGUUAUCACUGCUAAGGCAAAUAUGGUAUAGUGCUGCUCAGUAUCACAAAUUCAAGAAAUACUGUGCUAGACGCAGAGAUUCAAUCGUUCUAAAUUGAAUAUAGGCAGAAUUUUGGCCAAUUGUGUGAUUGCAUGAAUUCCCAAACUCCAAGCCAAAAUGUAGCCAAAUCACAAUCCAAACAAAACGCGCAGUUUAUCUGAUUCAAUUUCUUGGAUGAGCCAAACUGCCAUAUGGGCACUAUUCUGCCGUACAGAAAAUAUAUUUUUUUUGGACAAAGUACUUUGCCCCCCAAAAAUGUAUUCAAUGUGUUAAAGGUUAUUUUGCAUAUAAGAACAGUGACUGCGUCACACCACACAAAAACAAAAGUUUUAGACUUUAGAAAAAGAAACAUUUCUAAAAUUAGAAUAUGUGUAGAGGAGUCAUUAUCACACUGGAGCAAUUUAAAUUGAGUCCAAGAGAAAUGGGAUUAUUUCAAAGUUGCACUACUGAAGUCAACAGAAAAUUGCAUUAGGCUUGUCAGUAAAAUAAAAACAAAUUCAAUAAACCACUGUGAUACUCCGCAGAUGUGGCCAAAAUAGUAAAAAACAAAAAGUUAGCAUUUAGUAGUUAUAAAAAAAAACAGAGUGAGGAAGACAGAAUGAUCUAUAAGAUUAGGCAGAAAGAGGCUAAGCAAGUUAUAAGAGCUUCCAAAUCACACACAGAAGAGAAAAUAGCACAGUCAGUAAAAAAGGGGGACAAAACUUUUUUUAGAUACAUAAAUGAGAAAAGAAAAGUAAAACAAGGAUUAGUUAGAUUAAAAAUAAAAAUAAAAGAAGGACUGUAUGAAGAAGAGGAUAAAGGUCUAGCUGACUGUCUCAAUUAAUAUUUUUGUUCGGUAUUUACAGAUGAAAAUGAAGGAAAGGCACCUCAGUUAAGAAAAAGGAUAAAUGAGUCAUUUAUUACACGUGAGUUUACAGAGGAAGAGGUUCUAUUUCAACUGUCAAAAGUAAAGACAAAUAAGUCAAUGGGACCUGAUGGAAUACACCCAAAGCUAUUAAAAGAGUUUAGUGGUGUACUAGCAAAACCAUUAACAGAUUUAUUUAACCAAUCAUUGUUAACAGGAGUAGUCCCAGAAGAUUGGAAGUUAGCGAAUGUUAUGCCCAUUCACAAGAAAGGUAAUAGGGAGGAGUCGGGCAACUAUAGGCCAGUAAGCCUUACUUCAGUAGUGGGGAAAGUGAUGGAAACCAUGUUAAAGAAUAGGAUUGUUGAACAUCUAAAAACACAUGGAUUUCAAGAUCAGAGACAACAUGUGUUUACUUCAGGGAGAUCAUGCCAAACUAAUCUUAUUAAUUUUUUUGAUUGGGUAACUAAAACUAUAGAUUAGGGUGGUGCGGUAGACAUUGCUUACCUAGAUUUCAGUAAGGCUUUUGACACUGUUGCAUAUAGAAGGCUUAUCAAUUAACUGCAAUCUUUAAGUUUGGAUUCCAAUAUUGUUGAAUGGGUAAGGCAGUGGCUGAGUGACAGGCAACAGAGGGUUGUAGUCAAUGGAGUAUAUUCGAAGCUUGAGCUUGUUACCAGUGGGGAACCUCAGGGAUCUGUACUUGGACCCAUUCUCUUUAAUAUUUUUAUUAGUGAUAUUGCAGAAGGUCUUGGUGGUAAGGUAUGUCUUUUUGCUGAUGAUACUAAGAUAUGUAACAGGGUUGAUGUUCCAGGAGGGAUAAGCCAAAUGGCAAAUGAUUUAGGUAAACUAGAAAAAUGGUCAGAGUUGUGGCAACUGACAUUUAAUGUGGAUAAGUGCAAGAUAAUGCAUCUUGGACGUAAAAACCCAAGGGCAGAGUACGGAAUAUUUGAUAGAGUCCUAACCUCAACAUCUGAGGAAAGUGAUUUAGGGGUGAUUAUUUCUGAUGACUUAAAGGUAGGCAGACAAUGUAAAAGAGCAGCAGGAAAUACUAGCAGAAUGCAUGGUUGUAUAGGGAGUAGAAAGAGGGAAGUGCUCAUGCCAUUGUACAGAACACUGGUGAGACCUCACUUGGAGUAUUGUACACAGUACUGGAGACUGUAUCUUCAGAAGGAUAUUGAUACCUUAGAGAGAGUUCAGAGAAGGGCUACUAAACUGGUUCAUGGAUUGCGGGAUAAAACUUACCAGGAAAGGUUAAAGGACCUUAACAUGUAUAGCUUAAAGGAAAGACGAGACAGGGGGGAUAUGAUAGAAACAUUAAAAUACAUAAAGGGAAUCAACACAGUAAAGAGGAGACUAUAUUUAAAAGAAGAAAAACUACCACAACAAGAGGACAUAGUCUUAAAUUAGAGGGGCAAAGGUUUAAAAAUAAUAUCAGGAAGUAUUACGUUACUGAGAGGGUAGUGGAUGCAUGGAAUAGCCUUCCAGCUGAAGUGGUAGAGGUUAACACAGUAAAGGAGUUUAAGCAUGCGUGGGAUAGGCAUAAGGCUAUCCUAACUAUAAGAUAAGGCCAGGGACUAAUGAAAGUAUUUAGAAAAUUGGGCAGAUUAGAUGGGCUGAAUGGUUCUUAUCUGCCGUCACAUUCUAUGUUUCUAUGUUUCUAUGUUACUGGAUGGAUAAUGCUGAAGUGGUUCUUCUGUAUUAUUUGAGCAGCAAUAGGAAGGCCAGACUUUGGGUAUUAGUGGGAACUUUUCUCAAAUUGUUUUGAACUGGUUUGAGAGAAAAUAAAAGCUUUCAGCACUAUGAACAGUACAAUUAACUGUAUUAUUUAUAGUUCUUAGAGUGCCCCUUUUUGGUAUUAGGGAUUUUUGUUUCAUAAGAAUGCAUUUAGAGUGAUAUCUGAUGCUGAAUUAGAAUUUUCAUUUUUUUCCAGUCCAGCACAAAUUAAAUAUUCUUAAAACAAAGAAUUAGAUGUAUAUUUUUGUAAUUCUUUAGACUAAUUUGCACAUUGUCUGUACUUAUGCAUGGAAAAGGAUGCUUACCAGAAAUUAAAAUGCCACAUUAAUUUGCAUUAAUAGGAAUCUUUUGCUGAAUAAGAUCUCUGUAAGAGAACAAGUUAUAUCUUAAUGCUCACUGCCUGACUGGUUGAUAUAAAUGGCUUCUUAAAUGGAAAUCACCACGCUUUAUCGCAUAACGAUUCAGCUUACAGUAUUUUUCAUAUUAUGCUUAAAUACUGACAUAAAUAAAUGGUAUAAGCAUUCCAAAGCACAGAGGAAUGCGAUAAUAUAUAAUGAUGUUCCUGCUACGAAUCCAGUUCCUUCUGUGCUAAUAGCAUUAUUGGCAUACAUGGCACUGUAAGCAGCAUAUACUAUAAAUCAAUAAAUGAUGCUGAUUACACAGCGUCUUCAAAAGGAAACAUUAUAGUAAAUAUGGAGAAAAUAAUGUAAUGGAAACAUUCUAUUAAUUAUGAUUGCUUUCACAUUAUUAGAUAACACCCAGGAUUAUUUGAUACUUAAAAAACAAACCAAAAACUGACACAACCAAUGACAUCUGUAAUACUGGCAUCCUUCAUUAUACAAUGUGUCAAAGGACCACUCAACAACCCAAAAAAUAAUUUUGGCUUGCUGAAGUGCAUCUUGGAUGAGGAGUAUCCUAUUUUAGGCCCACUUCAUAAAAGUGCAGGUUUUUUUUCUUGCUAUCAAUCAACAGCCAGGGAGGUUUGCUCCCUCCCUCCGUUAGCUCCUCUGAGCUCUACUUGAGCGCUCCUGCCUCAUUCCCCACAGACCACAGAUCAAUAUCUUUCAUUUCUCCAAACCUCAGAUAACAUGGCUCUCGCAUGAAUGCACCAAUUCAGAGACUUCUCAAUGAGAAACCUCUGGUUCGAUAUUUCCUCUAAAGUGACUUUUGCAAAGUCAUUUAAGAUAUACUUUAUUAUGUAUUUAUUCAAUGCAUCUCUAUGAGGAGAUGCUGAUUGGCGCAGCACAGCUUUUUCUCGCGCAUGCACAAUAGCCUCCCAAUGCUUUCCUAUGGGAUACCAUUGGAUUGGCUGAGAACUACAAAUUUGUUGAUCUCAGACAAGGAGGUGGAGAGGGUGUGGGGCCAGCCAUGAUGAUGUCCGUGUGGCGAUUGAAAUAAGGUAAGUUAUUCAACUUUUUAACAAGAGCCAAGGUGGCCAGGACCUAAAAUGGGUUUUUACACCAAUAGUGUCAGGAAAACAUGUUUGUUUGAAUUUUCUUUUGAUUCCUGGUAAUUGACUCUUUAGCCAGUGUAGCGGAACGCCAAUAAUAAAUCCACGAAUUCCGCUGGUUCAGGAAAUAAUCCACAGUCAAGCGCUGAAACACCAAGGCAAUAUCCCCAACCUCCCAGUAACCGGACGAGACACAGUUCUGAGAGUCAACUGAAAUCCUUUUAAUCGGCUGGACAAUUUAUACAAGUCCCCAUGCAAGGGGUUUCCUGAGUCCCUUCCCAGGGACACUCCCAGAGGGUACUACAUGGGGGACUUACAGUACAGCAUAUUUCUCCCAUCAGGCACUGCUGCACGAGAGGGAUCAUCUUCCCAGAAUGCACCGUUAAGUGGAUUAUCCCCUCGUGCAGCAGAACCGACAAUUUACACAAAAAUACAUAACUUGUUAAAUAUAUGGUGGAUUUACACGAAUGGACGUUCGGUAGAUAGCUGGGGUCUGAGCGCAUCAUUCGUGAGAUUACCGCUCAGAUCCCAGCUAAAAUAACCGAACGCCGCACGAAAAACACAUUUCUUCUAAAACAUACAAAAAGGACCGAUUGUUUUUAGUGAACAAGAUCCUGAAACUCCCGAACGUCCGGGAGGCUCAGCGGUGUUCGUGCUGUCGAAUAGCUAAUUGUAGUACUGUGCGUUCGACGACCUAGCACUGCUGAGGGAACACAGGAUCCAAGAUGGCCGACCGCCGCAUGGUCGGUAGCCGAACGACAGCCACCCAGGAGAGCCUCUGAUAACCGAUUGCAACAAUGUUGCAAUCGGUUAACUAGCGCCACACGCCUCUAAGUGUGUGGGCUAUUAGGGGGUAUCGCGUUCGAUUCACGAACGGCUCUCCCAAGUGCCGUUCGUGAAACGAAAGAAACCCCCAUACAAAACCGCCAUUUGCAUUCGGCAAAAAGGCAAUGCAAAACAUACAUACAGCAUACACAUGAAAUGAAGCACAUAUCUCUCUAGACAUACAGGCAACCCUUAAAGGCACAGUCUCUUUGUAUUGUCCAAGUGGCUAGGUUUGCCACAGCCAGAAAGCCAUUUCAUAUUAUCCUAUGGUUUGUAAGUACAUCUGUGCUUCUAUUUCUUUUCACCUUAGCAAUAUUUUUUUAUAUUUUCUUAUUGGGCAUUUUUGUGAAAUAUGGUGGCAUUAUAUCAAUAAUAAUGACAACAAUAAUAACAUUCGCAAAAUGGAAAAAAAUGCCAGUAAUAUAAUUGAGAUCCUUUUUUUUAAUUACAAUGUGAGCAUAUUUCAAUUAAUGUUUAUCAGGUAGAUUGUAAGCUUUACCUCACCUUCUGUCGACUGUCAUGUUGAUUUACCAUUAGGUGGUAAAAUUGCUAUAGAAGUCAGUAAAAUAUCACAUAUCUCUCUAGACAUACAGGCAACCCUUAAAGGCACAGUCUCUUUGUAUUGUCCAAGUGGCUAGGUUUGCCACAAUGCUCCCCCAGAACCAAGCCGGCAUACACAGUCUGAUCCCAACGGAUCGGCUUGGGGAUGUCCGGAGGAGUGCCCACAGAUCACUUCUCAAGGUCUGUUUGUCUGGAUAACCCGUCGGCGUUACCGUUUUGUUUCCCUGGGCGGUAAUGGAUCGUAAAGUCAAAAGGCUGCAGCGCCAAACUCCAGCGCAGCAGCCUGGCAUUGUCUCCAGCCACACGGUUUAGCCACACCAACGGGUUGUGAUCUGUGAGCAAGGAAAAGGGUUGCCCAUAGAGAUAUGGCUGUAACUUUUUCAGGGCCCACACCACGGCCAGGCAUUCUUUUUCUAUGGCGGCGUAGCUCACUUCUCGAGGUAACAGUUUGCGACUCAAAUAUGCUACGGGGUGUUCUCCGCCAUCGGCUCCGACUUGGCUUAAUACUGCUCCCAAUCCAAACAUGGAGGCGUCUGUGUGGACAAGAAAAUGUUUAGUUGGAUCGGGAGCAGCCAGUACAGGGGCAUUAGUCAGAGCCGUCUUCAGUGGGUUGAAUGCCUGUUCACGCUCUGGGGCCCAGAUGACCUGCCUGGGCAGGUUUUUCUUCGUCAAGUCCAUCAGGGGUUUGGCCAGGGCAAUGUAAUUGGGCACAAAUUUUCUGUAAUACCCUGCGGUACCGAGAAAAGCAAGGACUUGGGUUUUGGUCCUAGGGGUAGGCCACUGGGCUACAGCUUCAAUCUUUGCGGGCUCAGGCUUCUGCUGCCCGCUACCAACCCGGUGUCCUAAGUACUGGACCUCUGCCAUCCCUAUGUGGCAUUUGCUGGGUUUCAAGGUAAGCCCUGCCUCCCGGAUCUGAUCUAUUACAGCCCCUAUGUGCUGUAGGUGCUCCGACCAGGUCUGACUGUAGAUGGCAAUAUCGUCCAGGUAUGCACACGCAUAAUCCUGGAACCCGUCCAGUAGCCGAUCCACCAUCCGCUGAAAUGUCGCGGGGGCGUUCUUCAUCCCGAAUGGCAUGACUCGAAAUUGGUACAAGCCAAACGGGGUGACAAACGCCGACUUAGGGAUGGCGUCCUCGGCUAGUGGAAUUUGCCAGUAUCCCUUACACAGAUCUAUUGUAGUGAGAUACUGACCCCUGGCCAUCCUAUCAAGCAGUUCGUCUAUCCGAGGCAUCGGGUAGGCGUCCGACACGGUUUUGUCGUUCAACCUCCGGUAGUCCGCGCAGAACCGGGUGGUACCAUCUUUCUUGGGAACCAGGACUACCGGCGAGGCCCAGGGGCUAUCUGAAUGUUCGAUAACCCCCAACUGCAACAUCUCCUCAAUCUCUUUCCUCAUAUGUUCCCGCACGGAUUCAGGAAUCCGAUAUGGGGUUUGUCGCAUGGGAAGCUGUCCCGGGGUUUCUACUCGGUGAGUGGCUAGUGGCGUGUACCCAGGUAAGUUAGAAAAGGUGGCACUCUUUGUCGCUAUCAAUUCUUGCACCUGGGUACGCUCUUGAGGACUUAGCCGCUCCCCCAGCUGAACCCCCUGGGAGGGUUCCUUCUGCUCCUCCGGCUCUAAUAGAUCUGGGAGAGGCAAGUUCUCCUGAUCUUCUGAGGCGGGCGUACAGAUAGCUGCCACGUCCUCAUUUCGCUCGUGGUAGGGUUUGAGCAUGUUCACAUGGAGCAUGCGUCUCUUCCCUACUCCGGAGCAUGGGCCGAUCACAUAGGUGGUGUCGCAUCUCUGCUCCACCACCUGGUAUGGGCCCUGCCAGACGGCCUGCAGUUUGUCGGUGCGGACAGGUUUGAGGAUUAACACCUUCUGUCCCACUUGAAAACUACGGUCUCUGGCCCCCCUGUCAUACCAACGACGCUGCCGUUGCUGGGCGGCCUGGAGGUUUGUGCGUACUGCCUGGGUCAAUUCCUCCAGGCGAUCCCGGAACGCCAGCACGUAUGGUACAAUAGGGGUCCCAUCUGCGCUACUCUCCCCCUCCCAAUGCUCCCUAAUGAGAUCCAACGGUCCCCGGACGCGUCUCCCAAACAACAGUUCAAAUGGGGAGAAACCGGUAGACUCUUGGGGUACCUCUCUAUAAGCGAACAACAGAUGGGGAAGGAAUCGUUCCCAGUCCUUAUGGGUCUCUCCGAAUGUCCGGAGCAUCUGUUUUAGGGUACCGUUGAACCUCUCACAUAAUCCGUUGGACUGAGGGUGGUAUGCUGAGUUAAUGAUUGGCUUAAUGCCACAUAUCCUCCAUAACUGCUGAGUAACCUCAGCCAUGAAUUGAGUCCCCCUAUCGGAGACCAUUUCCUGUGGGAACCCUACUCGGGAGAAUAUUUUCAUCAAGGCUUCGGCUACGGUCUCAGCGUGGAUAUUGGUUAGGGCAAUCGCCUCGGGGUACCGGGUGGCGUAAUCCACCACGGUCAGGAUAUACCGUUUCCCAGAGGGGCUGGGUUUUGGUAGUGCCCCACUAUAUCUACCGCUACACGGCUGAACGGUUCCUCAAUUAUAGGUAGGGGACAUAGUUUUGCCUUGUGGCGAUCCCCUCUCUUGCCUACCCUCUGACACACAUCACAGGAGGUACAAUAUUGCCUCACGUCUUUAGAAAUCCCGGGCCAAAAGAAAGCGUGUGUUAAGCGAUACCGGGUCCGGGUCAUCCCUAAAUGGCCGGACAGAGGGAUGUCGUGGGCUAUUCUAAGUAACUCCUGCCUAUAUUUCUGGGGUACUACCAGCUGCUUGGUUUGGAGCGUCACAGAGUUGCCUAUUGCCCUUUCUGCCACCCGGUACAGUAACUUAUUUUCCCAAACGUACCAUUCUCCUUCCCGCCCCACCUGGUCCGUGUCUACCCUAUCUCGGUACACCUGCAGUGUGGGGUCUGUCUGAACUUCGGCCUCAAAAGUGGUUGGGGUGUCCCAGGUCAUGUCUGUCAAGGGGGGGUCAUGGUUUCUUACCUGAGCCUCAGAGUGUGCUGGUGGUGCCGUGGUGCGAGCCUGUUGCCGUGUAGUUACCGGGUGAGCCUCCUGUGAAGGAGCCUGGGGUAGAAAAGCGGAAGUCAUCUGGCCCAAGUCAUUCCCCAAAACAACAUCCGCCGGUAACUUCUUCAUUAUGGCCACUUCUACAACCCCCUCCCCAGCACCCCAGUUCAAAUGUACCUUGGCAGUAGGUAACCGGUACAUGGCUCCCCCUGCUACCCGGACAGCCACGGAUCCGCCAGUGUGGGCCGCAUCUGGAACUAAAUGUGGUGCCACUAGGGUCAAAGUGGCUCCCGAGUCCCUCAGCCCCUGAACUUCUUUCCCCCCCACAAACACAACUUGGCGGUGAUGUUGCCUGUUGUCAGUGGCUUGCACAGACAUCACUUCAUAUAGAACCCCCAAUGGUUCCUCGGUUUGCAGAAUUGCCAGCUCCGAUUGGUCAGGUUCCAUGUGGUAAAAAUGUGCCGCCGCCCUCGGAGCGGAGUUCUGCCGUACCUGGUUCCACGCCUGCCUGCUCCGAUUCUGAGUGCACUCUCGGGACAUAUGUCCCCACUGCCGGCAGGUAUGGCAUUGGAUGUUGGCUCUGCCAUUGUAGCGGGAUGGUGGUGGGGGGUUCCCUGGUGCGGGCCUGAAUGGGGUAGGGUUGGCAGGUGUUGGUAUGGUCGGGUGAUGUUGCACUGGCGGUCUCAGAGGGCCCCUGUGGGUGAGCCCAUGGUGUCUCCGGGCAUCAAAGUGUUCAUCUGCCAGUCGGGCGGCUGCUGUGAGGGUGAGCGGUUUUCUGUCCCUCACCCAUUCUUGUGCUUCUGGUGACAGGCCGUUAAAGAACUGCUCCAGCAGGAUGAGUUGGCGCAGUCCCUCUGUGGUGGUGGCUUGGCUUGCCUGAAUCCACCCUUGUGACGCUUGGUCCAGCUUAUGCGCCCACUCUGCGUGGGAAUCUCUUUCGGGCUUUUUCAAUCCCCGAAAUUUUCGUCGGUAUGCCUCUGGGGUUAUGGCAUACCUUUCUAGAAUCGCCCUUUUCACUUUAAAAUAGUCUUUGCUGUUCUCUCUGGGCACAGCGCGAUAAGCCUCUGCGGCUCGUCCUGCCAACUUGCCUGCCAGUAGGGGUACCCACAUUGCCUGCUCCAGCUCGUGUAGGUCGCAUAACCUCUCGAAAUCCUGAAGGUAUCCGUCUAUCUCAUCCUUCUCCUCGCAGAACGCUUUAAAUGCCUGGUAAGGUAUUUUCUGCUUUAUUGGAGUGCAGCAUGAGUUGGCGAUGGAUUCUGCCCUGGAUGGUGCCCCCUGAGGUUGCUGUGCCAUAAUGUAGUCCUGGACGUCUGCCAUCAGUACGGUCAAUAUGUCCAGGGUUACUGGCUGUGGUACAAAUUUCAACCGGGUUCUCAGUUCCCUCUGGUAUGGUGUUUCCUCCCUGGCAGGUGGGGGUGGACUGCUGUGCGCUUGGUCGCCCUCCAUCAGCUCUGCAAUCAGCACUGCUUUCGAUUUAUUGCUAGCGCUUUUCCCUCUAGCCUCCAGCAGUUCCUUUAGCGUCUGCCUCUUUAACGCCGUGUAAUCCGUCCCCAUUCACUGAUCGCUUUCGUCUGCUUGUUUCAUACGAAUUGCCUUUCCCUUUUCCGUUCGGUUGUUUCUUUCAUUCGAAUGCGCUGUAUUCGGCUGUAGAGUUGGAUCCCGUCGCUUGCCACCAAUUGUAGCGGAACGCCAAUAAUAAAUCCACGAAUUCCGCUGGUUCAGGAAAUAAUCCACAGUCAAGCGCUGAAACACCAAGGCAAUAUCCCCAACCUCCCAGUAACCGGACGAGACACAGUUCUGAGAGUCAACUGAAAUCCUUUUAAUCGGCUGGACAAUUUAUACAAGUCCCCAUGCAAGGGGUUUCCUGAGUCCCUUCCCAGGGGCACUCCCAGAGGGGACUACAUGGGGGACUUACAGUACAGCAUAUUUCUCCCAUCAGGCACUGCUGCACGAGAGGGAUCAUCUUCCCAGAAUGCACCGUUAAGUGGAUUAUCCCCUCGUGCAGCAGAACCGACAAUUUACACAAAAAUACAUAACUUGUUAAAUAUAUGGUGGAUUUACACGAAUGGACGUUCGGUAGAUAACUGGGGUCUGAGCGCAUCAUUCGUGAGAUUACCGCUCAGAUCCCAGCUAAAAUAACCGAAUGCCGCACGAAAAACACAUUUCUUCUAAAACAUACAAAAAGGACCGAUUGCUUUUAGUGAGCAAGAUCCUGAAACUCCCGAACGUCCGGGAGGCUCAGCGGUGUUCGUGCCGUCGAAUAGCUAAUUGUAGUACUGUGCGUUCGACGACCUAGCACUGCUGAGGGAACACAGGAUCCAAGAUGGCCGACCGCCGCAUGGUCGGUAGCCGAACGACAGCCACCCAGGAGAGCCUCUGAUAACCGAUUGCAACAAUGUUGCAAUCGGUUAACUAGCGCCACACGCCUCUAAGUGUGUGGGCUAUUAGGGGGUAUCGCGUUCGAUUCACGAACGGCUCUCCCAAGUGCCGUUCGUGAAACGAAAGAAACCCCCAUACAAAACCGCCAUUUGCAUUCGGCAAAAAGGCAAUGCAAAACAUACAUACAGCAUACACAUGAAAUGAAGCACAUAUCUCUCUAGACAUACAGGCAACCCUUAAAGGCACAGUCUCUUUGUAUUGUCCAAGUGGCUAGGUUUGCCACAGCCAGUAAGCCAUUUCAUAUUAUCCUAUGGUUUGUAAGUACAUCUGUGCUUCUAUUUCUUUUCACCUUAGCAAUAUUUUUUUAUAUUUUCUUAUUGGGCAUUUUUGUGAAAUAUGGUGGCAUUGUAUCAAUAAUAAUGACAACAAUAAUAACAUUCGCAAAAUGGAAAAAAAUGCCAGUAAUAUAAUUGAGAUCCUUUUUUUUAAAUUACAAUGUGAGCAUAUUUCAAUUAAUGUUUAUCAGGUAGAUUGUAAGCUUUACCUCACCUUCUGUCGACUGUCAUGUUGAUUUACCAUUAGGUGGUAAAAUUGCUAUAGAAGUCAGUAAAAUAAUCCAUGACAUUUACUAUCAUAUAUCAUGCUGUAAUUCAGUUUAGUUAGUGAAGUUAGAUUCCCAGUGUAAGUGCAGGUUUUGAAUGACACCAGAAAAAUGACUUGCAUAAGUGGGUAGUAAUAAAUGGAAAAAGCACCACUUGGUCCCUCUAUGCAACUAUAACUAUAGAAAAACUUUUACAAACAUAUAUUUUGUAUUUCCACAGAUGUAUAUUUACAUUAACCCUUUCAGUGUUAGAGCGGAGCGCAGUGAGCUUUUCUGCUGUUCUCCGCAGUAAUAGGGAAAUUAUAAUUAAUAAAUUAAUAGAUGCCGUAGUCUUGAAUUCAUUUUAAUUUCUAUUUUAGUGACAGAGGACAGCAGCACUUUGAGCUACAGUACUAAAACAGUCAAUUGGCAGACCCUAUACUUGGUCUCACAAGACAUAGCAUGUUAAAAGAAAAUAGGUUUUGUUACAUACAUGAGAAACUGAGAUGUCAAAAGACAUUGCAGAUUCUAUAGAAUUCUUUCUGGCCAUUUGGAACCUUUUAGCAAUUGGCAUCAUGGCAAAGUUACACCUGCUAGUAAACAUCAUUUUUGGAAAAAACUUUGUUUUGAUGCCCAAUAUUUCAGUGUCAAGCUAUUGUAAAUCAACCUGGUUAUAUUAUUUAGCGCUUACUUACUUUUUUAUUUCCCCAUUUAAUAAUGUAAAAGGCAGAAGAUAGUUUUGGUAAUAAUAAUGUGACUCAUGCAGCUCAAAUAUCAACAGAAGCGAUAAGCGAUACAUAUAGAAUCUAAUUUAUAAAAUGUAUGCCUCUAUAUCACCCUCUUUUUGUUAGAAGAUUUAGGAGAAUCCUCUAUGCUGAUGAUAAUAGUUGUAGUUAACCAACAGCUGACGGCUUACAGAUGCCAAAAUCUUCUAUAUUAGAUUGGCGCCACAUGUAAUAGGCUAUUUGUGAUGUCUUCCAUGUGACUUUGAUGCUUGGAAUUUUUUGGCAUGGUGCAGCUGUUGACAACCCAUUUUACAAUACUUUGAAGACUGACAUUUGCUACAUGGAAUUUGAAACACAGAAGAUUGGAAAAUAUAUAUUUGUUUACUUUUAGAAUUUGUAAUUACUAGACAUUUUUAAUGCAGGUUUAUAUUUCAUGCAUUUAGUGCCAUAAUUAGUUUUUCUCAUGUCCUCAUAUCUGUGCCAGGAUAAUGACAUCACUCACUAUGCAGAAUGCUUUCAAAUAACAGGCAGAUCAUAUAUAUAUAUAUAUAUAUAUUUGUGGUCGUGGCAAUAUAGCCGUAUAUGGAAACAUAGCAUAUAAUAACAUAUUAAUUACUUGGAAUUAGUCGGUUGUGGUGUGCCGAAACCGACAGAGGAGUAGGCCUGUAAAAGUGGGCCCACCUUAGAGGGUGUUUGUAAUAGAGGGAGUGGUGGGUGGGUUGACUCGCCAGACCAUUACGGUAAUGUGGGAGUGGAUUGGCAGCCUUUUAUAGGGAAACCAAGCCCCUCCCACAACUACAGGCCAAGCCUUUUAAUUUGUGGUCGUGGCAAUAUAGCCGUAUAUGGAAACAUAGCAUAUAAUAACAUAUUAAUUACUUGGAAUUAGUCGGUUGUGGUGUGCCGAAACCGACAGAGGAGUAGGCCUGUAAAAGUGGGCAAAAAUAAAUUAUCAUAAGACAUAAUACGUUGACCAAAAUCUUUAUUUAGAUAAGUCACAGAAAGCUAGUCUUAAUUCUUUAACAGGAUUGGGUAUGUAAAGAGUAUAAGCGGAAGAUUUCCAGCGUCCCAUUGUUUUAAUGAUGUGCGGAGGAAUGUGGUUAGCGGAAGCUGUAGAUGCUGCUCCGAUUCGAAAAGAAUGACCCGAAAAUUGACUAGGGUUCAAGCCGAGUCUAGUCAACAGCAGUCUUACAUAGAGCAUAAACUUUGCUGUAGUUAGAACGUUACCGUGCAGUUCUAGCAAAGGUUGUAAUGGUUGUUUGUGGAGUGAUAGUAGAUAAUUGUCAAAGUUUUGUACAGGGCACCAUUUGUUAUGAGUAGGGUACAAGGGGAUCGUAACGGUAUGACCUAUGGUGCUGGUUUUUGAGUGUUUUAGCAUGAGUAGGUAAUGGUCGUUCUGUUUCGCUAAGUCCAUAGUUCUUAGGUAAUCAGGGGACGUGAUAGUCCUAGUUGUGAAUUCGUUGGGACGGAGGAAUCCAUAAAAAGCAAGAUAUAUGGCUGAUUUAAUUACCGUGUUUGUCCUGGGCUCAAAAGGAGAGGAAUCUAACAAGUUGACUAGUGCAUGAAAUAUAUGGUUAUCAAUAGGUAGUCGUUUCCCGGGGAUAUGUGUAUCUAAUUUCUUAAUGCCUCUAAGAACUGUCUUGAUUUGAUAUGAGGACAGGAAACUCGUGGCGUUGGGUUGUUGAAUAAGCAUGUGGUGUUGAAUUCCCGUAAGGUAUAGUUUUAUAGUGUUAAAUGAUAGUUUAAGGUUGAUGUGGCAAAAAGAAGUGAAACCCAAUAUUGCUUCUAUCGUGAACAUAUCGUGAAUGUGAAAUUCAGUGAUGAAUUUUUUGAAUAUAUGAAAAGCUCUGUCGUAAGUGUUUCUAGUGUUUACAGAGAGUGCCAGGUGAGAAAUGUGACGUGCGUGAUUUAACAAAGCUUUUAAUCCAUUAUCAUGUCUGAAAAAAGUGGGGCUGGAGUUGCCCGUCUGGAGGCGGUGGGUAGUGUCGUGAAGAAUUCCUGAAAACGAAAUCGAGACAAGUGAUCAGCACUGAUGUUUGUGCACCCUGGAACGUGAAUACAUGUUAGAAAGAAUUGACAAGUGGCUGCUACCCAUGUGAGUCGUCUCAAUAGCCUCAUAAUUACCAGGGAUGAUGACCGGCCUUUAUUGACAAUAUGGCAAGUAGCCAUAUUAUCAGAAUAGCACCACACCGUGUGACCGGACCACUGGUGGCCCCAGGUAACGGCCGCAGCCACGAUGGGGUACAAUUCGAAUAAGGCUGAGGUCUCUGUGAAUUUUGUGAGUGAUUUGACCUCAGUUGGCCAUGGCCCCACGAGCCAUAGGUCACCCCAUAUGGCUGCAAACCCCGUGUUUGCUGCAGCAUCUGUCCAUAUUGUAGGUGAAGUGUCUGAGUGAGAUGGUAUAAACAUGGCACGCCCAUUCCAAGAAGUGAGGAAAAUCCUCCACAUGCUCAAAUCGGAUGUCGCAUGGUUGUCUAGUGAAAUGUAAGAUGUGUCUGAGGUGAAUUGUGGAAAUAGUGAUAGCAAAUGUGAAAUAAAUGAUCUCCCCUGGGGAAUGAUUCUCAUUGCAAAAUUAAGCGAUCCCAGCAAAGAUUGUAGGUCUUUCUUAGUGCACCGACCUUGCUGUAGGUAGUGGUCAAUACUUGCCAGGAUACGCUCAAUUUUCUCAUGAGGGAGGCUAGCCUGCAUGUGUACUGUGUCUAGUUGUAUCCCUAAAAAUUGCAUCUGGGUGGCAGGUCCCAGGGUCUUGUGUGGGGAGACUGGAACAGAAAGUGACUCAAAUAAUGCCAACAUGUGUUUUAAACUUGUGGGUGGACUGGUGUUGUUCUCAAUUGUGAGGAAAUCGUCUAAAUAGUGAAUCACAGAGGGACAUUUGUAAACAUUUAGCAACAACCAACAUAAAGCCUCUGCAAAUGUGUCGAAAAUACGCGGGCUGCUCUUUGAGCCAAAAGUGAGACGAGUGAAGAAAUAGUAUAACCCUUCCCAUUUAAUGCCGUGAAGGUGCCAAAGUGUAGGGUGCAUAGGCAGUAGUUUGAAGGCAUUCACUACAUCCAUUUUGCUUAACCAUGCCCCUGUGCCAGCUUUAAUGAUAGCCCCGAUGGCAUGGUCGAUAGUGGCGUAAUGUAGUGAAAACUCUUCAGAUGGUAUAAGUGAAUUUAGGCUAGGGACAGUGGAGGAAUGUGGUGCGGAUAAAUCAAUGAUCAGCCUGGGUUUAAGUGAGUUUUUCCCCGUGACAAUCCCAAUGGGAUUGGUUCUCCAAGAAUUGAAGGGUGGUGAAAGGAAUGGACCCAGCAAAAAACCUUGUUUCACCUCGGUUGUGAUAAGUUUAUGUACCAACUGUGGGUCAUCCCGUGUGGAAAGUAAGUUGUCACAUUCCAGUGUGCCUGUAGGUAAAUGUAUCAACCCUGUGUGAAAACCCUCCGAUAAUCCUGUUAUGAGAUAGUCGCUGAAAUGUCGUGAUGGGUGUAGACGUAGCAAAUCGGUGAAUAAGCUGAGGUUCACGCAUGUGAGAUAGGGUUUUGGGAAAGCUUUAUUUGGGCACAUUGUCUUGGAAUGAGCCCUGAAACAAUGUGAACAAACAUGCAUUAGUCUACAGGAACUAAAACCACAAUUACCAGCAUUAAAAUUGUUACAUACUUGGGAUUUCCCUAAGAAGACAAUAUCUCUUCCUAGUUUGUCUUUCAAACCUUUAUUUGAUCUUGGGGGGUUAGUUGCUGCUUGGUUUUGUUCCACCUCAGCCGUAUUAGGGCAGAAAUUUGUGCUGUGGGUUGCUGAUGAGCAUACUGCACAAGUUGGGGGCCUGAGGCCUGCAAAGUGCCUACAGAAUAGCUCAGUGUCCAACUUGCUCCAAUUGAUGUUUAAGUUGAACUGAGCCAGAGCUGCUGCCACUUUUGCAGAGAAGGAACGAUGGUACCACCGUAUUUGUGUCCCAGAUCCACCAACUUGUGCAUGUACGUAUCCAGCUCGGCUCUUUUCCCUGGGUAUACAGUGCAAUAUACAUCCCUAUAGAUGCCAAACCCUAAUACAAAUUCUGGGAUGUUCAAUUUUUUGUUUAGGCGAGGGUCUCUAGCUCUAAGGACUACGGAAACAUCCCCACAAGCAAAGGUCCUGUUCUCAAGGACAUCCUGGGAGGCAAUGAGCAAUGAAGCUAGGUUAACAUCCUUGCCCUCCAGAAUGUCCUUUUUAAGGUGAGCUGGGACCAUGUGUGAAGGAUCAAUAGAUUCUAUAUCAGCCGUAGCUGCCAGGGUAUUACCGGGUAAGGUAUUAGCAAGAGGCUGAGUGGUGACCGUUGCAUUUGUGGACUGAGUAACACUACCGGCCUCCAAUUUGUCCAGCCUGUCGCUGAUUGUCCCUAUGGAUGCCAUAAGGGACGUCAUCAUAGCAUGAAAUGCUGGCAUUUGCGAUCCGCUAGGGCCUUCCCCUGCCUCUGAGUUGUCAGUGGUAGUGUAUAAUAGCCUAUACAACUCCGCCUUCCUAGCUGUAGCCGGGAAAGGGAUGCAGCGUCUUCUUAGUUCAGCUGUAAAACGUGGUAUGGUCCACGAUCUAAGGGAUGCAGGGCUAUUCACAUCUGUACCCGGAACAGGGGUGGCAGGCCUAGCGGGUGUGCUAGGUAGUGAUAGCUCUUCAGGGAUAUCAGGCGUUAGUGACAUAACUGAAAUUAUAAAUAUAAAUAGUCAGUUGUAUAAAAUGUUUUGUGGGUGGGUACUGGUGGGCUAGCUAAAUACCAAGCGGUGAAACAAUUAAGCUACUUUUGAGCGUGACAGGUGAGACCCUGCUAGUUGCCAAGCGGCUUGAGAGGCACUAUCUAUGCGUGGGCCCGAGGGGAAGAUUGAGGCCACUGAACGUUGUGGCGGGGUGUAGGCCUCUCGGUGUCAUUUAAAGCAUAAGAAAGAUUGGAAGUGACAGGUGAGGCCCUCUCUGUAUAUUGAUGCGAGGCGGCUAGCUAUGAUUUGGCCCGAGGGACGUAUUACCUCCGAGUGUGAGGUUAGGGAUGUUGGCCUUGCAGGACCACUAGCUUAUGGAUUAAGACCAGAAAUAUUUUAACUAAUUGGGCCACCUAACCUAGGACCAGUACCCCUCAAUAUCUUAGGAAGUAUUGGGUUCUGGCGUAGUACCUGAAAGUGAGUCAGGCUGAUCUCUCAAUGACGUAAACUGUGAUAUUAUCGGGUAUUUGACCUGUAGGUACAAGAUGAUAAGUAAAUAUCUGAAAACUGGGGUGGUAGUUAGGCCAGAUCGUGGACCAGAACCUACCCGAUAACUGCGGAGGAGAUAUAACCAAAAGAAACCGGCUCCUUGCUUGUAAAAGCUACCGUUCUAAUGAUUAAACCUAGGAGAGUAAAUUGUAAAUUUUACCUAAAAUCAUAUGUUUAUAUGGUCAUUUAUAUGAAUAAUAUGACGAUGUUACCAACCUAUAAAGUAUAAAUGAUACCGAUCACUGGGUCCCCAAAAUUUAAUAUGAAUUAUGGUAAGGAAACCUGUUGGAAGAUGUCAGAAAUCAGGAUUGAAUUAAGUGUAGCAUAAUUUAAAAGUAUUUUUUUUUUUUUUAUGGUGCUAUAUCAUUAUUGACCGGUAGGGGGCGAGAUUCCACCUAAGAAGUGGAUGCAGGAUCUUGUAUAAUUAGUGAGAAAUGCACGAAUUUAAGUCGAAUGUGAUGACAGUAUAUCAUGAAUACCUUGUAUGGCAUAAAUCCUAAGUAUCUAGCCGAAUACAGCGUUCGUAUGAAUGCUAAAACAUGAAUUACAUAGCUUAGCGGCGAAGUGUAUUUAGACGAAAAAGUACCGAACACGGGUGAAUGCGAAUGGGGCUCCGCCGUGUAAGCCGUAAAUACGAAGCGAUUUGCUUUACGGCGGGCCCAACUUACGUUUUUUGGCGGCAGCAGUACCGGGGAAGCUGUGCGGACGACGGUGGCGGCGGGAAAAGAGCCCUGGAGAGCCUGGACCACACAGGAGGGCACCGGACCAGGAGACCACGAGGAAACAGGUAAGAGGAAUCCAAGAUGGCGGUCUGAACCGGAAGUAACGUUUCAGACUCGCCAGACCAUUACGGUAAUGUGGGAGUGGAUUGGCAGCCCUUUUAUAGGGAAACCAAGCCCCUCCCACAACUACAGGCCAAGCCUUUUAAUAUAUAUAUAUGUAUAUGUAUAUAUAUAUAUAUAUAUAUAUAUAUUUGUUCAUAUUUAAAAAGGAGGUGGAGGUGCUACCCCAUCCCCUAACCCUUACACUAGCCCUAACUUACAAUAACUCUAACCCUAGGCCUAGUCCUUAACACUAUCAGUAAUACUAACCCAAAUUGUUCUGGAGCAAUUACCUCAACCCCCAAAAUAUCAUAUAAAAUAAAAGAUAUAUGUAUUAAGGGAAAUAAUGCAAUGUUUGGGUUCUGGGGGCAUUAACAAGUGUCACAAACAUACCUUUACCCGGCCCCCGCGCCACUCCACUCACUCCUCUCCUCCGCAUGGCCUUAGUCCUCAGGCCACGCGGUCGGAAUGCUCCACGUGGCCGCGAUGCCUGAAUAUAAUACAUACCUUCGAUCCCACGAAUGGCUCCCUCUGCUGGUUCGCGGGACGGAAAUGAAAGAAAUAGCUAUGAUGUCAUUACCUUAAAGGGACCACAUCAUCUAGGCAACCCAAUGCUGUUUGGGGUUGCAGAAAUGGCAUGGAAAAAAUGGGAACUCUUCUGAUCCUAUUUAAGGCUUGUUUUAGUCUCCAUUCUUUGCCCUAUCAUGGUUUCUGUUUGGAUCCCCUUGUGAAUUCCUGUGUUUGACCUCGGCUUCAUAUUUGACUUGUUAUUUCUGAUAUCCUGACCCUGGCUUUGUAUUUGACUCAUGAUUUCUGGUAUCCAGACCACAGCUUUGUAUUUGACUCGUGAUUUCUGGUAUCCUGACCACGGCUUUGCCUUGACUCGUGAUUUCUGGUAUCCAGACCACUGCUUUGUAUUUGACUCAUGAAUUCUGAUACCCUGACCCCUGCUUUGUCUUGACUCUGAGUAUUUCACUUAUUCCUGUCCUUAAUCUAUCUGAAUCCUGAUUCUUUUUCUAUUAAUACGUUAAGUCCAGCCAUGCUAAGGCUCAGUAAUACGCUUUUCUGAUCCACCUUUUGUGGGUUUCCUCUUUCCUGUGUGUUGGGGACACGACUCUCGUGACAACAAGCCCUUUUGACAUUCAGUCUCAUGGUUUAUAAUACUUACUCUUCAGUCUCAUGAUUUAUUGUGGUCAAUACCUGUAACGCCGCCCACAGGUCACGCUUACCUCUAGCAUGUUCCCACAUGGUUGGGGUCCUUCCUCCCCCGAGCCAAUAAAGUAGAUCAAAUCUUGUCUGUCGCUCACAAAUCUGACUUCAUCUUCAUAAACUAUUGUGGGAAUUAUACAUUCCCAUCUGGUUGUAUAUAAAUGAGCUAUUAUGUUAAUGUAUGUAUUUAACAUAGAGAUGGAUUAAGGUUUUGGCACUUAUUUGGGGGUUCCAAGAUUUUGUGGAGGCUCCCCACGUAUGCUUUUAGCAUCUCCUUAGGUAUUUCCCCAGUACUUAUAAUAUGGUUAAAAAUGUAUUCUAAUUUGGGGGCUAGACUGUGGACAAAUUGUUUGUAAUAAAAGUUUGUGAAGUCAUCUGGGUCUGGGGAUUUACCCGAUGGCAAGGAGUCAAUGAUUUGUACAAUUUCAUGUGUAGUACCUUGUGCCUGAAGAGUAUCUCUUUGAUCCUGUGUGUAGGCAGGCAAUAUGGUAAGUUGUAAAAAUUGCUUAAUUUGUUCUAGGAUCAGUUGAUGUACUGUACCAUCCUCCUGUAGGUUAUACAGGGAGUGACAAUACGUUUGCUGAUGAUACUAAGAUAUGUAACAGGGUUGAUGUUCCAGGAGGGAUAAGCCAAAUGACAAAUGAUUUAGGUAAACUAGAAAAAUGGUCAGAAUUGUGGCAACUGACAUUUAAUGUGGAUAAGUGCAAGAUAAUGCAUCUUGGACGUAAAAACCCAAGGGAAGAGUACAGAAUAUUUGAUAGAGUUCUAACCUCAACAUAUGAGGAAAGGGAUUUAGGGGUGAUUAUUUCUGAUGACUUAAAGGUAGGCAGACAAUGUAAUAGAGCAGCAGGAAAUACUAGCAGAAUGCUUGGUUGUAUAGGAGAGGUAUUAGCAGUAGAAAGAGGGAAGUGCUCAUGCCAUUGUACAGAACACUGGUGAGACCUCACUUGGAGUAUUGUACACAGUACUGGAGACCGUAUCUUCAGAAGGAUAUUGAUACCUUAGAGAGGGUUCAGAGAAGGGCUACAAACUGGUUCAUGGAUUUUGGGAUAAAACUUACCAGGAAAGGUUAAAGGAUCUUAACAUGUAUAGCUUGGAGGAAAGACGAGACAGGGGGGAUAUGAUAGAAACAUUUAAAUAUAUAAAGGGAUUCAACACAGUAAAGGAGGAGACUAUAUUUAAAAGAAGAAAAACUACCACAACAAGAGGACAUAGUCUAAAUUAGAGGGACAAAGGUUUAAAAAUAAUAUCAGGAAGUAUUACUUUACUGAGAGGGUAGUGGAUGCAUGGAAUAGCCUUCCAGCUGAAGUGGUAGAGGUUAACACAGUAAAGGAGUUUAAGCACGCGUGGGAUAGGCAUAAGGCUAUCCUAACUAUAAGAUAAGGCUAGGGACUAAUGAAAGUAUUUAGAAAAUUGGGCAGACUAGAUGGGCCGAAUGGUUCUUAUCUGCCGUCACAUUCUAUGUUUCUAUGUUUCUAUGUUUCUAGCCAUUUCAUUUAUAUCCUGGGGGUUAAGUAAUUUGUUGCAAGUGUUUGCAAAUAACUAUGGAAUUUUAGAUUAGGAUUGUUGAUUGUUGUUUGGGAUUGUUUCUGCCUUAACAUGGCAGGGAGAGUCUUUCCCACUUGACUUGGAAAUACAUUUUAAAUGUUUGUUUUUGAAGUAUUGAGGCGGUCUUAGAGAGUAACAAGUCAUUAAGUUUUUUCGUGUUUUGGUUGAUAUCAUCUUGGUGUAUUAGGGAUAGGUCAAGGAAGUGAGCAAUCGUAGCAUCCCUGAGUGCUCUUAGCAGUGUUAGGUACUCUUUUUGAAAAGUGUGCUUUUGGUAAGAGGUCAGACGAAUAAUGGGGCCCCUUACUACUGCUUUGUGUGCCUGCCAGGUAGUUAAUGGGGAGAUCUCAGGUGUUGAAUUGAGGUAAAACGGUCGAAUGCGGUUAGCAAGUUUAGGCCUUGAAUUGUUUAUUCCGUAAAAGUGAAUCAUUAAGACGCCAGGGUGUGUGUUGUAUGUUGUCCUGUAACAUUAAUGUCACAGAGGCAUGGUCAGACCACAGAAUAUCACCUAAUAUACACCUCACAAUGUACCAGACACCAGGAAUACAUCAAUGCAUGAGUGGGUUUAUGUACAUGGGAGUAAUCGGAGUAUCUACGUUCACUAAGGUGGAAUGUAUGCCAUGCAUCAUACAAUCCAAACUCAUUGAUCAGUUUUGUAAUUGCUUUACAGGUGUUUUUAAGCAAUUUGUGUCAAGAGGAGGAGGCAGGGAUUGUGGUAUCUACAUGAGAGUAAUAGAGUAAUACACAGUCCCAGUUGCUUUGUUUCCAAAGUUUUUCUCCACCUUGUCGAGCAUGAUUAUGACAAUAAUAUGACAAUGUGGAAGCAUGAACUCAGAACGGAAGGAACACAGGUGUCCGACACAGCCAGGUAAGAGUAAUAUUGUUCAUAAACAGUUUGAUAAAUUACCAGUGUAGUGCUUAGAGGCUCCUAGCACUAUCAUCACCACAAUGUAUUGGACAUGGUGCCUAGGGUGUCCCUUUAAAAAAAAUAUUUAUCUCACUUUGAUUAAUAGUCUUGUACAUGAUAAAUAUACAUAAAAAAAACUUUUUAUGAAAAGAUAAAGCUUGCCCAUGGUGCAUUUGGUGACACUAGCCAUUGUUGAGGAAAAAUAUAUAACCCCUUACUUUUUGGUUACAGUUCAAAUUCAUCUUAAGUAUAUAGCAAUCAAAAAACACUCAAGGGUCAGACAAUAAUCUAGAUUGACUCUCUGCAAUACCAUCUUCCAUUAAACUACUUUAAGGAUGCUAUAAAUGUUUUCUUCUAUUUAUAUAGUAAAAUUCAAAUCACAGAAAGUGCAUGUGUCUGGAUUGACAGGAAGAUAUAAACUCUUGAGAAAUUUAUUGUAUUGAUGCCUUUUCAAAAAUGCCCAAACUCAAAUACACUUUUGUCUAUUUUAUAUAGUCUGUUAAAGAUAUAUCAGUUUGAGCUAGUAAACCUAAAAUUACUAAAAUAUUAUAAACCAUAAGGAUUAUUUGUUAAAGUAUGAAUUCAAAGUGGAAUGCAUACCUGACUUAGAGAGUUUUUCCAUUUCAACUAUUUUGACCUUAAAUUUAAAAUUGACUUUAAACUAACUUUGAAUUCACUUUGAAUUCUUACUUUAGUGUGUAACCCUGUAUAACUUAAUUUCAUUCAUUCACAUUAGUUCUGGAUAUUGAUCAUUUCCCACAACUCAUAUUCCAGAGGUAGACUGGUGUCCGUUCAAGGGGUCCCUCUAUCUACACAAUCUUGGGGCUGUUGUUUAAUCUUGAUGACCUUGGGAACUACCGUUUAUUUUUCUUUGUAAAUCACCCAAAAAUCAUAUGCCACAUUUUUUUUUUUUUUAUAAUUCUUUAUUUCAGUUGUGCAUGUAAAUAUAUUCCAGCAUUUUCCGCCACAGCAGCAUCAAAAGAAGCAUCGUAAUAAAAUACAGUGGCAUGAGCGACAGCACAAUUUUUGGGUAUAACAGGUUAAACUGACAUGUCCAUAUCUGUGUUAGUUGUGAGUGGAUAAUUAGAUAGAAAUCCUGUGACAUGUGGGUAGUUUACAAGUUUAAAUAGGGAAGUAAAAUAGUAAAACAGGCUAAUGCAUAUUCUGCUGGUAUGUCUAAAAAAGUUGCUUAGUCUGAUCCUUUGUUUAAGACUGGUUAGACAUUACUAAAACCUAAAUACUAGGGCAUGAAUAUAAGAAACAUAUCGUAGGUUGAAGGGCAUAUGGAUUGAUACUGUGUGAAGAGGCCCGUUGAGUGCUCACUGCCUAGCCUAUUCCCUGCAUGGGUUUAGCAUUGCACCACAGGUUGGCAACCUGGUCAUGGGUCCCAAGCUUUCUCGUGGAGGAGUUAUCCCCCUUAGAUAGAUGUUCACUACUAGGUGCUGCUGUGUCUUCUUCAGAAGGUGGCUGGGCGGCAGGUGAGUGCAACGCACAGCUACUUUGUUACAGGUGGUGUGGGACUGGCUCUAAACCGACCUCCUCCGGCUACUUCGUUUCUUUGAGAACUUUCUCCGGUUAGUGCCCUCUGGCAAGUACCUCUGCUUGGGGUAUGAGGAUUAUCCAUCCACUUGAGUGGACGUUGCAUUGUAGGCAUCAUUAGUUUCCUCCACAGCACGUGGGGUAGUGGGUAGGCCUUUCGGCGGGUCAUGCUGGAUGAGCGUCAAGGAGUAUGAUGUAAGUCAGGUGAUGGGCUUGCGGUCCUUGGCUUCUCUACAGGUAGUCUGCCCUCCAGCUUCAUCCAUAACUCUGUAAAUAGCCUGUCGACCCAGACUUCGAUUGGCUCCAGCAGGCCUUGUGUGGUGGAGGCAAGCAUGGUGUCAGCCAUCUUGUCUGACACUGCACAGUAUGCAGCUCAUUGUCGGGUAGCCUCUCUGCCGCAAGGUAGAAGGCAGCAGGUCAGUGGGUAAAUGCUGGGAUAUCCCUCACCGGCACGGGGGGGGACGGGAACACCUACCACCUCUAGGUGCUCCAGUGAUGAUAUCCGUGGGGAAAUCGUCCGUUUCCCCCAGUAGCCGCGGAUAGGCCGCAAAGAGGCUUCGGGUUUAGACCGCCAAUCCAUCCAUGUAUCACAACAAAAUGCAACAGAGGGAUAUGCAGAGUGGUCCCUGCAUUCAUAUGUUCAAGAUUGCUCCCGAUUAUAGCCGAUUAUAAUUAUUUUUCAGUGUUUAUGCAUGGAGCUCACACCAAGUGCUUCCAUUCUGCUUGGCAGUCAGGCCCCGCCCUCCCAUAUGUUACAUUUCAUUUAUUUGUCCUAGCAUUAUACAUAUAGUGGAGAAUGAUAUAAAACUCUACCCAGUAGCCAUAUAUUGUUUAUGAAAGAUAUGGGGAACAUCCAAGAAUGUAGUGUGAUUUAUGUAUUUAUUUAAUUAAUUGAUUUUUUACAGCCUUCAAGAGCUUAAGGUUAUAGCAUUACAUUGCUGCGAUGUCUUGUGGAACUGACAGAGUUAAUUUGCAAGGUUUGUUCUGUAUACAGAGGGAGAUUGAAGGUUUGCUAGAGGGUUAUCACUGAAAUUAGGCUUUUAUUUUUCUCAGAUAAGGGAUCCCACGAUAAUAAAAGUAAUAAUAUUUAUGGCUGAGGGUGUGCUUGUAUAUUUUGUGACAUGGUUCAAAGUGUGCCCACAUGUUUUUGCAUGUCUCAGUUUAAUAUUUUUGAAAAAGAUUUUCAAAUUAUUUAAUAUUUUUGGAUGCACUUUUCAAAUAAUUUUUUUUCACCAUAUUAAAAUAUAAAAUAAUAUAUAAUAUAUCAAAAAGAUACAUACAAAAAUAUGAAAAUAUUAAAACAUUUAAAUAUUUUUUCAUGAUAUUAAAUAAUUUAAAAAGUUUAUACUAGAAAUAUUAAAGCAUUUUAAAAGCUUAUCCAAAAAUAUGAAAUUGAUAAGUACAUCUGAGUAUUGUCAGAUUUCACACUUAAAAAUUUAAAGUAACCAUGAAAUCUAAAAACUUUGCUGUCAUUAACGGUCCGCGCACACCCCUAGGGAAUGACCAAACAAGAAAAACCUUUUCACAAAAAAUCACACUUUCAACUAUUAAAAAAAAUCACAUUUAUUUUUAGAAACUGUAUUACAACACACCCCAUUGUCAUUGAAACAAUGUUAGCAAAGAAACAAAAAAACUACUAUUACCCCAUUGGCAUCUUGUUCCUUUGGAAAGUCAUGGCAGAUUUGACUGGCAUCAGCCUCAAGUUCUAUACCAUUUUGUUACCUCCAAGGCUCCAAAUUGCCCUAGGCAGUGAUGAGUCCUUAUACCUUGAAAAACUAUUUACGUAUGAAACUAUGCUUAGCUCAGGACCAAGUAAGGUUACAAACUACUCUGCUGUGUUGUGCUGUGCUAACACCAAACCUUUUCAAUGUAUGUUCUUGAACUACAUGUGUAGUGACACCAUAAGGUGGGCGGAGCCAUUGUUAGCCGUGAGACACAUACAAACAGCACGAGAGACGGAGCUCGUUAAUACCAAAGGCAUUGCCCGGAGACAACACUACCCGGAUACUAAUACAAAAAGAUAAGUCCUGCGCUCACUCCCUUCACUACUGGUCCGGCAGCAAUGACUACAGUACACAUCAGCCCCAAUAUAUAGUAAAAACCAAAGAAAAGAAAAAGUUACCUGCACUCUCUCCUUAAUACCUAUGUAUAUUUAGACAAAACCUCCAUAUACAUAGGGAUUAAGGAGAGAGCACAGGUAACUUUUUCUUUUCUUUGGUUUUUACUACCCGGAUAUUGCCCGGAGAUAACAGAUUGUCAUCGAUAUCACCAUAGUUGACCGUCUGAAGGCUAUAUACCGCAUAUGCUCACCACCUAUCUCUAGUAAGGAGCUGUGAUAUUCAUCUCAAUGUGCAAUAUAACACUAGCUUAUUACUAUAUUUCUUUUUAAAUUGUGUUAAAUACAUUUUAUUUUUUAUCCUUCAUCUUUGGACUUUUCUAUAUUAUUGCCAUUAUUUGGUAAUAUAUUAUUUAUGUAUAACAAUAUCACACUAUUGUGCAAUUUUCUCUCUUGUUUUAUAUUCUGAUGGAUACCUAAAGUCAAAAUAACAGUCUAAGUAUAUUUGUUUGUGCUCCACUUUUUUCAACUUAUACUUGUAUAAUGUAUGCUCAUACUUUGGCAUAGGACCAUCUGUUGUUUCUUAUAGCCCAUCUUAAUUUAGACUAUUGCACUAGCACUUUCAAACUAGCCUACUCACAUGUUAAUUCAUCUAUAUCCUGUUUCUAAUACUCCAUUCUAUAACCUUUAUAGUCUUACGAUGUCUUAGUAUACUGUAAAAUUAAACCAGUAUUAAAAAAAUAUGUGAGCUAAAUAUUUAAAUUACAUAUAUCAGCAGUAGAGUGUGGAUUUGGUAUUGCUACCUCACUCAACCCCAUGAAUACUAAAUACUGUCAGACAGUAUAUAUGCCAUGUGGGUCUACAUGGAAAAUGUAUUUAUAUCUUUCAAAAAAUAAGUAAUGUGAAACUAUAUACAUAAUUUGAUAUCAAAAUUGUUUAUAUUUUUUUUUUUUUGCAUAUGGAAGCAGCAAUCCUUGCCCCAGCCUUGAACAUGAGUAUACAAUAAUAUAAUGCUGUUUGUGAAACAGUCAUUACUGUUAAGAAUUAUGUUUAAUGGAUUUGAUUGCAAAAUACAUUUCAAAAAAGAUUUCUUCAUCGUUUAAGAGUCUGUGAAUUGAAGAAAUAUAAAUUUUCGCACAUAGUUAAGAGUUAAGAACUAUUCCUAGAUACAGUUUCCCAAACUUAUUAGUGUCAGCCUUUUGGUACGAGGUUAUAUUUAUGCCUGCGGCUCAAUUAGUUCUUAUUAACAGUUCUGCAAGUGCCUCAGUAAGUGUUAGUAGCAGCUCAUUAAAAUUACUCUGAAAAGUUGUACUGCGAAUGACAUAUAAUGAAGCUACUCCAGAUCCAUUGUUUACCCUCAGACCUUAUUCUAUUUUUAUAAAUUUCCUGCCCUUUAAAUCAAUGUUCUUUUUCUUCUUCCAAUACAUUGGUUUUGUUUUGCUUGGUCAAUAUCUGUUAUACUCAAUAAUUUCUUUUGUUUUUCAUAUUCAAACCCAGACAUAUUUUUAUAUUUCCCAUCAUCUACCAUGUUGAUAUUGUUUCACCAUCCAAAACCAUUAUCCAAGUAAUUUUUCUUCCUGACAUGUUCUCUCAUGCAAUCCAGUAAUUCAAAAUACUAACGACAUUGCUUACACUUUAAUGGCCAUUGGGGUGAUACUAAAAAACUCUAGCUAUAAAAUAUAUGCAUAGAGAUUUUGGAUAAUGUGCAGGUAACUUCUUUUUAUUUUUUUAUACUAUAUAUUGGAACUGAUAAGUACUACAGUUAUUGCUGCAGACCAGGAAUGCUAGGAGUUUGAGUGCAGGAAUUAAUAUUGUUUGUUUGUAUUUGCCUUUGUUUUACACGGCCACUCCACAUGUAUGCUAUUAAAAUACAAUAAGUUUGUAGGGGUUUAGAAAAGUACUAAUUUUUGCCUUUUAGCUGAAUCAUUUGUGUUGGAUAAGUGGUUUGCCUUAAUGUGCCAGGUGAGCUUACUGUUAAAUAGUCAUUGGAGCGAUACUAAAAAAAAACCUCUUGUUAUUUAAAGGUGCAUAGGGCUUUGGGUUAGAAUAGUCAAAUGUAGCCAAAGUCAGAACCAAGAGAUAUACACAACUAUAACACGCUAUUUGGACUAUUCUGAACCACAAUAGGGCAAUGAGACAUGUCCUGAACUCCCAUGGCCUUUAAUUUGUAGCCACGCCCCCAAAAUGUUCUAAUUGGAACGCUUUGGCAGGCCAUGACAUCAUUAGCACAUGUGCCAUGUCAUAAUAUGGGGCGGGACUAUCGCAGCUGUCGCAAGAACCUCUGGAAAAACAAGUGUGUGAUAGUGUGUGCCAACACAUAAGGUUCCCUGACAGCUUUGCUUUCUGUCGACUUGGCCCUAGAUUUUUAUCUUAUUGUGAUCUCCCCAUCCCCCCCCCCACCACCACCACCACAUUUUCCCUUUUAAAGUUUUAUAACGUACCUAUACAAUAUUUGUUUUAGCAAAAGUAAUCAGAUAGGAUUAUGUUUGCAUUGUAGGUUAGUAGCAUCAUCGGAGGCCAGUGUAUGCUAUUUGAUUUUCAUUAUAGGAUAGUUAUAGGUUCUUUAACCCCAUGCUGGAUGUAAGACUUAAAAGUCUAAAUAGAAACACACAUGCUGAUCAUCCCAGAGCCAAACCACAUAGGCUCUAAAUAAGGCAAGCAUGUUAUAUACUCGCACAUGAUCUAUUUCUUUUUGUACUGUACUUCACUAGAAGUUGCUGCUUCUGUUAUUUUCUGUUUUCUUUUGACCACAUCUGGAAGAGGUCAGUGUCCCCUAAAAACAAAUAUGGGUGAUUUGAGCCUGUUGAGCCCAUAUCUGCUAUAUUCAAUUUGAGUGUAUAAUAUAUAUAUAUACCUUUACACACACAAAGGUACUUAAUAUACUACACUAUAAACCUCUCAUUUUGUCUAGCUUUUUCUGCAUUUCACAUUCCUUAUUGUAUAAGGACAAGUGUUUUAUUUGUAAACGCUCCACUUAUGUGCACUGGUGGUAGCAAUAACCACUCAGUUCAUAUUUUGUACAUUUAUAGGAUAUUCAUUUAAACUCUGUAAAUUUAUACAGGCAUUUUCUAACUCUUCUUGUACUCACUCUGAUUUCCUACCUUAACCCCCCCUAAAAUUACAGAAUCUCAGGAUCUUCUAAAUAACUCUUCUACCUAUCUCUUUAUUUUCUGGAUCUUUUUUUUUUCUCAUUUCAGACUUAUAACAGCCCUGCAUACGUUUAUUAUUACUUAACUACUUCAGGCCUUGAUAUGUUGUCAUCAUCAAUUCAUCUUGUAAAUCGUAUUAGUCUUACUGUCCGUCCGACCCUACUCCAUGUUAAAACUUUAUAUUGGUUCCUAUCAAUUUUAUUCUUCUGGUCUUGGAGAGAGCGUGAGCCUCUUGUUUCUUGUGUAGUAUUCGCUGUUUUAUUAUUCUAUUUGUUGCCCGGUUUAGUUUUUUUUUUUCUUUCUUCCCACUUCAUCAUCUUUAUGAAGAGUGGUGAAAGCCUAGUGUGUCAUCCAUUUUGUUUAUCCAUAUAUAUCCCAUUCUUCUAUUUGCUUGUAUCUAUUUCUUAGGUUCACAAGGAUACCCCUUUCCAUUCCUGCUUGCCAUAUGGCUUGUUUUAUUUGUUCGUUAAUACUUGGGAUUGUCUCUGUUUUAUAAUUUCAUGCUAGUAGUAAUUUAGCUGCCGUAAUUAUGUGUAAUAUUAGCAUUGACGUUCUUUUUGUCAUAUCUGGCCAAUGCAAGUUUAGCAGAAUCACUUUGGGCUUAAGAGGUAAUUUUAUUUCCGUUAUUUGAUAUAUUAUUGUGACGAAGGGCACUUUGCCACUUGGUCCUGGAGAGGCCUGCUUGCCAGCCUUCUGCCCUGUGACUAUGGCCCCUGGGAGAUUGUACCCGUUUAAACCAGCAUUUGGGCUUAUGGACUUUUAUUGUACAGUGCUGGUCCUUUAAAAACAGUGUAUGGACAUAUUGAAACUUUUUGGACACCUUUUCUUCCCCUUUGAGUCCCUGGGAAGGUGUUGCUCUUCCCCUCCCCCAGCUCCAUUGUUCUCUAGCAGGGUGUAGUCCCAGGGACACUGCCAGACCAGUGGGAACUGGUUUGGGCAGGAAAAGCCAUGCUUGCAAGUGAUAACAAAGGACUUUGACCUAACUUUUAAACCCCUGAACCUAUUCAAGUGAAUUUUGGAUAAGUUUGUCCCCAAGUUUUACUGGUUAAAAUAAUAUAAGUUUUAUGUAUGUACGAUGUAAAUUUACAAAGUUAUAAAAAUUUAUAAAAAGUGUAACUUUUCAGCUUGGAGAUAAUUGAGUAGAUACAAUAAUUGACUCAAUUAUCUCCUAAGCAGAGGGGAGGAAUAUGAUGGGUGUGUUUCUAUUGUCCCAUUGUGUGUGAUUGGCUGCUGUACUUGCAUUGUAUGUGUUGUAAUGUGUUUAUUGGUUGUUCUGAAAAACCCUGUGGGUGGUACUAUGUGUAUAAAAGCAUAAAAGAAGGUCCAUUGGUGCCAAGUAAAACAAAUCUUCUUGACCCUCAACACAUAGUCUUGUCUCGUGAUUGGAGGGGACAGCUAUACUCACACUGGGGAUUGCUAUGCUCUGCAUACUCCCCUGAGCUUUAAUCAUUUAGCUCUUUUAAGAGCUUGUUCCUGAUACACUCUGGAGGAGAGAUCUUUACCCACACGGUCCUGGAGGACAGAAGCUGAUCCAGGGUGGAUGGAAGACGGCGAGACUCCCGUUAAGCUACGGCGGUUGUGAAGUCUGCAGUGGUUGUGGUGUCCGGUGCGGUGCUUGUGGUCCUCGGCGCAAGCUUGGAAGCGUCCAUCAACGGAAAGGUACUCGGUCGGAGUACGGGGAGUUCCGUUACAAUUAUCUUAAUAACUUCUUUCCAAAAUUUGUUUAUGGGUGUACACUGCCACCAGAUGUGGAUCAUGUUACCUUCACCAUUAUUGCAUUUCCAACAUCUGUCUGAUAACUCUGGGAAGAUUGUCUUUAAGUGUUUUGGUGUUAAGUACCUAUCAGUAACCUAUCAGAGAGGCACAAACUAAAUCUCAGAUACUCAAGGAUAUAACGGGAUGGUGAGAUAAACUCACAAAUAACAAAGGACUCAGAAAUAAAAUAAUAGAGGUGCUGCCACUGGCAAGCAUUUCGGAUAUGCUAGAAAAUAUAAAAAUAGAAAAAUGGACAUCAAGGGGGAUAAAGGAAUUCAAAAAUAUUUUGGUAGGACACAAUCUAAAACCUUUCAACCAAACAAUGAAGGAAUUCAAUAUAGUGCAGCAUCACAAAACAUAAAUAAUGGUAGGGAUAUUUUUUGCACUCACAAGAAAUAAAUGAAAAGGCAGAGCAAACCUAAAAGGCAGAAUUAGCCAAAAUAAAACUUAAAAAAAAUAUUUAAAAAUAUAAGUGUAAUGCAAAAAUGUUAUCUGGUGUUGUGCACUAUUGUAUUGUUCUUUGUACUUUUUUAUGAUUAUUAAUAUUUGUUUAUAUUCAGCAUCAGGUAUUUAUUGCUGUAGUACAUAAUGAAUGAAGGAAAUGAUGCCUUCAUGUGCACCUUGAGCAUUACAGUAGAAAAUAGAUCUAAAGUAUUUUCUUGAUUGCCCAGCUAAAUAACAUAACAUAUGAACAUUGUAUAAUUGAUCUGUAAUUAGCUUCUAAUAUAUUGUCUUAAAUACUAUGAUAUAUAGUCGAGUUCCUACUUGAGACAUCACAUUACUGUAAUUUACUGAAAUGUAGGUAAGCAUGGACAAAACAAAAUCAGUCCGAGGUAAACCAUGCUAUGUGUUUUAAGACAAUUGUUCUUAAUUUUUUUUCAGAAAGGUUUAUGAUACACAAUAAAUGCAUAAGUAUUGUAUAAACAUUAAGAGUAAAGCUUUGCUGUUACCAGUGUAGAGAUCUAGAUCUCUGUUAUUUGUUGGAGAUCUCAAAAUAUAAUAAUAUGUCUGCGGUACACAAUCCAACUUUAGGUAGCAACUUUUGUCUACCUUUUACAAACAUGAUAAGAGUUCAAUUUGCAAUGAUUGGGAAUGUUACCACUAGAGGUCAUGAUAACAUUAGUCUACCAUAGUUGGGCUCUGCCUUGUAUCACAUGUAAUUGGGAAAUGACGGAUAUUGUUGUCAUUGACCAUGUAGACAACGGUAUAUGCUUGUAUGUUGGUAUACGUUCUGUUUUUUAAACAAAAUCCAAUAUUUUCUAUUAUUUGUUUUGUUAUAUUUUAUUUUGUAUAUUAUCUACUUUGUUAACAUAAAAAAUAAACCUGUGAGACACCUUAAAAGUAAAAGUAUGAUAAAAGUAUGAAAAUGUGAAAAAUCUUCUAACUUUUCAUUGUUUGUAAAGGAGUGCCUCUAAUUUCCUUAUUUAAGUUGGUUUGUACUUUCAUCAAUUCUGCUAACCCUUUCCUUGUGAACUCCAUAGAUGCAUAAGUUAACCUAUAUUUUGCAUUGAAUUAACCCAUAAAGUUCUGCUUGUUUUCCCUUGGCUUUACCCCCAGAUUCAGUUAUAGCCCUCUGCAGAUGUAAAGUAAAUAGAAGCUCACACCCUCCUACACAAAUCUAAAAGGCUGCUUUACAGUAGUACAAUGAGCACGCUACAGGGCUGCAUUAUUAGCCUACAAUUCCCUGCAUAGUAUACAUGUUUGGGGUAAAAGCACUUGUGGGUAGUGGCUUGAGAUUGGAAGAACACUAUUAAUCUUAUCGUGCCCACAUACAAACUUCAGCAAUUUGCUUUAAAACUUCCGUACACUGAUUGGAAUCCUAGAUGUAUGCGGCAUUACCAGAUUACCACCUUUAACCCCUUAAGGACCAAACUUCUGGAAUAAAAGGGAAUCAUGACAUGUCACACAUGUCAUGUGUCCUUAAGGGGUUAAAAAACCCUUUUAAUACUUACCUGAUUCGCUCUGCUGCCUCCGAGGGGGUUAAGGCACAUGUGUGGCAAGCGCCACCAGUUCAUUAGGCCCUCCCCAUAGAAAAUAAUUGCUUCAAUGCUUUCCUGUGUGGUUUUAACUGACGUUGGAUGUCCUCACACAAAGUCGCCUAGCAAGCAGGAAGUGCCUCUAAUGGCUGUUUGAUUGUCAGCCACUACUGGCAGUCUUAGUCCUUCAAUGUAAUCAUUGCAGUUUCUCAAAAACUGCAAUGAUUUACAUUGCAGGACUAAGUGGGAAUGGAACACUGCACCUAGACCACUUCAAUGACCUAAAGUGGCCUGGGUGCCUGUAGUGUCCCUUCAAUCUAUUUUUGAUGGAUAUAUUUCUUUAGCUGCAGAAGUUAUUAUAAGCAAACUGUGAUUUACUUUUAAAUUUUUUAUAUUUAAUUCACACCUAAUUUUGUAUUAUGUUUAUUUAAAUGAGGGAUCAGAAUAAAACACAUGUCCUUUAAAAACAACAUAAAAUAUGAAUGGGUGCACAUAAUUAGAGAGUGGGAAAUCACAAUAGAACAAACAUAUAUAAUUAUAGUACUAACACAUCUGUAGUCAGGACUGCAUAGAAUCUCAGAAAAGAACAGUCACCAAGUGGUUAAUGAAAGCGUUAGUGUUUUAUACCUACAUACAUAUUGCUGUGUUUCUCUUAGCAGUAGCCUGCAGUUUUAAAUAUAACUUGUGGACCAAAGCUUGGGAGUAGUACUAAGGAAAGCUAAAUGCUCAGGCAAAGACAGCUGCUUAAAGCUAUCAAGUCUCAUUAAUCCGGAUAGUUCAUUGCUGCAAGUCUAUAUUGAAAACAUGAAGAUAUACAUUAAUUAAGCAGUGCUGACAGUAUUCUAUCAACUGAUGCCAUGGCACUCCUCUCACACCAUCUAGAAAAUUCUUCCAUUUUAUCUCCUUAGCAGUUUACACCCAUUCCCCUGGUAUGAGACUUGCCAACUAUGAAAAAAGGUUUUAAAGGUACAACUAGUUAAUAUUGUUGUCAUUUAUUUAUACAGGUCCAAUAAUGUAUGCCAGGCAAAACAGAUGUAAAUAUUUUGAGAGAACUGAGAAAAUAUCUUUGAUAAAAUUUAUUUAUCUUCAUACAACAUAUUUUACCCUUCUGAAAGUGUUUUCAAGGAAAACUCUAUGUACCAUAACUAUUACAGUGCACGUAGUGGUUAUGGUGCCAGUAAUACAUCAACUCAAUCCUAAUUUACCAGAGGUCCUACAUGGAGCUUCUAUAAACUCUCCUGCGCCAAGGCCUGACGUGCAUGGUGAGCUCAUUGGCUGAUAGCAUUAGUUGAUCACUCUCAGCCAAUUAAGUUCUCCCUUCACCACCAGGCAAACUGAGAGCAAAGAGCUAACGGCUCCCAGCGGAGAAGGUGACCCCUGGCAGACCCUAGGUAAGAACAGCAGUAGAAAAAUCAGUCUAAUUUUUGUACUAUAUGAAAUAAUUAUAAUCGUACAUUUAAAUCACACCACUGCAAUAAUCUAUUCUAAAAGAUUAAUAUAUUUGGUCAAUUAGUUAGCAAUUCAUUAUAGUCAGACUGCUGGUAUGCUGUCAGAUAACAGUACAUCUAUAAACAUAUUAUUUUAUGUAUUUACUGAAGAAAAUCAUUUAUGUCUCCUCUUAUGAAUCAUUAAUAAGUUUGCAGAUAUAUCACAUUGCCCUCCUCAGGUAACUUGACUUAGUCAUUCCAUUCAUCAUUGUACAUUGGGCUUGUUUGAACAUUAGUGACCAUUUCAUAUUUUUUUUUUACAAAACUAAUAAAAACUAAUAAAAAAUAAUUAAAGAAAAGUAUAGAGAAAUAUCAAUGUAUUGUCAACUGUCAGAAAAAUAAAUAAUUAUAAAAUUUAUGUCUAUCCUAUCUGUGAAUUUUUCCCCCAAUUAAGAAAUUAAUCUCAACUACUGCUUCAGUGUAUUUGUGUGCCUGUCUUUUUCCUGUUUUGUUUAUUUUGUUGUUUUGUGUUGUUGUUUUGUGUUGUUGGUGUUUUUUGAUAUAUUGACUCUUGCAGAUAAUCAAAUUACAUGGAUUCAUGUUAUUAAAUUAGUGUCCUGUACAAUUUCAAUAGUUAAACUUAAAUAUGUAUCAACAUUCAGUUUAGAAUUUUAUAGCAUAUAAUAAAAUAAUUUAUUUAUAUUGAGCAGCAUUUCAUUGUAUCUUUCUGUGAACAAAUCCUUAAUCUCUAAUGUCAGGGAUGCAGAUUAUCCAUAACAAUUUAUGUUUAUAAUGGUACCAGUUUCAUUCAAUUCUAUUAUCUCUAGGGUUUUUAACUUUGCAUUUUCUUAGAAUAUAAUUUACUAAGCAGGGGAUGAAAGUUGGGCAAUAUCUUAUGGGACAUUGAUGCAUUUAAGAAUUCUUCUUUUUCAAGUUUUCAAUAGUUUUGGAAUUUAGUUUAAAGAACUAAAUACAUUUUGGUCUAUAUGUGAAUGACGUGUCCAGUUUGGAGGAAGAGGAGGUGGUCGCACAGAGGCACCAGCACAGAAUAAGAGGGAGCAGGGUACAAAAGCGGAGCGGCCGUCCCCUAGACGGUACGCCUGUUACUGCCCACCGCACCCAGGGACCGAGCACACCAAAGCCAGCUCCAAGGAGUUCCCUGGCAUGGCAGUUCUUCAGACAAUGUGCUGACAACAAGACAUGAGUGCUUUGCACACUGUGCAAUCAGAGUCUGAAGCGAGGCAUAAACGUGCUAAACCUGAGCACAACCUGCAUGACCAGGCAAAGCACGAGCUGCAGUGGAGUAAGUACAUCAAAAACCAAGAAAGGUCUCAGGCUCCUCCUGCUUCCUCUUCUGCUGCUGUCUCGGCCUCUUCCUCCACCUCUGGAGUGACAGUGGCACCUGCCACCCCGCAAACAGAGGAUGUGGCAGCAACACCACCACGUCCGCCACUGUCCCCAAGUAUCUCCACACUGUCCCAUGGAAGCGUUCAGCUGUCCAUCUCCCAAACAUUGGAGAGAAAGAGGAAGUACGCCUCUACCCACCCGCGAUCCCUGGCCCUGAAUGCCAGCAUUUGAAAAUUCGAGAUGGACAGUUUUAAAAACCUGAUGGUGGUGGCUGUCCCACAGUACGUUGUUCCCAGCCACCACUACUUCAACAGAUGAGCCAUCCCUUCCCUGCACAACCAAUUGGCGGACAAAAUCAGGUGUGCAAUGCGCAACUCCAUCAGUGGCAAGGUCCACAUAACCACAGAUACGUGGACCAGUAAGCACGGGCAGGAACACUAUAUCUCCCUAACUGCACACUGGGCAAAUGUAGUGGCGGCUGGGCCUGAUGCAGAUAGCAGUUUGGCGCAUGUCCUUCCGCCACCGAGGAUUGCAGGGCCUUUCUCUUUGCCUCCUGUUGCCUCCUCCUCCUACUCUGCUUCCUCCUCCUCUACCAUCACCUCAUCUGGGCAGCGUAACACCUUCACCACCAACUUCAGCACAGCCAGGGGGAAACGACAGCAAGCUGUUUUAAAACUGAUAUGUUUGGGGGGAAAAACCCACACCGCGCAGGAGCUGUGGACGUGUGCACACGCCUACACGUACUGACUGAUGGGUCUGCCCCAUUCAACUUCUGGGUCUCCAAAUUGGGCACAUGGCCUGAGUUUGCCCUUUAUGCCUUGGAGGUGCUGGCCUGCCUUGCAGCCAGUGUCUUGUCUGAACGUGUGUUUAGCACGGCAGGGGGCGUUAUCACAUACAAGCACAGUCCCCUGUCCACAGCUAACGUGGACAAGCUUACUUUUAUUAAAAUGAACCAGGCAUGGAUCCCAUCAGACUUGUCUGUACCUUGUGCAGAAUAGACAUUUAUACCAGCCUCACCCAGCCAUUAUUAUACUCAAGUGCACUUAUUCUUUGUUUUCUUUUUUUAUAUCUCCCAAUAUUUUGGGGGCUACCCCAAUUUAAAAAACAAAAAACAAAUAAAAAACAGUGUUGGCUACCACCUCCUCCUCCUCCUCCUCCUACUCCACCGCUACUUCCACCUACACCGCCACGGUCACCGCCUCCUCAACCUAUGGGUCACUUAGUAUAAACGAGGUACACAUUAGCAGAGGCUUGUGAAGGCCUUUUCUCCAUUCAUCAGGAGUUGAGCAUUUCUCCAUGCAUCAGGACUGCAAGAAAUGCACCGCAGGCCGCAAAUUAUUUCUUUUUUUAAUAUGUCCCAAUAUUUUGGGGGCUACCCCAAUUUAAAAAAAAAAAAACUGUGUUGGCUACCACCUCCUCCUCCACCACUGCUUCCACUUACACCGCCACGGUCACCGCCUCCUCAGCCUAUGGGUCACUUAGUAUAAACUAGGUACACAUUAGCAGAGGCUUGUGAAGGCCUUUUCUCCAUGCAUCAGGAGUUGAGCAUUUCUCCAUUCAUCAGGACUGCAAGAAAUGCACCGCAGGCCGCAAAUUGUUUCUUUUUUUAAUAUGUCCCAAUAUUUUGGGGCUACCCCAAUAAAGAAAACAAAAAAACAAACAAAUAAAAAACAGUGUUGGCUACCACCUCCUCCUCCACCGCUGCUUCCACCUACACCACCAUGGUCACCGCCUCCUCAACCUAUGAGUCACUUAGUACAAACUAGGUACACAUUAGCAGAGGAGGACUGCAAGAAAUGCACCGCAGGCUGCAAAUUUUUCCUUUUUUAAUAUGUCCCAAUAAUUUGUGGGCUACCACAAUAAAAAAAAAAAAAAAACAUAAAUAAUAGUGUUGGCUACCUCAUCCUCCACCGCCACAGUCACCGCCUCCUCAACCUAUGGGUCACUUAGUAUAAACUAGGUACACACACUGGCGGAUCCGGGGGGGACAACGGGGCAAUUGCCCCCCCCCCGAUAUUCUCCCCUGCCGGCUAAUGCAGGGCUGGCAUUGUCCAAGUGCCAGCCCUGCAAUGUGCCUGCGGACCGGGGAGGGAGAUCAGAGACCGGGGAGGGAGAUCAGAGAUCUCCCUCCCCGGUCCACAGGCACCAUGCUGGCAGCCCAUGCUGGCAGCUCCUCCGGGUCCUACUCUCGCGACCACGAAGCGUUGCCACGGUUACCACACAUACUGCCCCCACACACACAUACACUGUCCCCCAUACACACACUGCCCCCCCACACUCAUACACUGCCUCCCAUACACACAAAGCCCCCACAAACACAUACACUGCCCUGCCAUGCACACACUGCCCCCACACACAUACACUGCCCCCAACACACACAUACAGUCCCCAUACACACACUGCCCCACACACACACAGCCCCCCAUACACAUACACUGCCACCCAUAUACACACCAUACACAUUCACACAUUGCACCACACACAUAUACAUUGCCCACCCAUACACAUACUGCCCCACACACACACACAUUGGCCCCCACACAGAUACACAGCCCCCCAUACACACAUUGUUCCACACACGUACACAUUUACACACACACACACACACACACACUGCACCCCUCACAUUACACCACUGCUCCUAUGCCUUACUACAGCUCCAUAUCCCAGCAGAUUCCAGGUAAGUUGUCAAACUGUUCUUAAACAGUUUGACUACUUACUCUGGGAGGGGGUUGCAGCACUCCUGGCACCAUAACCACUAUACAGAGCUUUCGUGGUUAUUGUGCAUGGAUUAUUUCUUUAAAUAAUAUAAAAGUGCACCUCCCGAGAUCAGUCUCUGGAUCCACCAGUGGGUACACAUUAGCAGAAGCUUGUGAAGGCCUUUUCUCCAUGCAUCAGGAGUUGAGCAUUUCUCCAUGCAUCAGGACUGCAAGAAAUGCACCGCAGGCCACAAAUGUUUAUUUUGUUGUAUGUCCCAAUAUUUUGUGGGCUACCACAAUUACAAAAAACAAAACAAAACAAAAAAACAGUGUUGGCUACCUCAUCCUCCUCCUCCACCGCUGCUUCCACCUACACCGCCAUGGUCACCACCUCCUCAACCUAUGGGUCACUUAGUAUAAACUAUGUACACAAUAGCAGAGGCUUGUGGAGGCCUUUUCUCCAUGCAUCAGGAGUUGAGCUCAGUUUGACCAAUGAAAGAGAAUACCCUGCACUCCAACCCUCUCUCAAAUGGAUAAUUCUGGUGAUCCUCCUGACAGCAAUGCUUUAGAUUCUGAUUUAUGUUCUUCUAAAGCUAAAAUCAAAUAUUCCAUCUAGUGCUAUUUUAUGGCUCAGCUGUAUUUAAAAUUUUUAUGUUAUUUUAAGUGAUUUCCAUCCACAUUUGUUUGCAGGGCACUUGUCCUACUCGUACCCCCAUUUUACUUCAUUUUGCAGCUCUCUAGCCUUUCCAUUAGUUUUUUAGAGGCAUUUUUGUGGCCAAAAGUUCGGGUCCCCAUUGACUUCAAUUGGGUUCGUGUUCAGGGUCAAGUUCGAGCCCAAAACCGGACUUUUUUUCAAAGUUCGGUCGAACGUGCCGGACCCGAACAUCCAGGUGUCCGCUCAACUCUAUUCAUGAUCCAUAUUAAUGUGUUACUAAUCCCUCCUAGAUGCCUCAGUGGGCCACUAUGAUAAAUAAGGUAUUACAUUGACUGCAAUGCCAUAGGUCCUGAGUAAAAAAUAUACAGUUGCAAGAAAAAGUAUGUGAACCCUUUGGAAUGAUAUGGAUUUCUGCACAACAAUAGACAAUCACAGUCUGCUUAAACUAAUAACACACAAAGAAUGAAAUGUUGCUAUGUUUUUAUUGAACACAUCAUGUAAACAUUCACAGUGCAGGUGGAAAAAGUAUGUGAACCCCUAGACUAAUGACAUCUCCAAGAGCUAAUUGGAGUGAGAUGUCAGCCAACUGGAGUCCAAUCAAUGAGAUGAGAUUGGAGGUGUUGGUUACAGCUGCCCUGCCCUAUAAAAAACACACACCAGUUCUGGGUUUGCUUUUCACAAGAAGCAUUGCCUGAUGUGAAUGAUGCCUCGCACAAAAGAGCUCUCAGAAGACCUACGAUUAAGAAUUGUUGACUUGCAUAAAGCUGGAAAGGGUUAUAAAAGUAUCUCCAGAAGCCUUGCUGUUCAUCAGUCCACGGUAAGACAAAUUGACUACAAAUGGAGAAAGUUUAGUACUGCUGCUACUCUCCCUAGGAGUGGCCAUCCUGUAAAGAUGACUGCAAGAGCACAGCGCAGACUGCUCAAUGAGGUGAAGAAGAGUCCUAGAGUGUCAGCUAAAGACUUACAAAAGUCACUGUUCCUGUUAGCGAAUCUACAAUGCGUAAAACACUAAACAAGAAUGGAUUUCAUGGGAGGAUACCACAGAGGAAGACUGCUGUCCAAACAAAACAUUGCUGCACAUUUACAGUUUGCACAAGAGCACCUGGAUGUUCCACAGCAGUACUGGCAAAAUAUUCUGUCUACAGAUGAAACCAAAGUUGAGUUGUUUGGAAGAAACACACAACACUAUGUGUGGCGAAAAAAAGGCACAGCACACCAACAUCAAAACCUCAUCCCAACUGUGAAAUAUGGUGGUGGGGGCACCAUGGUUUGGGGUUGCUUUGCUGUGUCAGGGCCUGGACGGAUUGCUAUCAUUGAAGGAAAAAUGAAUUCCCAAGUUUAUCAAGACAUUUUGCAGGAGAACUUAAGGCCAUCUGUCUACCAGCUGGAGCUCAACAGAAGAUGGGUGUUGCAACAGGACAAUGACCCAAAGCAUAAAAGUAAAUCAACAACAAAAUGGCUUAAACAGAAGAAAAUACGCCCAGUCAGAGUCCUGACCUCAACCCGAUUGAGAUGCUGUGGCAUGACCUCAAGAAAGCGAUUCACACCAGACAUCCCAAGAAUAUUGCUGAACUGAAACAGUUCUGUAAAGAGGAAUGGUCAAGAAUUACUCCUGACCGUUGUGCACGUCUGAUCUGCAACUACAGGAAACGUUUGGUUGAAGUUAUUGCUGCCAAAGGAGAUUCAACCAGUUAUUAAAUCCAAGGGUUCACAUACUUUUUCCACCUGCACUGUGAAUGUUUACAUGGUGUGUUCAAUAAAAACACGGCAACAUUUCAUUAUUUGUGUGUUAUUAGUUUAAGCAGACUGUGAUUGUCUAUUGUUGUGACUUAGAUGAUGAUCAGAUCACAUUUUAUGACCAAUUUGUGCAGAAAUCCAUAUCAUUCCAAAGGGUUUACAUACUUUUUCUUGCAACUGUAUUUAAUCAUUAUCUACAUGGUAUCUUAAUGGGCAGCAUAACAGUAUCAGCCUACAUGGAGAUCUAGGCCUUUCUGAACUUUGAGGCAUUUAAAACAUAGAUACCUAAUGUGGAGUUGGCUUUAGGCCAUAUGGAAAUGCUUGCUAAGGUGGAAGAUAUUACAGCCAUACAGCAAAUUAUACACAUGGAAGAUAUUUUAGGUUCUAGAUUUUUUAACCACAUCCACUGGCAAGGCAGCCAGUUGCAAAAGGACCUGAGCACCUGAGUUCUCCUUGAAGAUUACAAUUGUGCUAAACUUGAGUCAUAUAACCUCAUACCCUUAUUUUCCUGCACCCCUCUUCCCUUUUUCCUCUACAUUUCCCAAAUCCUUCACUUUCCUGGUUUCAUUGUUUUAAUGGUUCAUACUUGUUGGUUCUUGGUUGGUUCAAUUUAUGGCUUUGUUGAACCAAAAGUAUUACAUACCUCUGUGUUGUAAAAUAUUUUUUUUUUUACAAUAAACAGUGUUUACAACAUAAGUGCACAGAUGGGUGCAAUGAUGGAUACAGAAUAGAUAUAUACAAAAGAUCGAGAAGCACUGAUGAAGAAGAAAGUUGGCGUAAGUUGGUUUUCAGAAGGAGAAUGAGGAGCAAAGAUGGCAUUUGAAAAAAGAUGUAUUUUCAGAAGUGUUCCAAAAUCAUUAGGAAGAUGUUCAUUAGGAGACCAUUUAUUCCACUUGUUGGGGAUAAAGAAUGAGAAAGAGAAGAACCAGAACGGAGCAUACAGAGGUAAAAGUGGUGGUUACGAAUAUAAAGGAUUUGAAUGAAUUAAUGUUAAUGUUGUUCUGUAAUUCUUACAAGCAGUGUGGCCUCCAGGCUCAGAACAUCUUCUAAAGCUUGGGUGCCUGGUGAUGCUUUACACAACAUUACUGCCAAAUCAAUCCAAGUAAUACCCCUAAUAGUUGAAAUCCAAGAUGUGGAGUUCUCUUCCCAUCUAGAGUUGGAGGAGGGUGCAGGAUUAUAUUAGUGUUUUUUUUAUUUUAUUUAUUUAACAUCAGACUCCAGCUUUUCAAAGCAGCCACCUAUUAGAAAAAGAAAGAUCAGUAAUAUUGUGCUCUGCCAGGCUUCUUAAGAGGACUGUUAAAAGUGGGUGCUGGUGAAUGGACCUUUGCUGAAAACCUCUCUGUUUGUUAUUUAGCAUGGCCGGAUCACAGUUAAUACCUUACUGUGCAGCAUGUGAUCAUUUCCAGCUAUUCUUUCAUAGAGUUCUGGAGAGCAUCAGCAUUACUCUGUACAUGAUAAUCAAGUUCUCCUGUGGACUGAAGUCCCAGGUGUUUCAGGAACCUAGCAAAACCCUUGAUAAUUAAUUCACUUACAAAUAAUAUUCACUGUAGGAUGUACUUGAAAACUAGAGAAACACGAAAUGUACAUGUUUUCUGGUUAAAUACUUCCAUAUUUGUUUUUUAUUUCAUAUUUGUUUUUUCAUUAUUUAUAAGGCAAUUAUUAGUACACUAAGACAUCACAGUACAAAAGCCAUGAAAUUUAACAUUGAUACAUGACUCAAUAGCAGCCUAUCGAAAUUACAACUAACUGGAGGAACAUAGUUUUAAGUAAGUAGGGGGAGAUUAUACAAAAACUAUCAAUGUUGGCCACACUAGAACAGGAAAAAGAACCAAAAGUGGAGAUAACUCUAAACAUCUUGAGAAUGGCAUUCCAUUAGGCAAGAAGCUCUAAUAUGGGUGUAAUAGGGUGUUGCACUUAACAAUGGUAUUAUAAAUCAAAACAUAAACAUAUACAGGUGCUGCUUAGGUAUAAAACAAAAAUAAAAAAAUAAAAAUACAUUUUAAACUCAACCUUAGCAUAGGGACAUGUAGCUGAGUAAAGAAAGGAGCAAAGUCCUGUAUUACAUCCUGGAAACACUUGAGUGAAUCAGGAUACAUUCCUCAUCCUGGUGUGCAAACCACCAGAGUCUCCAUGUACCGUUGCUUUAAGGCCGGAUCCUAGAAACCGCAAGAGUCUCCCCAUACUGUCGCUUAAGGCAUGGUUCAGUGAGGGCUUGAAUAUUGUGGUGCACCUUUUGGGGACUACCAGUUACUUCCAUAUUAUGAUUAGUAGUAGUAUUCAAUGUUUACAGAAUAAACCACAAAUUUGAUUUAAGACUUAUUAUCUGUAAUUUACAGAGUUGAAUGUAUAUCACAUAAACUGUUUGUAAUGUUUCCGUUUGCAUCAAGAUGACCAUACUGUAUAAAAAAAAAAUGUAUUUUUUUCCUUGAACAAAAACAGAUUGUAUUAAAAUAUAAAAACAGAUUGCAUUAAAAUUACCUAUGAAUGCUACCAAGCAUGUUAUUUAAAUAAGGCAUCUAAGGUCGUGUAGAUGUUGCACAAGAUCAGUCCGUGAGAAGAAAGAAGUUGCAGUUAUGACUCAUGUCUUGUUGCUUCUAGUCUGACUGUAUACUAAUAAAUGCUAAUAAAUCACCUUCAACAAACUGUAAAACAAAAUAUUUCAAAUGUAAAACAGCUUAAAAUUUCAGCUGCUGUUUGUUGUUUGCAAUUAUUGAAAGAGGAGUUUUUAAAUAGAUACUAAACUUUCAUAUAUUAAUUUUUUUAUUUUACUUUUGCAAGAAGAAAAAAAAAGUAUUACGUUUAUGAAUAAAACAGUAAGACAUGUAACAUCUUAUUCCUUCACACUUCACAGGUACUAUGCUUCACACUAAAGUUUGCGGGCUGCUUUGGUCAUCAAUAUUAAAGCCCCGUUAAUUCAUUUUGUUGAGUUUUGUGUAUAUCCUGAAAUUUUAUGUAAUGUAUUUGGACACAUUAUUUCUGAUAUUAAUAUACCGGAUAGUCUGUUAACUGGCUAUAAUUUGUCUACCAUAUUUAUUUCUGUUAAAUUAAAGAAACAGUUUAUUUCACAAUUAGAGAAUUAAGAAUUGCAUGCCAAACAUGUUAUUCGUGUGUUUUAUGGACUCUUUAAGUCACUUAAGCAGUUAGAACAUCCAGUGAGGAUAUAGGGCUUCAUACUCAGGCCUCCUGGUUGUUGUUGUCGUUGUAGUACUACAACUCCAAUAGUUUUUGUUUUCUUUUGACUGGCAGAAAAUUAUGGGACUUGUAGUCAAGGAAAGUGAGUUUGACUUCUGAAGGUCUAUAUGCAGCAUAUGAUUAACCUUGCUUUCAAAGGAUGUUCUCUGUAACAUGCAAAUGUUUCACAUUUUUUUCUUCUAACACCUGAUUUCCACCAAACAGAAUAUAUUUUAGAAAAUUCUUACACUCCCAUUGUGGUUUUUCUAAUAAACAUCCAGCUACCUACAGCUUCUUUGUACUGUGCCCUUAUUUACUUUGUUGCACCUGAAUUCAUGCUAACACCUCAUAAUUUAACCAAACUGAUUAAUUCACUUUUCCCCAAGUGGAUUCAUAACACAUUCUGUUCAUAAUCCUAAACUAAGACUGUAUCUGUAAGGAACGUUGCAUACUGUCCUGUUGGUUUAAUAAAAAUCUACAUAAACGAAAACAAAUUAAAAUAUUUAUAGUAGCUUCUAUAUUACUCAAACAGGAUUACUUUGUUUUUAAUGCUGAUUUUAUGCUUGUCUGAACAAUAAACAUCACACAUUCAAAAAGACUGAAAACAAUGUAGUAUUUUAUCUCAAAGGGAUAUAUACACAAGUCCAUGCUUUUAAUACUGUUGUCACAUAAUAAUUGCAUUUGAAAAUGCAAAAAGAAAAAAAUGGGUAAGUCUUAUAACGGUUAUUAAAUUGUGGAUAAACAAUUUUAUCAUAGUUGUGUUUAGAUCUCAUUAGCUCUCGUGAGAUAUCAAUACUUUAGUGGUUUUUUUUAAUAGUUUCAGAAAAACACAAAUUCUAUGAAAUUCUAAGAUGAGUUUCAUUCUAGGUGAAAGACAGACUUUGAGAAAAUGACAGCAUUUCCAUGUGAUUAAUUUACCAGUGCAGUCAUUUUUGCAUAAUUGUGUAAACUUAAUGCUCAUGAAGACAACUGUACAAAUAAAACAAAUACAAACAAAUUGAACAAUACUCACCAAAGUCUGCUUUUUUAUUGUCUGAAAGAGCAUUCUACUCUACCGAAUAAAAACAAUAACAUGGUUUUUCACUAAAGUGAGCAUUCAAAGUAAAUUCAAAGUGAAUUUCAAAUUUAAGGUUAAAAUACCCAAACUGCGAGAAGCUACUUUGGCAUAAAAUUUAAAGUUCACUUUGAAUGCCCUUCAAAUUAUUACUUUAAUGGAUAAUAGGGGCAGAGAAAGUUUUUUUUACAGGUUUAUUCACUUGAGUCCACAUAUGAUCAGUCUGGUUAAUAAAUGCAAGUCCACCUGUAGAUUGAAAAUCACUUCAUACCCUAUUUAGUAAAAACAAAAAGUAUGUAACAUGUAUUUCUGUGUUUGUGUACUCCUUCAGUACAUAUAGACAGUCCUCACUUACCGACCAGGUUCUGUUCUCAUGACCCAGUCGUAAAACAAAUUGGUUGGUAAGUUAGAAUGCGCUAGUGGGCAUGCGCAUGAGAGCAGGUCUACGUUUGGGGGAAUUUUCCUGAACAUAGACUAGUUCACUAGCGCAGGGAAUCCCUCAAAUAUAUGUUCUGCCAAACUUCCCCGAACAUAGAUUAGCUCAAUAGCGCAGGGAAUCACUGAAAUCUACGUUCGAGGAAAAUUCCCCGAACACAGAACAGCUCUCUAAAGUGCGAAAUACCUUGAAUCCCCACGCUAGAGAGCUGGUCGUAAGUGCGAGCCGUCAUAAAACAGGUAGGUCGUAAAUGGAGGACCACCUGUAUCACUAUCGUUUAUAUAUAGAGAUCAAGAUACAAUAAAACUUCCCUUAUAUAAAUGAGUGUCAUAUCUCCUCUUGUUUUCUUAUACAACAUGUUUAACAUAGAGCAAACUGUACAAUACAGAGUAAUGGAAUAAAAAUAUGAACACCAAAAAAAGUUUAAAAACAUAGCUCAGUAUGCAUAAUGAAACCAAAAUAAUGAAAGAAAAUACCCUAUGUUAAAUCCAGGUGGAAAUGAACAAAAAUAGAGCUGCUCCCCAAAGAUAAAAGCUCAAACCAUGAGCUGGUAGGACAGAUUGAUCAAAAUUCCAUGACUGUGGGUACUUCUAUGAGAAGCACUAGGUGAGCUGAAUGAAGGUUCUGUCCGAAAGAAAGAAAUUAACAUUGAUUUCAUUACAGUGGUGUGAACCUACACCUUUGGUGCCAUGUAUUAAAUAAAAUUGGGAAAUGUAAAUAUUGCUGCAGAGAUCUGCCUUUACAGGGUUUCUAACUAAUGCGAGAAUUCAAGGUGAAUUUCAAAAUUAAAGGGAAACUAUAAUGCUAGAAAAACCUUAGGUUAAUGAAGCUGUUUUGGUAUAUUGAUCAUGCCCCUGCAGUCUAACUGCUCAAUUCUCUGCCACUUAGGAGUAAAAUUACAUAAUGAAGCUCUUGCUACACCUCCCUGCAUGUGACUUGCACAGCCUUCCUUCCUGUGAAGUGAUAGCUACACUUCCUUUAUUGCACAGUCUGUUUAAUUUAGAAUUUCUGAUCUCCUGCACUGUUAAAAGCUAUCUAGACCUUGCAGGAGCCUUCUGUGUGUGAUUAAUUUUCAUAUUACAGAGCAGGAGAUACAAACUGAACAUUAAGUUAACAUCUGAUUGAAAAUGAAAACGUUUUUGUUCAUGAAGGCUGUGCCAAUCAAAGCAGAGAAGGCAUGGAUACGGAUGCAUGGACAGAGACCAAAAUGAUUUAAAUCCUAAAUGGAAGAGAGUUAAGCAGUGAGACUUCAGAGGUAUGACUAUAGUGUCCCUUUACAUUUGAAAUUAAUUUUGAAACAAUAGAUAUGUUCAGCAUUCAAUUGUGUAUAUUUAAAAAGAGAAAUUUUCUUCAUCAACUUGUGCAUCACAAAAAGGUACAGUAUAAAGUGCUCGGGUGAAUACUGUUUUCUUAUUGACUGAAAAGUGAUGUAACAGGUUGAAUAACAGGCUUAAAAAUAAAAGGAAAAUUAUUUUCAGUUGCAACUGAUAGAUUUAUUUUAAAGGAGCACUACAGAGUCAGGAACACAAACAUGUAUUCCUGACCCUAUAGGUUAAAAACACCAUCUAGCCACCCUGGUCCCCUCAUGCCUCCCUAAAAAUUGCUAAAACUACUUGUAUUCAAGUCUGAAGCUGCAAGCGUUGGCUCUGUUUCCCGUAGACCUGCCCACUGCCUGCUGACAUCAGCAGAAGUGGUAGCCUGAUCCAAUCACAAUGCUUCCCCAUAGGAUUGGCUGAGACUGACAAAGAGGCAGAUCAGGGGCAGAGCCAGCACAAUUCAAACACAGCCCUGGCCAAUCAGCAUCUCCUCAUAGAGAUGAAUUGAAUCAAUGAAUCUCUAUGAGGAAAGUUCAGUGUCUGCAUGCAGAGGGAGGAGAUACUGAAUGUUUGGAUGCAUUUUAGGCAGCCAUGACCCAGGAAGGAUCUCAAACAGCCAUCUAAGGAGUGGCCAGUGAAGUUAGCACUAGGCUGUAAUGUAAACACUGCAUUUUCUCUGAAAAGACAGUGCUUACAGCAAAAAGCCUAAAGGUAAUGAUUCUACUCACCAGAACAAAUUCAAUACGCUGUAGUUGUUCUGGUGACUAUAGUGUACCUUUAAACAAAGAUAAUGAAAUCUGAGGGGUGCCUUUCAAAGAAUAGCAUUGAUGGCAAAUAUACUGCAUACAUUUAAAAGAAAUAAUUACUAGUGAAGGAUGUACUUGUGUAUUAGGCAUAGUACAAUCAGUUGGAUACAUAAUGAAUGACACAAUAAAGUGUUAGUACAUCUAACCUUAUUUUAGCUAAAUUAAACUUUUGAUGCGAAAUAUGUUACCAAGCAAGUAGCAGAGUGCCUAUUAUGCGUCAAAGUUAAAGAAACACUCCAGACACCAUAACAACUUAAUCAGAAUUAACUUUGUUACGUUGCACAGAGGUCCGCAGGUCGCCGUUUAACUCAAGGAGUUUAACCACCUGUUUGCUCUUCCCACAAACAUCCAUUGCAGCCUGAGGCUUCAAUUAGGCAAACCUUAGACUGAAAUUCGCUGUUAGGCUGCAAGCAUCAUCUCACGCUUUAUUCUCGCCCCGUUUUGUAAAUGAGGAGCUACUGAAUAUCAGCAUCUACUUAUUCUUGCCUUGGACUGCAAUGGAAGUUUGUGAGAAGAGUUAAUAAGAGUCACAUUCAAGAAUUUGGCUCAUUAACAGUUUAAGCCCUUGAGGUGAGCUAGUGCCCAGGGACCUCCUCGCACAUUAACUUAAAGCUUUCUAGUCUUGUGUUUGUUCACCUUUUGUAACUAUACAACUGCUUGCCUCUCAAGAACUGUCAUUACUUCUCCAAGUAUCUGUAAAAAAACAGGAUGUUGUGAUUUAAUACGAUGGCUUAUAUUAUUAUUAUUAUUACUGGUAUUUAUAUAGUGCCAGCAUAUUCUGUAGCACUUUACAAUAUUAUCAAAGGGUGAGAUUUAACAAUAAAUGAGACAAUUACAAAAACUUACAGGAACAAUAGGUUGAAGAGGUCCCUGCUCAAACGAGCUUACAGUCUACAGGAGGUGGGGUGUAAAACACAACAGGACAGGAAGUAGCAAUCAAAUAAGGUGGGAGUGAGGCAGAGCUGGAGGAGAGAGUAGAGUUCUGCCCUUUAGGAGAGAGCAAGGGACAGGUACAUGAGGUAGAGGUUAUUCUGGGAGGCCAUAAGCUUUCCUAAAGAGAUUGGUUUUGAGGCACUUUUUAAAUGAUUGAAGAGUAGGGGAGAGCUUGAUAGUAGUAGGCAGGCUAUUCCAAAGGAAAGGAGCAACCACCGAGAAGUCCUGCAAGCGUGAGUUGGCCAUUCGGGUGCAAGCAGCGGACAGGAGAAGGUCAUGAAAUGGGCAGAGCGGAGAGACCGAGAAAGGGUAUACCUGCGGAUCAGUGAAGAGAUAUAGAAGGGCUAGAAUUGGUCAGUGCUUUAUAGGUGUGGAUUAGUACCUUGAAUUGACUCCUAUAGGAUACAGGAAGCCAAUGUAAGGACUGACAGAGGGGAGAGGUGUGAGAGGAGAGGAAAAUCAAUAAAGCUGCAGCAUUCAUUACAGACUGUAGCAGGGCAAUACGACUUGUGGGAAGAUCUAUAAGGAGAGAUUUUCAAUAAUCCAUGCAAGAGAUUACUAGAGCAUGGACAAGCUCAUUAGUAGCAUCUUGAGUAAGAAAGGGGCAGAGGUGGGCUAAGUUUUUAAGGUAGAAUCUACAGGAUUUGGUAACAAACUGGAUGUGAGGCUCAAAUGUGAGACCAGAAUCAAGAAUAACGCCAAGACAGCAUGCUUGCAAGGAUGGACUGAUGUGGGUACCACUAACUUGAAGGGAAAGUGAAGAUCAGUAUUAGGAGGAGGAAAGACAAGGAGUUUAGUUUUAGAGAGAUUGAGUUUCAAAAAGAGGGAGGACAUUCAGUCAGAGAUGGAAGAAAGGCAAGCAGUUACACGUUGCAGGACGACAGGGGAGACGUUCAGGGAGGAGAGGUAUAUCUGAGUGUCAUCAGCGUAUAGGUGGUAUUGGAAUCCAAACAAGGUAAUAAGUUUGCCAAGAGAGGAAGUAUAAAUAGAAAGUAGAAGGGAACCAAGUACAGAGCCUUGGGGGACUCCAACAAAGACAGGACGAAGGGAGGAGGUAUCAUUAGAAAAGGAGACACUGAAUGAGAGAGGUAGGAGAAAAACCAAGAGAGGACGGACGGGUAAAGACCAGUCUUUCCAGAAGUUUUGAGUAAAAAGGGAGCAAGGAUAUGGGACGAUAGUUAGAAGGGGAGGACGGUCAAGAGAUGUUUUUUUUUUUUUUUAAGCUGUAACACAAAGUAUUGUCAUAGGUAGUAACAAAGGAAACAUUUCUACUCUUCCCAGCAAUGAUGCAGACUAAGUGUCUCAUUAUUAGUGUACGUUUAUCAGCCUAUCAUUAAAUACUUUAACAGCAUGAAAAAUGUCACGUUGUUUUUUAAUCUAUUCUAGAGUCACCCUCUUUUAAUAAUCUGGAGUAGAGCCACAUAUAUGAAGUUCACCACCAUUUAGCAACAUUAAUUAGCUAAGGAUAAGUCCAUUACUCAACAGAUUCUGGCUUACAUUUUUUCCCAUCACUUCUAAAGUUGUAGUUUAUUUCUAUAAUAUUAUUUUAUGUUACAUGAUUAAUCUACUGCAAUUCUUGGAUUUAAUUAUAUUGCUUUUCCUCACUGAGCAAAACUGAAUUUUGUAUCAAAUGGCAAAAUGUAAUGAAUGAGGUAGGUAGGUGCAUGCAAAGCAGCAUCAGGAGAUCAACACAUUAUAUAAUUUGGAUUAUGUGUCAUUCACAGGGUAUAAAGGCCAGCAGGUAAUCAACUUUGGAGGAUAAUUGUCCUAGUAAGAUCUUUCAAAAUCACUCUCCAUUUUAGUUUGAUCAUCUGGAAAAACACCACACAACCCAGUUCUACAGAUGUAUAAUAUAUCUUUCCCAAGAAUAGUCACCAUGGACAAAAUCUCAACUUUUUCUUAAACAUAUAUUUUUGGAAAACACUUAAAUCUGUUUAUUGGUGAUUUUUCAAUACACAUAACAAAGCUUUGAAACCAUUAUAAGAAGUAAGACAUGGAAAAUGAAUUUUCUCUGACAAUUCUCUACAUUUUAUUUAUAAAAGGCGAAAAUUGACACAUAUUGUCUACCACAGAUACACGUGCCAAGAGGAAAGAUAUUUAGUUAUGUUAAUUGUAUCUGUCUUGCCUCCUUUGUCUUUAUCCUGUCUUUUGUUACGCCUAAAACCUGGAAGAAAGUAAAGUUUGACUCAUCUCCAAAUAUACAUAUACAAAAAAACUAGUCCUGCGCUCACUCCCAUCACUCCUGGGCAGCAGCAACGACCACAGUACACAUCAGCCCCAAUACAUACAGUAAAAACCAAAGAAAAGGUUACCUGCGCUCCCUCCUAAAUCCCUAUGUAUAUUUAUAUUUUUAUUAUAUAUUCUCUGACUAUUUUUUUCUGACCUACAUUAAGCCGACCAUUCUACACACUGCGCGUUGGGGUUUUACUCAACCGUGAUAUAGGGUUUUGUUUUGACCAGCACGUGUAUGAUUGCCUCUGUCCUUAAGGGGUUAAAAUACAACAAGCUGAGUUUUGUUUACAUUUUUGCUUGUUUUUUUCCCAUCAAUAUGCUGGUAUGCAUUAACAUCAAUCAUUGUAUGUCCAUUUGUUAUGUUAGAGGUUGAUAAAAGCAGGAGCUGGGAAAUGCUGCUGCUCAGAAUAUAUAUUACUUAGCAGUGAUGAUACUGAGUUCAUGUGACUUUAAAAUACACAAAAUAAAAAGUAAGCACAUUUCACUUGAGACAGAUGUUUUAGAUCUUUUGCAGUUUUGAACGAUCUGGAUGAUAUAUUUUAUUUGCUGAUUUAUACAUGUGCUAACUUUUCUGUUUUUUGUUAGACUUGAAUAACAAAAAAUAAAAUUUAGUUGUUAUUAAUUAUAUCAAUAACUAUUAUUAUUAUUAUUAUUAUUAUUCAGUAAUAUGCAGUCAUAAGAGCAAAUUAAGCAUUAUAAAGUGAUAUCAGUCACACUUGUGGACGUCACACCCAAUGUAUUACGUAUUUAUGCCAUUUUCUACCACCAGAGAUUUCCUCAGCUUUUCUUUAGGGUCGGGUCUUGCCCUUUACCCACUGGACUGACAGGUAAUGUUCUAUCUGCCAGGAUAUCUCCCAAAACUUUGUUUUAAGGACUCGUAAUCAUACUCUUGGCCAACAGAUCCAUAUACUGUUGUAAUUCUACUGAAUAACAGAGACCCCAUUUCUGUUUUUGGGAAAUAACAACCACAAUUCAACUAAUACUGACACACUAAAACAAUACAUAAAACAGAUCAGUGCAUGGAAAUAAGCAUUUAGCAAUAAGGCAUGACCAUACAAAGGGGUUGGAAAGGUAGGGGGAUACAGACACUAAAAAUAAAGGCAUAAAAAAAAAUCCAGCUUGCAAUGGCCAUACUGACAGUCCUUACUUACCAACCAGGUUGUGUUCUUAAGACCCGGCCGUGAAACAAAUUGAUCAGUAAGUGAGGAUGCGCUAGAGAGCAUGCGCUAGAGAGCAGGUCUAUGUUCGGGAUCCCUCUAAUCUAUGUUCGGGGUGAAAAUUCCCUAAACAUAGACCAGUUCUCUGACAUGGAGAAACCCUUUAAUCUCUAGAGAGCUGGUCUUAAGUCUGAGCAGCCGUAAAGCAAUUAAGUCGCAAAGUGAGGACUUCUGUAUUAGUCGAAUGCAUGCAAAUAUACAAGUUAAGCAUUCAGGCAUUUCUUAGCAAAAUUCUUACAACAUUCUUGCAAAUAGAGAAAUACCUCAAACAUUGCUAUCGGAGUAAGUUCGUAUUAAAAAAGCAUUAAUUUAAAAGUAUGCAAUUAAUUUUUUUUUUUUUUUUUUAAAGUAGAGUCCCUUUAAGCUGGUAUAGAUAUAAGCAGUUCUGCAGUUCUCUCAUUCUCCUAUCCACAAAUCUGGCAACCAAUUCUAGCGUAUUUUUAUGUGUCUGUGUUAUCGUGCUGUCUUUCUGCCUUUAAAAAGUAGGUCAACUAUUAUCCUGGCUUCAGAAAGUAGGAGAUUUUUUUUAAUAUGAAUAAGCAUUCAUGUAAAAUGCCUCUCAGUUUACUCCCAUUAUAAGCAGUGUGACCCAGUUUGAUAGAGUGCAACUUAAUUAGUUCCAGAAUUGUGUAAAUAGAUAUAUGAUAUGUUGUAUAUAAAAUUUUAAGUAUUAUUUAAAUUUAUUAACAUGAAAAGUAUUUUAACCCCUUAAGGACACAUGACAUGUGUGACAUGUCAUGAUUCCCUUUUAUUCCAGAAGUUUGGUCCUUAAGGGGUUAAACGAUGCUGGCUGUCCUCACGCUAUGCAUGAGGACCUCCAGCAUCACCGAAAUUCCUUUACUAUGGGGAGGUCUAAUGCAUGCGCACGGCACAUGGGAAGGACCGUGGGCCUUGUUUUCCUGGCACUGAAGAGGCCCUUUAAAGAUUGCAAUUUAUUGAUGAGACUUCUAUGUGGAACACUGUCAAAAGCUUUUCUGAAAUCUAGGUAAGCAAUGUCUACGGUACGACCCUGAUCUAUUAUUUUAGUUACCCAAUCAAAAAAAUCAAUAAGAUUAGUUUGGCAUGAUCUCCCUGAAGUAAACCCAUGUUGUCUUUGAUCUUGAAUUCCUUGUGAUUUUAGACGUUCAACAAUCCUAUCCUUCAACCCCUUGGUGACCGUAGACAUAUCAGGUACGUCCAACAAAAAACAGUUCUUAAGGACCGCGGACAUACCUGAUACGUCCGCGUGGGAAUUAGAGUGCUGGAAGCGAUCAUGAUGGCUUCCAGCAGCUCUUAUGGUAUUGCAGCAAUGCCUCAAUGUCAAGUCAUCACUCCAAUACCCCCUCACUGCUCGUGGCCGCCGGAGAACACCAGGUGAUCGCUCCCCCCGGAGCGAUCACUUCCGGGUUGCUCCACAUGGAGCCCAGCAGUGAGGCCGAGCAUCCGAAACCAUCAGGCAGGCUUCCGAUGCUCUGUCUGUGCUGAGUGCCUUCUUCUUAGGGGGGACUGUCUGGGCUCAGUCCAGACAGUACCCCCUCUGCACAUUAGGACCCCCAGAGGCCAUGUGACCGCUCUAAAAGAGCGGUCACAUGGCCGCAAUAGGUAUACACAGUGCAGCCAGCAGGGAGACUGCCUGAACUGACAAGCAGUCCCCUUGCUGCUGAAAAAAGUCAAAAAAAUAAAAGGUAAUAAAUGUAAAAUAUAUAUAUAUAUAUAUAUAUACACAUGUAUUACAUGUACACAUAUAUAUAUCUCACUAACUAUCGUCACACUACGUAUUUUUUCUUAUUAACAUAUACAUAUAUUAAUAUGAACUGACACAGUACUAAGUGUAGCAGUCCCCCCCCAGGCUGCUAAAAAUGAAAAAUAAAAUACAAAUAAGUAUAUAUAUAUAUAUAUAUAUAUAUAUAUAUAUAUAUUUAUAUAUAUAAUAUAUUAUAAAAUAAGUAAAGCAUUUUAUGAUAUAUUAUACAUAUAUAAUGCAUAUAUAUCAUUUCAUUAUAAGUGUACUUUGAGAUUUAUACACAUAUACCCACACACACACACACGGGGGGGGGGUGCUGGGUGUGUCUGAGGGGUGCUGUGUGUGUGUGUGGUGCUAUGUGUGUCUUGGAGGGGUGCUGUGUGGGAGGGAGUGCUGUGUGGGGGGGCGGAGUGCUGUGUGGGGGUAGGGGUGCUUUGUGUGCAGGGGUAGGGGUACUGUGUGAGGGUAGGGGUGCUGUGUGUGGGCGUGGGGGUGCUGUGCUGUGUGAGGGUAGGAGUGCUGUGUGUGGGCGUGGGGGUGCUGUGCUGUUUGGUGCUGUGUGGUAGGGGUGCUGUGUGUGUGCGUGAAUCUGAGGGGUGCUGUGUGUGUGUGUUUGUGUGAGGGGUUCUGUGUGUGUGUGUCUUGGAAGGGUGCUGUGUGGGAGAGGAAUGCUGUGUGGGGGAGGGAGUGCUGUGUGGGGGUAAGGGUGCUUUGUGUGCGGGGGUAGGGGUACUGAUGAGGGUAGGGGUGCUGUGUGGGGGGUAGGGGUCCUGUGUGUGUGGCUGGGUAGGGGUGCUGUGUGUGUGUGGGAGGAGUGCUGUGCUGUGUGUAGGGGGGUGCUGUGUGUGUGGGGAGGAGUGCUGUGUGUGUGUGUGUGUGUGGGGGUAGGGGUUGAGGCUCUCACCAACAUAGAGGUAAUAUUAAAAUCCAUAGGAUGAUAUUAGGUCACCAAGAGAGGCAGUGUAAAUUGAGAAAAAAAGAAGUGGUCCCAGAACAGAGUCUUGAGGAACUCCAAAUAGGAGAGGUACAGAAAGAGAGACACAACCAGAGAAAGACACUGAAGGAGUGGUUAGAGAGGUAAUAUAAGAACCAGGAGAGUGCUUUCUCCAAGGCCAAAUGUAGAAGGUAUAUUUAACUCUAGUGUCAGCAUGUGUAGAUCAGAAUAGUAUAUCUGGUGCCUCCCUCACCACUGACUCCACCUCCUAUGGUAGCACUUUUUACCCAUUCACACUUUUAGGGUUCUUUUCAACAUCAGUGGUUCUGUGUCUUUGUUUGAAGAUGGUAAUAACAUAACAUCGUAUUCCUGCCUCUUAACCAUACACUGUCCCUGUAUGCAGAUCAUCACUGCUGAAGCAUGGCAGAAGAAUAACUAAUCAGGCCCUCAGGAUGUGGUUUGGCAGCAUUGAUAGUGUGAAUGGUUACUUAAGACAAAGUGGCCACAAUAUUCCUGAAAAUUAGCAAUCUGUCCUUUCCUGUGAGUGGAAUGGUUAUGGUUAUUUAACCAGCCAGCCCAUAUCAGUACAACCUUUAGUCCAUGACAAAUUUUCCUGAGUGCGAAGUCCAACCAUCGACAGAUAUCAUGUUUGUUAUCACAUUUAUAGUAAUGUGCCUCCUAUAUCCUCAAUUAUUAACAAAACUGAUGGCAGCAUGGGGGAAACAGACAUUUUGAACUCUUUAAAAAAAAAAAGCAAUUUCAACAUUGUAUAGGCAUGGAUCAGAAACAGGUCAUCAAUUAUUUGUUUGUUUGUUUUUGUUGCCCCGUGUCUUUAAUUUAGAAAUAUGACUAUGCAUCUAUUACAUAGCAAGGACCUUUCAGCGUUUUUUAACACUGUCUGCAUAAGCUGAAAAGGAAACUGUAAAUGUAUACAGUGUGUCUGGUGAAAAUAUUUGGCAUUUGCAUUUUAAUGAGUCUGUGGAAUGAAGCUGGUCUGAGCUGGUCUUUCCCUUUCCUUCCCCUCCCAGCUCAGGCUUCCAGUACAAGCAUUCUGUGAGAGCAGCCAGUAUCCCUCCCCCGCCAGCACAUAUUACCAUCCAAAUUCUGUGCUGUCUACUACAAAGGUCAUGUGACCCUCAUCAGUCUCCCAGGGUGGAGGAGGGGAAGCAGAUUGAACCUGUUCUUUGUUAAGAGGUCAAAGCCAGCUCCCAGAACAGGAAGAAAGAAUUACCAACAACUUUAUAAUAGCUGUGCACUCAGAUCAAAUGAAUGCCUAGAGGCUGGGAAACUGAUAGUUUACAGUAAAAUGUUGCAGGCAGAUCAGCCCUACACCAUAGUAACCAUUUCAAUGUUGCAGAAAUACACAACUUGAUUUAAAUGCAAAAUAAUAACAAAAGCUUCAUAGCUUUAACAUAUAUUUGAGCAGUGCAUUUAUAAAGCCUCCUUUUUUCUCUGUAAAUAUACAUGAUUAACAGGAAAUUCCUGUAGCAAAAUGAUUGUUUUUUUAAUAUAUAUAUACAGUUCUAAUUAUAGAGCAAAAAAUACAAGUAAGAAUAUCACAAAAGGUUUUACACAGAAGAUACAGUAGGUUUAAUGAGCGAUGACCACAUGGUCCGUGAUAGAACAAUGUGCAUACAUUAAAAAAUAUUUCGCAUUUUCAAACUUGAUUUUUGGCAAUUGCACAUAUGUGCAAAAUAUUUCACUAUAGAUUUUGGGGAUGAAGAGGUCUCGGCAUGUUAAUACAGAAAUAAAUAGUGUCACGCUUCACAUCUCUCUUUAAAGUCUUAAAUCUAAGAGCGUGAUCAUCGUAUCAACAAAAAGGAAAGAGACAUGUCAGUGCCACCCUGAAGGUGUUCUAGAAUAUUACACUAUUUCAGUUUUACCAUACACUGAUCAGCCUGAACAUUAAAAGCACCUGCCUAAAAUCAUGUAGGUGCCCCUUGUGCUACCAAAACUGCUCUGAUGCUUCAAGGCUUCCACAAUACUUCUGAAUGUGUCCUGUCCUAUUUGAAGGGACAAUAUGGGCUCCCAGAUCACUUAAUCUCGUUGAAAUGGUCUGGGUGAAAUGUCCCUGUUCCUAACCCUGCAAUAUUAGUAACAUUGCAGGGUUAAACCUGUUUUCCUGGCACUAUAGGUCCCUGCAGUGCCCCCCUCCCUCGAGACCCUCCUCUCACAGGGCUGGAGGGGAUAAAACCCCAUCAGCCACUUAUCUGAAUCCAGCGCUGAUGACCCUCGGUGCUGGGUCAUGCUCCGUCCACGCUCCUCCCCCUGUGAUGUCAGCCAGCGGGGGAGACCUAAUGCGCAUGCAUGGCAAUGGUCGCGUGAGCAUUAGACCUCCCCAUAGGAAAGCAUUAUUCAAUGCUUUCCUAUGGGGAAAAUCUGACGCUGGAGGUUCAUGUGGACGUCCAGCGUCAGAUAAUGGACCAAAAGUCCGUGUGGAUCCUGGAAGCGCCCCCAGUGGCUAUCUAUUAGAUAGUCACUGAGGACAGACUUAGAGCUGCAAUGUAAACCCUGCAGUUCUCUGGAACUGCAAUGUUUAACAUUGCAGCACUAAGUGCAAUAGAGAGACAGCACCCAGACCCCUUCAAUGAUCUGAAGUGGUCUGGGUACCUACAGUGCCCCUUUAAGACUGUCUCUAGUGGCUAUCAGACAGCCCAUAGAGGCACUUCCCACAUGCUCUGGAUGAAGAUAUUCAGCAUCAGUUAAAUUCCCAAAGGAAGGCAUUGCAGCAAUGCUUUCCUAUGGCGGGGCCUAAUGCAUUCUCAGAGCUUGCCGGGCAUGGGCAUGAGCAUUGGUCUUAGCUGGAGUCGGGCUAGUACAGUUAGCUGUUUUGAACCCUUACAGUGUGGGGGUGGGGGAAUGGAGGUGGGGAGGAGGUGGAACUAUAGAGCUAGUAAUACAACUUUGAUUUCCUAGCACUAUUAUAGCUCUUUAUUAUAUCUAAGUCUUUCAAGUGCAAGGUGGGGCCUCCAUGGAUCAGAUUUGUUGUUCCAGCACAUUCCACAGAUGCUCAGAUUGUUAUCUGGGAAAUUUGUAGGCAACACCUUGAACUCUUUUGUGAUGUUCCUUAAACCUUUCCUUAACACUAUUUGCAGUGUGGCAGGUUGCAUUAUCCUGCUAAAAGAGGCCACUGCCAUCAGGAAAUACCAUUGCCGUGAAUUGUCUGCAACAUUUUCUAGACAGGUGAUACAUGUCAGAGUAACAUCCGCAUAAAUGCCAGGACCCAAGGUUUCCCAGAAGACCAUUGCCCAGAGCAUAAUACUCCCUCUAUGGCCUGUCUUCUUCCUAUAGUGUAUCCUGCUGCCAUCUCUUUACCAGGUAAUUGGAGCACACUCUAAAAAGAGAAAAGAGUUACUUGCGCAUUAUCCCAAAUCCCUAUACAUGUUUAAAUAACUGGAGGUUUUAAGUAUCACUCCAAUGGCCAUUUAAGUGUAAGCUCACCUGCCACAUCACAAAACUCUUAGGUGAGUCCUACACUAGCAAUUCACCUUGCUUUCUUCAGCUUCAGGUAAAAAAAUCUCUAAUGAGACAGAGAGGGGUAUUUUUCUAAACCACUACAAACUUAUUAAACCUUAAUAGAGAACACAUGGUGUGUGCCGCAGCAUGGUAACAUAACAAAAAUAAGAUGCACAUACAGCUGGCCUUCCACCUGAUCUAAAAGAAAAUGUGAUUAUCAGACCAGGCAACCUUCUUCCAUUGCUUCAUGGUCCGGUCCACUUCCUCAUCAAAGGCUCUUUUGGCGAUGGACAGGGGUCGUCAUAGGAACUCUGACCAGGUCUGCAGCUGCGCAGCCCCAUGCACAGCAAAUUGUGAUAUUGUGUGUUCUGACACCUUUCUAUCAUGGCUAGCAUUAUGAUCUUCACCAAUAUGAGCUACGUCUUUACAUCUUCUGUGUGAUCAUACCAGCCAGGCUAACCUUUGCUCCUCACAUUUAGCCUUCCUUGAACCACAUUUGCUAGGCACUAACAACUACCACGCCCCUGCAGUUUACAAUAUUUUUUGUGACAUUUUGGUUCAUGUUUAAAUGUUUUUUUUCUGAAACGAGUGCAAGGACAAAAUUGAUCUGAACGCCACGUGGACGAAUCUUGGUUUCUCCAAAACCAAAAUAUUUUUUUCAGACAAAUCAAUUAGAAGGAAAUAUUAGAAGACAUAGUUUGCACCCACAACACUAAUUCUCUUUAUCUACUAAUGACUAAAAUAAUUUUACCAGCAAUCAUUAUUAUACUAUAUUUUUUAUAGCCAUCAAAUUCCACAAUGCUGUACAAUAAAAGACAAGUUGAAUUUAGCAAACUUUGCAACAUGUUGAAUAUAACCUGAACAAAGUUACAUGUUAGUACAGAUAGAUAAAGGACCCUGCUUUGUGAGCUUACACUCUAAAAGGAGGUUGGGUUAAUACAAAGACUGUAGAUAAGGAAUUUUAAGGAAGUGGGUGAUUUGUAUGGUUAAUUAAAAGGGCAGACAUUGAAAAUGCUUAUUUGAAUAGAUGUGUAAAUGUGUGUAAUGUGGAGUGGAAUUUAAAAGAACAUGGCUUAAUGAUGAACACAGGAAUAAGGCGUGGAGAUGGAAGAGGACAGAGGUAAUGAGAGAGGCAAGCUGGAGUGUAUUCGGCUGGGGCAGCUAUAUGACAACGAAGGUGGAAGUUAAGAUGAAGUGGGGCAAUGUGAAAGGAAGGUUAUUUGCAAUUGGCAGGUAGCAUGGGACAAACUUGGUGCAUGCAGGCCUGUAAUAAUAAAAGUUUAUCAGUAAAGCAAAAUGUAAAGCCCUCUGACAAAGGAGCAUCCGCUUAUCCCUCAGUUGAGAUAAGGGUGAGGGAUAUAGUGUUUCUUCAAAUAUGAAAAGAUAUCCCAUACAACUUGAUUGUUUUGUGUCAGGUGCGAGAAGACUUGAUGUCCCACCCCAGACCAAUUUAGAAGAAAUGGCCUGUCCCGUUACUAGUUUAAGAACAGCUGCCCAUCUCCCCAAUAGUAUUCGGUAGUUGCAAUAAAAGGUAUCUGUCAUCAAGGCAUAGAAAAGUUUUUUGGUUUUGAUUUUUAAAUUCAAAAGGGCUAUUACAGAGCCCACUGGUAUGGACCUGUGCUACAGUGCAAGUUAAGGCACAUACAGAUACAGAGCCGCAUGUGCACCUACCUUACCUUACCUCUAUCCUUUAGGGUAAAUAUUGGCAUGCAUUUAGCAUGUACUCUAGAUGGAAUGUUUCAUUGGCACUAAGUUAUUAAGUCACGUAAGGCUUCGGUUUGGACAUUAAGGUAUUUCCUGUAGAAGCUGUAGAAUAUUAAACUGUAAUCGUUACAUAUACAGAUUCUAAAAAACACUACUUGCAAUGUGAAUGGUGUUUUUUUUAGUAUGGCUGCUAGAUAUAUUGAGGAACAUUAGAUUUAAGGAAUUUUGGUGUUUUAUUUAUUUAACAUUACAACAGGAUAUAAUUCAAUUGCUCUCAAUAUUACAAGCCUAAAGGAGGCAUGAAAUACAUAGGGAAAUAAGGUAUCAGGAACUCUGCCGGAGCCAGGAGAUACAUUUAUUUAGUACUAUGGCAGGGUCCUAUCUCAUUUAUACCAACAUUAGGAAGUAUUAAAAGGAUACUGUAGGCACUAUAACUAUUUCAUCUCAUUUAAUUGGUUACAGUAAUGUAGUGGUUGGAGUCCUCUGGCAUUGUCCCUCCAUUCAGAGUUAAACCAUGUUCGAGUAGUUGAACACUAAAUAAGGGUCACUUGCGAGACACAGCCCAUUUCAAACUGGAGGUAUGGCUAAGGCACAGAUAGCAUAUUUCCUUUUAGCCAUACCAAUUCAUACCAGCAAUGGGCAUUGUGGUAGGCUGAAAGCAGUCAGCUGACACUUUUAGCCAAUCACAGCUUCCCAUUGCUGCUCAGGUUAAUGUUUUCUCAUAAGCCCAAGCAGCAUAUAAAGGAUGAACUGCUGGGCACUUUUGUUUAGGUGUCCCUCAUUUUUGUGCAGCCAUUGUUUCCUAACUCCCAAACCACUUAUCCCACAACAAUAACAUUUGUCAUAAGAUAUCUUAUAAAAUAUUUUUUAAAAAUCAUUUUUUCAAGGAGUUCUCAUGAGGACAAAAUGUGUCUUUCCACCCCUGCUUAGAAUUAUGUGUAUGAAAUCUAGCCGAGCUAAUUCCCAUUGCAUGCAUUUCUUUGCUGAGCCUAAUUUCUUUGCUAAUCGCACGUAACAUUGAAAUUACAGUGUCAGAGUUUGUGAGAAGAUUAUAAAAAUGUGAAGUGACCUUUCAUGUGUUCCCUUCGCCUGAAUAAAGCUAUACCUCUGACACAGAUCUACGUAUACAGGAGUUUACUGGCCUGAUUUCCAUACAAGAUCUUCACACGCACAAAGAUUUACAGAUUUGCAAGUACAGAGCAUUGUUGAAAUUCUCACUCAUGCAUGAGCACAUUCUAUCCUGCACAUCAUUUUUGUUUAAUUUUAAAUAUCACUGAUCUUUUAUGUUUUUGCUGAGAAGUGAAAAACAACCGACAUAACUUUGAAUGAUGGGAGUGUCUUAUCUGUUCUUUCUGAUCACAGGCUUACAGUAACAUAUAACAAGCCUCUGAGAAUGAGCCUUAAAAAUAAUCAUUAAAAAAAAUUGGCAAAAAUAAUUUUUAUUGUGUUUGUAUGUUAAACAUUUAGUGCACAUAUGGGUUAAAUAGAUGUUAUUGUUAUCAAAGGGAUACGGUUGAUGAAAUUAGUGCCAGGAGUAGUUCUAAGAUUUAGGUUAGGUUUCUACAUCUCAAGAGAAGCCAGGUAUUAAUUUCCGUAUUGAAAGACAUAUUAAAAAGUUAUUUUAUGUUUUAGCAGGCAAAGGAAUAAAUGUCAGCAUUUAACCAAUAGGGUUAGUAGAACUAUCCCUUAACCAUUGACAAUGAUGUAGAAUGUAUUAUAUAAAGCAGAGAAUAUUGCAUACUAUUUAAAGUAUCUAAUUUAAAAUAAAAUCUUCCCACCCUAACUUAAGGAUAGUAAAAUAUUAUGCAUUAACAAGGCCAGUAUUUGUUUUCUUCACAAACGGUAUGUUAUAUAUGACCCAAGAGGACUUUUCUAUGCCAGCCAGCCAGCAUGAACCAUUUAUUAUAUUACACUAUUGUUUUAUCACGCCUGCCCACACAGUAAAUCUUAACUGUCUACAGCUUACCAUAUGAAGACUGUGGACAGAGAUGAUAUAGAUUGCAUACUUGAAAACAUUCCCUAUAACAAAAAUCUUUUUUUUUUAUUACUGCUUGUAAAGUAGAGUCUUGUGAUAUCCUCUAUUAUAAAUCUACAUUUUGCAAAGUUAUGGUUACCCUUCAUCAACUAACACAGCUUGAGAUGUAUCCGCAAAGAAUGGUUCGAGUUAUACAUAUAUGAAAAAGAAACAUGAAAAGAACAGAUGGAGAGAAAGACAGGCAGACAGACAGAACAAUAUACAGAUGAGGGAUACAAGAGAUGUUUUGUAUCCUGGGACAUCAAAUUCCCUCUUGAGCAUGUUUCCUGACUCUCCGAUUGUAUCUCCCCAGACCCUGGUUGUACAUCUCUCUUGACCCUUCUCGUGUCCCGAUCCCCUCUACCAUACCUUCAUGGUACAUCUCUUCUCACUCAUUUGGCGUAUCUCUCUUUUUCCUCUUUGUGUGUUUCUCCUUACCUGCCAUAAGUGCCUCUCUCCUGACCCUAAUUGUGCAUCUCUCCUUACUUCCCUUGUGUCUCUUUCCACACCCUUGUGUGUCUCUCUUCACCUAUUUGUGCCUUUCCAAUACUCCGUACUCUCUGUGCCAUUCUACAACUUCACCUACCUUGUUCAUAGCAUGGCAGAGUGGAGUCAUGGAGUCUAUAUAAUACAUUACCAGGUUCUUACCAGGGAAUUAUUUAAUAUUGCCAAAUCCUUUUGUUUGUUUUUCUUCUUUUGUUUCUUCUUUUUUAUAGGGAGUCCUUGUUAACUAGUUGGCUAUUUUUAAAGAAAAUACUGGUUGUCAGCCCAGUAGGAAUUUUCUCAGUUCCCCAGGCAAGUCUGACCUUGUCAGCACUUUGUCUAUCCAGCCAUAUGUUUGGUUUCUCCACAGCAAGGUCCCUUCAGUUAUGAAAAUAUUGAACUGUACUUUCCAGUCUCAUAAAUGUUGUUAUUUUAGAACACUAGUAUUUUGGCAGGAUUACAAUGUCCAUAAAUCACUAUACAUUGAAAACUGGUUUGUAAGUGUUUUAUUUAGCUAUUCUCUUUGCACGGAAACAUUGUACAUACUUCAUCAAAGUUUCCUGAGCAGUGAAUGUCCCUGAUCUAUUUAGACCUACACAAGUGGUGUCUCCUAGUUUCAAGCAUAAAAAGAAAUCUUAUGUUUAACUUCUUAGACUGAAGUAUCAAAUGUUCAUGUAUAAUAACAUACCACACCUCACAACUUUCUGUGACUGUCCAAUCACAGGCUGCCCUGUCUUGCAAGUCAGGUGCUCUGGGGCAUUUGCUUGCCUCUUGGGUUUAGCUCCAUUGAGUUAAACUACCAGGAAGUAACAAGACCGGUGCCUGAUUUACAGUGGGGAGGGGGAGGUGGGAGAGGGGGGUGAAGAUGAAGUGCUUUAAGAGUCUGCCGUACCCAAACUGUGUGCCGAGGCACCCCAGUGGGCACACAGGGGCACCGCAAAAUGUUUUCCCAGUGCUAUAAACAUUUCUGCUGAGCAGGGGCCCGGUCAGACGCAGCCCUUUAAGACUGCGACCAGGCCCCUGUAGUGUCGGCAGGCUGGGAGGAAGUGACAGCCUGUCACUUCCUCCCAGCUUCGUGCAGGGAGACAGCGCACGAGGAAGAGAAGGCAGCUACAAAGGCAUCAUGUGGAGAGAGGAGCACAGAGAGCUGUUCCAGACACCUACCACCAUCCAGCAGCAGAACCAGGAUAUCAAGCCACCCUCUUGGACACAUAAGGUAAGCUAACAGGAGGUGGCUGCAGAAAUAAAAAAUAUCACUUGUGUGUGUGUGUGUGUGUGUAUAUAUCAGUGUGCUAGUUUGUGUGUGUGUCUGUGUGUGUGCACCCAUCUGUGUAUCAGGAUGUGCAUCUGUGUGCCAGGGUGCGUGUUUUUAUGUCAGUGUGUGAAUCUGUGUCAUGGUGUGUGCAUGUGUCAGUGUUUGUGUGUGUCAGGAUGUGUGUAUCUGUGUGUCAGAGUGUGGGUUUGUGUGUGUAUAUGUUGGUGUAUGCAUGUGUUAAGGUGGUUGUAAAUGUCAGUUUGUGUGUAUGUGCUGGUGUGUGUAUGUGUCGGGGUCUAUAUGAAUUUGUGUGUAUGUGUCUGUGUAUUUAUAUGUAUCUCUGUGUUAAUGUGCAUGUAUAUCUGUGUAAGUAUGUAUGUAUGUGGUAGUGUAUGUGCAUACACACUCCUGCAAUCUAAUACAAGUUGGAAGGCCAUUUGGCCUGAAUUUGUGGGAGGAGUUAUGAACCUUUAUAAACCCUACCCCCCUACUUACUUUUGCUAUUCAAGCUGUUUUGACUGUCACCAUAGUUACCUGCAUUUCCGGUCAGCUGUUCCUGCCGAGUCCUGCAUCGAGCUUACUCUCACUAAAGUAAUUACCGAACACCUAUUCUCACACACUUUCGUAUGUUUCUGACAUUCGUCUGUUUAGCCAAACGCGUACGAUCGGCUGUUUAUCACUCAAUCUUUCGUUUGGAUCCUUGUCUAUCUACCACACACGGGCCAGUUAUAUCCCGAACGUAAUAGUAACCGAACACAAGGGGGUUAUAUAUGUAGUUUAUAAAUUCAAAUGUUCCUUACCUAUUUCUUCCUAUGGUUUUUCUUAAAUCCAUGUGACACCAUUCACCACCCGUCAUUUAGUAUGAUAUAUUCCUAGGGGCCAUUCUCUUAAAGUAACAUGUGGCCCCUCUACGUUUGUGAUAUCGAUAAGCUGAGCCACCAUUACGCCUCUUAAAAUUAUCCAGCUCCACGCUUAUUCUGUUCUUUAGUCAUAAUUGUUGUUUGGUUGCUUAAAUCUCUGUCUAAAUUAAACAUUAUUCCUGGUUCCUUAUACUUAUAUAUAAUAUGUUUUUAGGUUCUGCCUCUCUUCUUAAAGUAAUAACUCCAGGACGUAUUUCCAGUACCCCAUUUGAAGAUUCAGGUAAAAAAGAUUGCCAUUUUCUAAGUUUUCACGAGGCCUCAUUCAGCCUCCACAGCCUUUUUUACAAAUACCCUCCCACCGCCUAAGUGGGUUACAAACUUUAAACACCACCUGAUGUCAAGAUGCAUCACCCAUCAUGUGACUGUUAUUAUUUGUACAUAUUACAUUUGUUUAUCAUUUCUGAAAAAAAUUACUUUUUACGUUCUCCUGAGGCCCCAUUUCAGCCUCCCCAGCCUUUUUUACUAUGCCCUCUCACCUCCCACCUCCCACCUCCCAAAGUGGGUUCAAACUUUAAACACACCAGGUUUAAAGAUGCCUCACUCUCCAUGUUACUAUUAUAUUAAGUGUAAAUUCCGUUUUAAUUUCUACAUAUCAUUACUUAGACCUGCACCAUUUCGCAGAUUCACUACGCCUUCAACAAUCAUCAGGCUACCUGGUUCCCGACGUUUCAGUAUCAGGUAUCCUCAAAUCUUACUCACUACAAAUUACGUCCUUCUAAGGCCUCACUUCGCCUUCAUAUCUGUCACAAAAUACUGCUCAGUUGUGGGAUCCCAGGGGCUUGUCUCCAAAAAUUUGGACCAACGUCCAGGUCCCUCUGAUUACACAGGUGUUUAUGAUACAGUUUUACUGUUACACACCAUUCCAUACGUUCUACAUUUUUACACUUGGCUUACCGAUGGCACGCCUCAGGCCUACUAGCAUCUUUCUUACCCCUAGGUUCCUGGACUGGACCCGUUCUUCACAGUAUAUAUAGACAUAUAUAUUGAAGUUGCCCUAAGCAUUGUCUAAAUAUAUUAUUUUUAUUUAUACAUAGAUAUAUAGUGAUAUAUACAUAUAUAUUUAUGUAUAUAGGUAUAUAUUAUUUCGUUCAGAAGUGCUUAAACUGAGCACAAAAUAAAUAGUGGUUUGCCUACUUGUGAUAUCAUCACUGCUACUAGCAGAGUUGAAUGUAAUUGGCAGAAACCCAAGAAGUGUGUUAAUGACAUUCNNNNNNNNNNNNNNNNNNNNNNNNNNNNNNNNNNNNNNNNNNNNNNNNNNNNNNNNNNNNNNNNNNNNNNNNNNNNNNNNNNNNNNNNNNNNNNNNNNNNUAAUAAAGCUGAGGUAAUCUAGACUUUUUUGACCUAGGCUACUUCUCUUCUCAGUGACAAUACCUCCUGCUGACAGGACACUUGAAGCGGGGCAGGCCAGAAGUUCUAUCGCAAAUUGGGAUAGCUCAGGCCACAGGUCAAGCCUGCACACCCAGUAGUCAAGGGGUUCAUCGCUCCUCAGAGUGUCGAUAUCUGCAGUUAAGGCGAGGUAGUCUGCUACCUGUCGGUCGAGUCGCUCUCUGAGGGUGGAUCCCGAAGGGCUGUGGCGAUGCGUAGGACUUAAAAGGUCCGCAUGUCCUCCAUCAACAACACGCUUCCUAAAGCGCCCUGUCUCUUGCCGGUUAUGGUCAUGGGAGGAAAGGAGGAUGACUUCCACCUUCCCUGUUAGAUUCCCUCCCCGCUGUGCUGUGACAUCACCUUAUACGCUGUGUAAAGCAUACUUUUCAAUUUAUUUUGCAAAUGCUGCAUCCUUUCAUACUUGUUGUAAUUCGCAACAUUUCCUCGGGCCACUUUCUGCUUAUACCGAGCGUCUAGUAGCGUGGACACCCAGUACAGGUCGUUCUCCUUCAGCCUUUUUAUACGAGGGUCCCUCAACAGGCACGACAGCAUGAAAGACCCCAUUUGCACAAGGUUGAUGCCGAGCUACUCAUUUCCUGUUCCUCCUCCUCACUGAUGUCAAUGAAGGUAUUUUCUUCCCCCCAGCCACGUACAACACCACAGGUACCAGAUAGGUGACAAUGAGCACCCUGGGAUGCCUGUUGUGGUUGGUCUUGCUCCUCCUCUUCCUCCUCCUCAAAGCCACAUCCCUCCUCUGACUCCUCUUCCUCACAAUCCUCUUCCAGCGUUGCCGCAGGUCCAGCAAGCGAUGCUGAUAAGGCUGUUUCUGGAGGUGAUGGUGACCACAACUCUUCCUCUUCCUCUUCACGCUCAUCUAUGGCCUGAUCCAGCACUCUCGCAGGGCAAUUUGGUGAAGAAAAAAAACAAUGGUAUGAUGUCGCUGAUGGUGCCUUCGUGCGAUCGACUAAAUUUUUGUCACCUUCCUCAAAAAGCGAUUUUCAUGAGCCUACAGGCAUUGGCGCAUGAGCCGCCCAGUAACGCGGCAAAAUUCUGCAGCUCCCCAGAGGCUGUCUCUAGCACCCCCGGUCAUACAAAUAUUAUUCACAACGGCUUUUUCUUUUGUUGGAGCAGGCGGCCUAACAUUAGGGAGUGUUGAAUUCCAACGUGUCGGGCUGUCGCAAAUCAAGCGCCUCACUGGCAUGUUGUUUCGCCGCUGGAUAUCGGCAAAGUGAGCCAUGGCCGUAUAGGAACGCCUGAAAUGGCCACACACCUUCCUGGCCUGCUUUAGGACGUCCUGUAAGCCUAUGUACUUAUGCACAAAGCGUUGUACGAUCAGAUUACACACGUGCCAUGCACGGCACAUGUGACAACUUGCCCAACUUCAAUGCCGCUAACAAAUUUGUUCCGUUGUCACAAACCACUUUGCCGAUAUCCAGUCGCUGCGGAGUCAGCCACUUUUCCACCUGUGCGCUCAGGGCGGACAGGAGUGCUUGUCCGGUGUGACUCUCUGCUUUCAAGCAAGUCAAACCCAAGACGGCGUGACACUGCCGUAUCCGGGAUGUGGAAUAGUACCUGGGGAGCUGGGCGGGUGCCGUUGAUGUGGAGCAAGACGCAGCAGCAGAAGAGGACUCAGCCGAGGAGGUUAUGGAAGAGGAUGGAGUAGGAGGAGUAGAGAGGUGGCAGCAGGACUGCCUGCAAGUCGUGGCGGUGUCACCAACUCCUCUGCAGAGCUAUGCAUUCCAUGCUUGGCAGCAGUCAGCAGGUUUACCCAAUGAGCAGUGUAGGUGAUAUACCUGCCCUGACCAUGCUUUGCAGACCAGGUAUCAGUGGUCAAAUGGACCCUUGCCCCAACACUGUGUGCCAGAGAUGCUAUUACUUCCUUUUGCACAAUUGAGUACAGGUUGGGGAUUGCCUUUUGCGAAAAGUAAUUUCGGCCGGGUACCUUCCACCGCGGUGUCCCAAUAGCUACAAAUUUUUUGAACGCCUCAGACUCCACCAGCUUGUAUGGUAAAAGCUGGCGGGCUAAUAGUUCGGACAAGCCAGCAGUCAGACGCUGGGCAAGGGGGUGACUUUCUGACAUUGUCUUCUUACGCUCAAACAUGUCCUUGACAGACACAUGACUGUGGGAAGAUGAGCGCGAACUGCUCAAGGCGGGAGGCGGAGUGGCGGAUGGUUGAGAGGGGACAAGGAGGACAGCAGUGGUUGACGUGGCUGAAGAUGCUGGACCAGGAGGAGGCUGGCUGCUUAGAGUAGGCGAGCUGCUUGUACUCAUGUGUUGAUCCCAUAGGCGUUUGUGAUGUGAGAUCAUGUGCCUACGCAAAGCAGUUGUACCUAGGUGGGUGUUGGACUUCCCACGACUCAGUUUCUUUUUGCACAGGUUGCAAAUGGCAUCGCUGUUGUCAGAGGCAGACACACAAAAAAAAUUCCACACUGCUGAGCUCUGCAAUGACGGCAUUCUGGUGGUGGACACAGCAUGCGUUGAUUGGCGUGCUGUCGGGCUGACCCUCUCGGUGCCGCAUGCAUGCUGUCUGGACUGUGCCACUCAGCUCCCUGCACGCACCUCCCCCUGCUUCCAACCUCGCCUCCCUCCUCCUCCCUCCCUCCCCCUGCCUCCCAUCUGAACUUUUGCCCUGUUCUUCUUGACGAAAUGGCACACACGCGGACAUCCGGCGGACGAUCGCCACCAACCGCCACUUGUAUCUGACAACUCAGCAAAGGAAGCAGCAGCGGGUACAACAUCAUCAUCAUCACACCGUACGUCCAUGUGUGUAAUGCUGCCUGCCAGAGACAUAUCCCUGUUAUCUACAUCCUCUGGCAAUAAUGGUUGCGCAUCACUCAUUUCUUCAAACGGAUGUGUGAAUAACUCCUCUGACAUACCAACUGAAACGGCUGUGGUGCUAGUUUUGGUGGUGGCGGCAGGCGGGUGAGUGGUAUCUUGAGAGGUGCCUGAAGCUAAGCUGGAGGAGGAUGGUGCGUCAAGGUUCUGAGCGGAGGCUGUAGAAGAUUGGGUGUCCUGUGUUAGCCAGUCAACUAUGUCCCCAGAACUUUUCAAGUUCAGGGUACGUGGCCUCUGAAAACUGGGCAUUAUUCUAGGGCCAAAGGGAAUCACAGCACCACGACCACGAUGGCCCCUGCGGGGUGGCCUGCCUCUGCCUGUCAUUUUUGUUGGGAUUAGUGGUACUAUGCGUGUAAGCUACUGUGAGACCAGAUAUGAGUGGCAAUGUGCACUGGCACAGUUAUGCAGAGCACAGGCUGUAGGCCUGACACCCGCUUGAAGAUAACUAACUGCUAUUCAAUCUAUAACAGUGAAAAAAGUUUUUUGUUUUUUUAAAUCCAAGCUAUUGUGACACCAGAUCUAAUUGGUGGCACUGGUCAGCGUAUCCACUGUUAGCGUAACACACCCAUAUGACAAUUGACUGCUAUUCAAUCUAUAACAGUGAAAAAGUUUUUGUUUUUAAAUCAAGCCAUUGUGACACCAGAUAUAAGUGGUGGGGCAAAUUGACUGGGAAAUGUAGCACAGCAUUCACUGUGAGCCUGACACAGAAGCUGGCAGCAGUGGCAGACAACUGACUGCUAUUCAAUCUAUAACAGUGAAAAAAGUUUUUUGUUUUUAAAUCCUUGCUAUUGUGACACCAGAUAUAAGUGGUGGCACUGACUGGGGAAAUGGGCACAGUAUCCACUGUGAGCCUGACACAGAAGCUGGCAGCAGUGGCAGACAACUGACUGCUAUUCAAUCUAUAACAGUGAAAAAAGUUUUUUGUUUUUAAAUCACAGCUAUUGUGACACCAGAUGUAAGUGGUGGCACUGACUGGGGAAAUGGGCACGGUAUGCACUGUGAGCCUGACACAGAAGCUGGCAGCAGUGGCAGACAACUAAGUGCAAUUACAUUACAUAGAAAUUUUUUUUUUAAAAAAGCAUACCCUAACCCUAACCUAGCUAUGCUUUUCCCUAUCUAAUGAACAGCAGCUACACUUUCCCUCCUCUUACUAAGCAUGCAGCUUGAGAAUGAAUCUAAGAUGGAUGCCUUCCAGGAGGUGGGAGGGUCUGCUAGGGAGGGUGUGCUGCUAAUUGGCUGGAAUGUGUCUGCUGACUGUGAGGUACAGGGUCAAAGUUUACUCAAUGAUGACGAAUAGGGGGCGGGUCGAACCGCGCAUAUGUUCGCCCGCCGUGGCGAACGCGAACAUACUAUGUUCGCCAGGAACCGUUCGCCAGCGAACCGUUCGGUACAUCACUAUUGGCUAAUGUCAAUUUUAGCACUGGACAGUCAAUGGUGGCUUGGCCAACCCCACCAUAUCACCUCUAUCCUAACUUUAGCCCAUCCUGUAGUGAUUGAAGUGACAUCAAGAGGAGGAAGUCUGGGCUUCAGAGAGAACUUGACCUUAAGGCUAGAAGAUAACUAAGUUUUUGCAUUUAUUUUUAUAUAUUUUUUUCAGUUUAGGGGGGCAGACCUCAGAAAAGUUUACUCUAAUAAAAUUUUUUAAUUUUUUCUUUGUGAAGCACUGGUUUGGCUGAGCAUGGUAAUUGAAGCUCAUAGACCUAUGAGAAGCACUGGAUUGGACAAAAGUCAUCAUAACUGUUGGAAGAGGAGUGCCGAUAGCAAGGAGCCUAUUCCAGCGCUGGAUUACAGGUAAGUAUUGUGGCUUAUUUUAUUUUUGAAUUUUUAUUGAGAAAACAGAACAUAUUACAUAGUCACAAAUUUCCUCAAUUCGAAAUAUUACAAAAGAUUUGCACAGGAAAUAAAAACCUCCGACAAUACAUAUGCAGACAACCAAUGAUAAUGUAAUCUGUAGAGUAAAAGUCUAACAAUAUGGUAAAUGGUAAAUGGUAAAAGUAUGUUCCUCCCUAUUUAAAAAGAGAACUAACAAUAUAAUUAAAAAAAUCUAACAAUGUAUGAGUAGCUUUUGAAGGCCAUUAGAAGUAGUGGGCCUAAGGUUGGACAUAAAUAGUUUCCAUUUUAACAUUAGCUUGUUCCUUUGCACAAAUGAAUUCCAUCAUAAAUUCAUGUACUUCUUUUUUCAUAAUUAUUGCAUGCAUUUAUUGUACCUCAUGACUUGACCAUUUGUACGAUGUUAAAGAGUUAAAUUUUCCAGAAAUAUGAUUGUUUAUGCUACCUCUGUACUAUUCUUGCCAUAAAUAAUGUGCACACAUACUGUCACAAGAUCAAAUUACUUUUUUAUCUUGAAUUUUUAUGGUUGAAGUUUAUUUGACCCAGGCAAGAUAGUAAAAAAAAAAAUUCUCAGUUACAGUUAUUAGGUGUAUUUACAGAACAAUGAAUUGUUUGUGAUUAAAAAAUGAAACAUUUUCAUGAUCCUAAAGAGUACUAGAAAAAUCUUAACAGGAAAAAAGUUAUAUAUCAGUGAACACCAAAAUAAAUGCAAUGCCUUACAAAAAAAAGAUACGUAUUGCUUUGAACAAGAAUUAAUUCUUCAGAGAACAGAAUUAACUCAAAUGUUGAAGUUAGCUAGAGAACUAUAGCAUAUGUUAGUUUUGGAAAAUAUAUAGUAGUUGUGUAACUUUUUCAUUCUACUUGAUAUCUUAAUUUUUUUUAUGAAUAAAAAUAUAUAAAUAUAUCUGUAGAAGAAUAAAGUACCAGAAGAUAUGAAAAUCUUUUUUCAAUAUGUUUAUUCUAAAUUAUGUUAUAAAUAAAAUUGGUUUACUUAAUUAGAAUUACACUUGUCUGGGUGUAUCUGAAAUCAGACUGAUUUUGCAAGACUCAAUUUUGUGUUUCUCCGCUCAAUCACACAUUUCUUUUUAUAUUCCUUUUAAUUGUAGCAUUCUUUUUUAUCAUUUGACUGUUUCCAUGACUUGAAGAUGAGGAUUUCAAGGUCCUUCUUGUCAACAUUGAAUAUAGUAAGUAUGAUAUUAUUUUAUACAGUUGGACUUCUUUUUAAAACAUAGGGGAUGCUAUUGCCUAGAUUUUCAGGGCAAGGUUAGUAGGGUGGGGGGGGGAGAGUUGUGUUUUUUGUUUUGUACCAAUGUGAUGUUUUAUUGCCCAAGUAGAGGUUUAACAUUUACAUUGUGGUUGGGGGAAAUUUGACUAUACAUUUACGGGGUCAGAGUAUUUAGACCCUUAUGAACCAGAGGAACUAAGAGGUUUGGGGGCCUAAAAAGUUCCUGCAGAUUUAUAAUUAAUUACCUUUGUUAUCAGGUCCUAAGAUCCCUUUCAUUCGUUCAAAGUAUAUGUUUGUCUGACCCAAAGGGAAACACGAAUAUAAAGUAUUGGAUAUAUAUAUUUUUCCUUUCAUAUGAUUGAAGGAAACAUGAUGAUUUUGUUAUUUCAGAAUUAGGGUUAUCACUUCAGGGAUAUGCUGGUACAAUAAAAUUCAGUGGUUUAGAAGGGGUGUUACACAGCGAUUCUGAAAAAAGGCAGUGCUAAAAACUGCAGAGACUGCAGGGGUAGUUUCUUUGCCCCAGAACCCCUGCACACCCACAGAGCUUCAGAUGUUUAGAGUGUCCCUUUAAGAAACUAUUUAUUUAGCAUUUUUAUCUUAAGUGUUCCAUGCACGUACAUAAAUUUUAUUUUGAGAAGUCCAUAGUCAAGCUGAGUAUAGGUACUGUUGAAACUCAAGCAGUAGACAAAAAUAUUGCAGUUUGUACUUCUCCCAUAAAUGAGUUAUUUACUAAUAGAAUGUAGCCUCAAAUGCAUGGACUAGAUUGGUUAAAGAACUGUAGCUAUUUUAUUUCUAGCAAAGGAAGGUUUAGAACUAUAUUGCCAACUUUACAAUUCUAGACACUAUUCAUUAAAAAUGCCAGGAAAAUUUCAAAUAGCAAAUUCCCACAUGUAUGACUCAGAAACAGUAAAACUGUAAAAAAUCCACAUUGGUCUCUGCCCAAACGUGCUGUUUCCUGUUUUGAAAUUAUGUAAUGCCUGGAAAAUGAUAUGCGAUCCCAAGCUUUUACCGCAGCAACUUUAACAAUAAAAUUCCAGCCAGUUUGACAAAAGAGACUUGGUUUUAGCAUGAAGUUUUUGCAAUGUUUUAGUGUUUCAUGCCAAUUCAAAAAUUGUUUAUAACUUAAGUCAUUACAGUAUUAAAGGAGAUUAGCGUUAGUCUAGAAAUGUAGAAGGCAGACAGAUGAUUUUAGGUUAGAUGCUUCCCAGUAAAGCUUAUGUAUAUUAUUUAUGCUCUACUUGUCAAAUGUCUCAAAUUAAUAUUGCACACAUGAUGUUAUGUACAUGUAUUUAAUACAUUUUUUAUAAACAAAAAUCUAUUUUGCAUUGAAAUCUAUGACUAUUAAAAUGCAAAUGUUUAGAAAUAUAUGCUAUAGAAAGAUUAUAAUAUCAAGUGAGCAAAGACAAAAUUACCUAGAAAUAUUACAAAAGUCUUCCUGAAUUCAUAGUUUAAGACUAAUUCAUGCUGCUUUGAAGAGAACGCAAACCUACUAAUAAUUAAACUGGCAUACAAGUACCGACAAACAAAUAUUUGCCUAUAGGUAUCAAAGAGUGAAAACCAACAGGAAGGAAAUGACAUCUUCAGCCCAAGAACACAUUUCCUGUCAUUAAUUUAUGAUAUAGAUAUAUAUAUAAAUCCACAGUCUUUGCACUCCAACUUAGAAAUGAUAUUACCCAGUGCUCAGCAACACUGCAUACAAAAUUGAAUGAUGCCAAUACUCCAGGUUUUCCAUAAAAAAUCCUCUUUACUGAGUAUAUUCCAUAACAGUCCAUGUUUCAGUUCUACUCAGAAACUUUCCUCUGAGGAAAGGAAGUAUCCUGAGGAAAGUUCCUAAGUGGAACUGAAAAGUUGACUGUUAUGGAAUAUACUCAAUAAAGAGGAUAUUUUUUUGUGGAAACCUUGGAGUGCUCAUAUGUGUAUAUAUAGUAUCUCACAAAAGUGAGUACACCCCUCACAUUUUUGUAAAUAUUUUAUUAUAUCUCCUUAUGUGGCAACACUGAAGAAAUGACACUCUGCUACAAUGUAAAGUAGUAAGUGUACAGCCUGUAUAACAGUGUAAAUUUGCUGUCCCCUCUAAAUAACUCAACACACAGCCAUUAAUGUAUAAACCGUUGUCAACAAAAGUGAGUACACCCCUAAGUGGAAAUAUAUAUUUAUUUUAUUUUUUAGGCCAAAUCCAGAGUAGGGAUUGAAGAGCCAAUAACUUUUUUUUUUUUAAUAAUGAAUCAGUCUUAACAAUAUUACAUAUAUUGAAUGCUUAAAGUAUAGAGAUAUGUUUGACAAUGUUCGGAAGAUGACAUCUUUUAAAUGAGCUUCAUUUGCCGCCUCGCAAAAUCAGGUUGUUUCGACUGCAUUGUUCAUAACAUUAGUUAAUGUUUGAGGCUCUAGCACGGAUAUUCUCCUUGAGGUGCUCAAGUGUACACUGUUUGUUCACGUACACCCACUACUUUAACUACACCUCCAACCUAAAAUCAGUUUUAACCAAAAACUAUACAAAGAAAUCCAACGAAAAAAAACACCUUUUUGAAUAAAAAAGAUUUUUUUUUUAAUGUAAGAUGUGUUCUGCCUGUAAAUACACAGACAAAUCUUUUAAAACUAUGACCAAAUUUAAAUCCUCCACUCUCAAUAAAGAGUACACACUAAGAAUGUUAUAUACAUACUGGAGUGCCCCUGCGGCUCCAGUAUGUUGGUAUGACUGCCAGAUGUCUAAGAAUAAGAAUAGAGGAACAUUGUAUAAAUAUUUUAAAAGGUUUUAUGAAUCAUACAGUAUCAAAACAUUUUUUUAAUUCACAACAAAAACCCUAACCUUUUAAAGUUUUAUGCAAUAGACACCUGCACCAUACCUUGGCACUGGGGUAACAUCACAAAACUUUUGGGACAGCGUGAAAUGAAAUGGGUUUUUAAUCUUAAUACUUUAAUCCCCAAUGGUCUAAACGCAGUUUUUGAUUUAUAUGAUUUUUAUAAAAAUUUCAAAAUACAUUAUUUUAUCAUAGUUUGAUAAAAAUGCACUGAUUUACCCCUUAGUACUUUUACCAAUGUAUGUCUUUUAUAUUUAUUUGCUUUAAUUCCCAAGACUAUUCUUACAUUAAUAUCUUUUUAUAAUCUGGACUAUUAUUGCAUAAUUUUUGCUUACUACAUCUGUGCCAUUUAUGUUUAAAUAGUUUUUAUCCAUUUCAUUAAUGUCUUAAUGUUUAAAUUGGUUGUAAAUACAUCCUAUUAACAUUUUUACUUCUGCCUUCAAUUUUUAUUCUAUAUUGGACCUCAUUGGAUCCUGUACUUAGUGUCCUCCGUCCACCAUUACGCUGGCUCUCUUCUCUCAUCUAACAGGCGCCAUUUUGUUGGAGCCGAGCACACACUAUCAGCCUUCUAAACAGUCUCAGUCAAUCCAAUGCUUUCCUAUGAGAAUGCAUUGUGAUUGGCUCAGAUCAACACUUCUAAAAGUCUCUAUUAUUAAUCACUAAUUAGAAUUGUGCAUUUUUUUUCAAGAUAUGUACCCUAUCCCACAUUGAAUCCACUUUGAAUUUGUCUCAUGGUGACAUGUUUAUACCUGCCUAUAUCUAUGUCACUGCACUACAAAACAACAUAAAUAGAUAAAUAAAUAAAAUUUCUGUGCUGGAUACCAGUUUCCACUUUAAGAUGAAUGUAAUGUUUUUCAGAACUUCUUGACAAGCUGCCAAAGCAAUGGGAUGCUUGUUGGAGACAGGGGGUAUAAUUUCAUGAAGCAUUAAGUCAGAGUUUAAGUUAUUAAUCCGUCAAUACAUAAUUUGCAGAACAUUGGCCAAUUUCUCUUAAUCUCUUUGACAUCACUGAACUCUACUUUAAUAUCAAUUUCCAGGACUUUGCGUUAUCCUUUGACGUAAUUAGUUCCUAGGUGACAGAUGAGUCAAGUAAAUGAGUAACAUAUAUGAAUGAGCUUAAAGGAAAACUGCCGACAUUUAAAGUGGAACAUUACAAGUAUUAUUGCCUCUGUAUAUUUAUGUAUGUAUAUAUUUUGUAUUGCAGACAAUAAGUAAAUAUCUGAUAGACCUGAUAUUAGGUUAGUCAUAAAGAAAAUAAACCAUACCAAAAAAUAUGAGGAAAUGGCACAUAAAAUUAGGGGUACUGUGGGAAAAUUUACCAAAGCAUGGGGACAAUGGCAAGAAUAAUUAAUGGUGGGGUGCUGUAGAGAUACAGAAUAGGUGACUCCGAUUGUAUCUAGAACAUCUUAAGAAAUUGUAUUUAGAACAUCUCAUGGAACUUUAUGAUUAUUUUUUAUUUCUUUGGUUGUAUGUUUGUUUGUGUUCACUUUUCGUAUUACAUUUAAAAAAUCAGUAACAAUUGUAUAGAUGUUACAUUGUACGGAGGAAUUGAUAAUUAUGGCCCAAUGGUGUAUUGUGGGGAUUUUUUUCUCUUUUUUUUUCUUUGAAAGGAAGUCUUUGAUGUAACAAAUGAGAUUUGUUUACAAUUUUACAAUAAAAAAUAAAUAAAAAGUAAAUAUCACUUCAAGGCAUCUCUUGGCUUACCCUUAUACUAUGUGGGCGGCCAUGUUAGGACAUUUGUGGUUAGAAACAAAGCUUAUCCGACCAAAACCAUGCAGGUCAUGAAUUUUGACAUCAAGGGCAGGAUAUUAUGAAACAUAUUCUAAGGUGGUUUCAGUACUUCAAAUUGUACAAGGUCUUUGCAGAUAAUUAUUGGAAGAAGAUUCUUAAAGAUAGCCUCCACUGUGCAUAGAUAAGGAAAGAGAUUCACUGAAAAGAGUUAUUACAAUACAUGCAUUAAUUAGAAAACAAUGCAUUACAUUACUAAUUGUGUGCUUGUUCGUGUGUGUGUCUGUGUGUGUGUCUGUGUGUGUGUGUGUGUGUAUUUAUGAAUAAUCUUGUCUGUGUGGCAUACUUUCUAGCCAUUACACACAUAAAUAACAAUCUAACAACUGGCAACACUGUGGUGGACUUGAGAACCUGUGGUCAUCAAGCUGAUUAUGAACUGUAAUUUUCAUAAUCAUUUACCAGUUAGAGUUAUGGCACAUACUGGUUGUUAUAACAUAGAGUAAAUUGCACUUUACACCAAUUUCACCAAGCAGUUCACUGUCACCAAAUAUUAUAUAAAUAAUAAAUCAUUAGAAAUGUACAUAUCCAUUAGAGCACUAGUAUUUUGGCAACCAUGGUUAAAAUACAUUCAUUAAUCAACGUAUGAUAGUAUAUAAUAUAAAAUGUAAAUACAUCAUUUGGUCAACCAAUAAAACCAGCAAAUAAAUUACAUACAUACAUUUAUAAAGAUAAAAAUAUUUUCUAUAAUAGUAAUUUAAUCAUUGACGUUCCUGAGAGUAUCCUGUAUAUUAUAUGAAAAGAUUUACAGACAGUGACAUUUUUUUUAGAUGUUGGUAUUUCAACAAAUGACACUGAAUCACUUUUUUUACUUUUCAAUAUUUUCCCAUGCAAUUACACUUUAUUAAACCACAUUAUGGUUUAUCAAAAGCUGCUUUUAUCAUCGUCUUAAAUAUCUCCUUAUCUCUCACAUCUCAACUUUAAUUUAGGCUUGCAUUUACUCCAAUACAAAAGUGAGGCUGUUUCAUAACAUUUUUGAUUAAAACUGCAUAUGCAUCCUUUUUACAAAGACAGAAUAUGCCAAACCAAACAAAUUAAACUAUUUGGAGCACUCUUCUGUUUAUUAAGUAUUAUACAGAUUUCCACAACAUGCAUGCUUUCCAGAGCGUUGUCCAAAAAUUCUACACAUCAUGACUUCCCGGAUUGUAACUCCCUAGUGAAUGAAUUUCCCAGUAUAUCAGAAAUUGGUUCUUUAAAGCAGCCUCAAAUCAUUAUGGCUUGCAAUAGCACUUGGAGUAAACAAGGAUAACAUAAUGGAAUAAAGGAAGAUCAAGACACAAACGCAAUAUUGCCGUUCACUGCUUGCUUGAUUUGUUAUCACACACAGUUUAUUUAAAGGAACACUUUAAGAAUACAAAGAUGUGUGUAUAGUGGAUGCAGAGUGUGUUUGUGUAGUAGAUGCAGUGUGUGUGUAGGACAGUGACAAUACGUGAGCAUAGACUAUUAACUUUAAGUUUAUUCCCCACUUACUGCCUCUUACCUAUGGCCAGGAUGGGGGUACACUUCAUUAUCUGGUGGGCUGGUAGCUUAGCGCAAGCUUCCAACUUGCUGGCUUGAACUCCCAGUUUCUACUUCUGGGAGGUCCUCUUCCUCUCUCGCAAGACCCUGCACUGUGCCACAUCUGAGCAUUACUGUGUUAACCCGCAGCUAUGCUCUGACAGCUGGGGCUUGUUAGAGUUGGAGAGGACCUGUUGGAGAUGGAAACUGGAGUCUCCUGGGCCCCAUCUUCACUAAUUAAACUUAAACCAGCAAUGGCCUCAGGUCCCUUGGUGCAUAUUUACUUAGCAAUUCUCACUCUAUGUGUGCACAAUCGGAAUGUCGGGAAGCUCAGGACCCAUAUACUUGUAUUGGCUCUACAUCCCUCAUGGUGGCCCUAGUUGUCCCUUCAUACUGCCAAUCAAUAUACAAAUGUGAACCAAAAAACAAAUUGGAGGUGCACUGAACUUAGAAAAAAUAUACUAUACUUAUCAUAGAGUAAUAUUUUCCCGGUAGGGAAUCAGUGUUCAUAAAUACAUCUAAACAUACAUGAAAAAAAAAGAUAAUAGUGCAGUAUGUAAAGUACUAGAUAUAUGUGUCCACUUUCAUAUGAAUAAUAAUUAAACAAUGUUUAUUGAAAAUGAAUAGGAAAAAAUAUGCAUUCCAGCUACUUAAAAGAAACAAAGCCCAAUUUCAGCUCUAUAUCAGUGUUCAGUUAUAACAAUUUACCUUACGUGGGAAAAGUUGUCCUUCCACUUAUAUAUCGACCUCCUGGCUCCUUCCAUGGUUGGAUACACCUGAAGAAAUAGGGAAGUGCAGGUCAAGUAAAUAUAAAACAUAAAAAUCACAUUUAUUAAGAUAAAAAUAGGCAUUAAUAGUGAUCCAGCAUACAGCACAGUAGGUUAUAUAUGUACAACAGGCAAAGUUCUUGAAACUGACAGCAGACUUCUCUUGGCUAUGUAACACAUUCCCAUCUUAUUUAUUUCAUUAUUAUUCAUAUGAAAGUGUACUCAUAUAUCCAUUACUUUACAUACGGCACUAUUUAUUGUGUCUGUUUUAUAUAUAAAACACUGAUUCCCUACUGGGAGAAUGUUGCGAUAUUUGUGAUUAGUAUAGCAUAUUUAUUCUAAUUUGAGCGCACCUCCAAUUUGUGCGGUUUAUGGAGAGUGACCUGCUGUAGUCACAACUAAGAAAUGAAGACCAGUGCAGGGACAAAGGUGGCGUAAUUGCUGUGCCAUAUUUUUUGUUAGUCAAAAGAGACAGUUGACCAAAGACCAUGCUUUCAUGAGCGGCCCAAAUUAACAACCUUUUUUAUGCUCAAGGAGCCAUUUUCAAAAUUGUGCUACUAAAUUCUAGAUUGACUGGUGUGUAAUAGCUGCCUUUAACUUAUCUCCCUAUUAAAGGAAUACUAUACACGCAAACAUGUAUUCCUGACCCUACAGUGUUAAAACCACUAUUUAACCCCCUGCCCUUACCCCUUACCCCAACUAAAUAUAGUAAAACCUUGAGUAUGCUGCUGGCUCUGUCCCUAAACUGCUGCCUUGUCUGACAUCAUCACUGUGAUCAAAGCAUUGUGAUUUCAGCCAAGCACAAUGCUUUCCCAUAGGAGGUGGGUGGGGGGUAGAGGGGAGGGGGCACAGAGCCACAUACCACUCUGGCCAAUCAGCAUCUUCUCAUAGGGGGUGGAUACACUGAAUGUCACUGCCCCAAAAAGUACUUCUGCUAACUAUCUGAGGAGUGGCUACUGGAGGUGUUUCUAGGCUGUAAAGUAAACUCUUCCUUUUCUCUGAAAAGACAAUGAUAACAGGACAAGCCCUGCAGGUAAUGAUUAUACUCACCAGAACAAUUAAAUUUAGCUGUAGUUGUUCUGGUGACUAUAGUGUCCCUUAUAGCAUGAGUAUGUGAUGUCACCUAGCAGAAGGAGGCAAUUAAAUCAGUAUCGCAUGUUGAUUAGGAUAAGUAGAAGUUGUAGUUCCCCAACUUCAUCAUUAGAGGUAGAAUAGUGACUCCAUUUUGUUUAAAUACCAGGGACCAACAUUCAUGGACCACUGCUCCUGUAUAUACAAAAUUAGAAUGUCUUCUACUACAAGACAUGUGAAGACUUUGUUGAUAUGAAAUAUUCAUUAGAUUAUAUCUGAUUUAUAAAAAUGCAAUAGUUACACCUACAGUUCAAACAAUUGUUUUGGGAACUAUUAAGCUUCAGUUCCAAAAGAAAAAAUACCUAGGUACACUAUAUCUGAUUGUGUGUAUAAUUUGCAUGUGAACUCAGAUCUUAACACAGUGUUCUGCCAAAUUUCAGUCUGAACAUCUCUUCAUAUUAAUCAUUUCACAUGUGACACAUCCUGCUUAUUUUUUCGGCAUCAAACAAUCUGUCCGCCUUCAUAAGCUGUUUUGUUUUGCAUAUACUCUCUAGAAUUGCUUGCUGUUUUUAGUGGUCUGUUUGGAACAUAUGUCUAAAUUGUUAACGAUACAAAUAAAUUCAAAUUUUCUUGUUACAUUUUACUCAUUCUGUUAUUUUCUGCUAUACGUAUAAACAGAUCAGAAAUACGUGUUUUUAUCUUUUUCUACAGUAAUAAAAUAGACCAUGAUAUACACAGUAAUAAUGCCCAUAUUCUGUCAACACUAAAUGUACUACAGAAGCACCUUCUCACCUUUAACCCCUUAAGGACACAUGACGGAAAUAUUCCGUCAUGAUUCCCUUUUAUUCCAGAAGUUGUGUCCUUAAGGUGUUAAUACUAGAUUUUUUUUUAGUUGCAAUAUUCCUUUAAGGUGACCAAGCUCAUACAAUAUAAGAAAUUAUUCAUUUAGACUUUAUUUUACCUACCCGUUACUCAGUGAAAACAAAUGCCGCCAAAUUUGGCAUUUACCAGUGGUAUCAGUAUAUAUCAAAUACAAUUAAAGCAUCUGAAGGCACUAAAACACAUAUUCGAUUAUUGUUUUUACUACCAUACACUAUGAGAUAAGAAAACAAAAAAAUUAUAGAUAGAUAGAUAGACGGAUGGAUAGAUACAUACAUACAUACAUAGACUUUCCAAUAAGUCAAAUUGACAUUUAUUAACACUUGGCUAUAUCAAAUGGUCAGCAUGGUAGUUCAAACCUGGGCUUGUAUCAAGACUAGAUACAGAUAUGCAAAUAUAUUAGAUGGUUUGGAGAAGGUUAUGACCAUAUACAGCCAAGCCUAUAUGCAACUAUUUUAAUUCAUUUCAAUGAAUUCUGUGAUGUUGGAUUUGCUAUCUAUGGCAGAAAUAAAAAGUAUUACAUAAUAGUUUCCACUGUAAAUAUAAGCUCAUAUAAUAUCAUUACCUUUUGGAAUUACACAAAACAGUACAUUGAUCAAAAAUAUAAAAAAAUGACAUCAACACGAAGCACUAGAUACAUCCUUCCAGGUACACAAAACUCCAUAGUUCCAGUUUUACAGAAUGAAUUAAUUAGAUAAUACUUAACUGAGAUAUUAAAGAAACACUAUAGGCACUCAGGCCACUUCAUCACACUGAAGGGGUCUCGGUGCAUGGUCCCUGUCCCCUUAACCCUCUCAGAGAAACUGUAACAUUUACUAGAAAACCACUAGAAGUGAUUCCUGCUGUUUCACAGAGUUCGACUCUGUGAAACGACACUGAACGUUCUCACACGUUAAAUGUGGACAUCCAGUGUGUGGAAAAACCCUGUAAGGAAGCAUUCAGUCAAUGCUUUCCUAUAGGAAAGGCCUAAUGAGCACACAUCGCUUGCCGACUCAGCUGACUUUGGUGGAGGAGUAGACCGAAACGGAAACAGACAAGUGAAAAACGUUUUUUGUAACUCUUUACAUAGCCGGGGGUAGGGGACAUGAGGGAAGGGUAGAGGUUCCCAUAGUGUUAGGAAUACAUCUUUGUAUUUCUAACACUAUAGUGUUCCUUUAAGCAUUAUGACUUCUAGAUGUUGUUUAAUAAUACUCUAUCAAUAAUAUCAGAAGAGCAGAAAUGUAAUAAAUGAAAGCACUUUGCAACCAUUCUAAAACAUGCUUUUUCCCAAUUUUGCAUUUUAUAAAACUAAUCGGAAAAUGUGACUUACAUGCUUAGAAGAAAAUAUAAGAAAAUAACUAUUACAAAAAGUAAUGAUAAUAUCUAUGAGGAAAAUAUUUUUGCAGUGAGGAAAACUUGAAGGUUUUCUCUGUGGAAUAUGACUUUUCAAAUAUCUGAGUUUAAGCUUCUAUUAUACGAGCCUUUGUUUCUGUAAAACGAUCUAUUAUUUUAAAUUGUCAAAUAGUAGUAUUUUAUUAAAGUACUUAUGGUAAAGUAAAAAGCUUGGAUGGAAAACGACUUCAUUUUCAGGAUGGAGAAUACUGGUAUAUUUCAAAUAGCCUCCUGAGGUCUUAAAGAAAAUAUGUAUAUAUUCAGAAAUAAGUGUUUCCCUUUAUUGUAUUAUUUCUAAAUUGAAAAAUCCCUUAAAUGAUAUACAGUAUAUACAAAUGCUAUACCAUUUUAUAUUAAGUUAGUUAUAUUUUAACAUUACUGUUGUACAUAUAAAAAAAAUGAAAUAAAGAAUGUAUGUCAGCAUGUUUUGUGUGCCAAAUUGAACUGUGUCAAUUAAUGGCAACAAACGCUUUAGUGGAAAAUUAACAGUGUCAAAAAGACUCGGCUGAUUCUGCAUGACUACAGCCCAGUGAUCAUACUUUCUCCUUGCAUGACUGCGCAUACAGUGUGUGUUCACAACUUACAUAUAUUUCAGAUGCAUAACGAGAAAGAGAAAUGCCUGAAUGAGUGGGCUUAGGGUGCCAAUUCCCUGGAUUGAAUUUUCCCAUAACCUCCAUGCACCACUUGGAGUACCUAUUUAACCAAUAUACAAAAAAACAGUAUAUCACUAUGGUGUCAGUAAAUGUAGUAAAUGUAGUGAAUAUUAAGUAUAAAUUAUACUUAGCUCAGAAUCACAAUAAAAAGCCUCCCAAGAUCGCUACCCAAAGGACGACCUUAUUACCAGUAUAUAGAAAACCAAAACAAAUAUAUGGGCUGGACAGAUCUAAAAAAAAGGAAUAUAAACAAAAUAUAGUGUAAUACAAUCAAUGCAAUCAAUUAUGCGCCACAAAUACUAUUACUAUAACUAUUGGCCUAUUCUACCACAGGACCCUGUUUUGGGAGCUUCUUAACCAGAUCGUCCAACAGUUAUUUAUAAGAAAAAUAGGAAUUUCAAAAACAUGUUAGCCCCCAUCUAUGCCAUUAAACCCACUGUGAAUGAUACCAUGACACAUCUGGGAUAAUUCAGGGGGUGCGGCCUAUGCAAGGCUUGCGCCACUGCAUCUAUUGAGAGAACCAACAGUUUCUCCAGUUUUGUUACAAAGGAUGUGUAUAAAGUGAAAACAGAGAUGGGCUGCCACACGGACUUUGUGGUUUAUCUACUAAGAGAGCCCUCAAGGUUAGGUUACUGGAACAUCUGAACAACAUAAGAAAGAAACGUAUAACCCAUUCAGGUCAAUUGUAACACUUGCCACUUCUUUUCAUUUAAAAAUGUCAAAUUUAUGGCCAUUGAAAGAGUUCUACGUUUUUGGCAUGGAGGUGAUAGGGUUAGAAAAUUAGCCCAACGGGAGACAAUUUGGAUCCAGAGACUCCAAACAUUAGAACCUAGGGGUUUGAAUAUAGAUACAGAUUUGGUUUGUUUUCUGAAUUGAGGGAUUUAUUAUGUUUUGUUAAAUGUGUAUGUCUUGUUCUUUUUGUCUCCUAUGCUUUUCCUUUUAUUCUAUAUAUUUUUUCCCUGAGUGAACAUCUAUAUAUAUAUACACUCUGUUGGUGAUUCAUUUGAGUAAUUUACUUUAAUUGAUCUUUAUGUCAUUGAACAUUCCUUAUAUAUAAAGAUUAUAUCUCUUUAAGGUUAAACAUUUUUUGGAAUAGGAAGCAGUUUAAUUCCUCAUCAACUGAUGCAAGAAUUGUCAUUUUUUAGAAAUAGGUAUGUGUGCUACACCAAUAAAUAUGGAGAAUAUUUUAAUAUAGGGACAUAAUAUGAUUAGAUAAUUUCUGUUAUAUUUUUGUUAUAACUUUUGCAUGUGUCUCUUUAAGAUUAUUGGCAAUCAUUUCAGUUUAAUAAGUUGUGUGACAUCAAAUAUAAUGUACAAUAAAAUACACAAAGGUAUGAAUUAUGAACCACAUUCCUUGUGGGUGUGAUAUUCACAGUAAAUUUGGUGAUUGAAUUGGGUCUGCAAUAUUAAUAUUUUUCUCUUUAGUAGAUAUAAAACAUCAUUAUUUGUUUCUCCCAUUAAUGCGUCUGUUGAUUGUAAAGUGGGUGACCACCAGAGGGCAGCAUGCUGAUACAUCCCAAUUUAGCCGAGCUGGAACGCAUUUGAAACGCGGAAGUACAGGACGGAACGUACUUUCGGUUCUGGCUACACACGGACGCGCCAAUUUCAAUUAGGAUGAAGACGCGAUGAAUGCAGGCACCUGAGAAGGUAUUGCACCCACACCAAUUAAAUUAUGGAUAGACGGAAACACCCACGGAUCCACCAAUGGACACAGGGAUUAGCCCUAUUUAAAGGGAUUUUUAGAUGGGGGGUAUUAGGACAUGUUUGUUAUACAGGUUACUACUGUUAUAAAUUUUAAUGCUGUUUGGUCAUUAAGGAAGUUCCAUUUGGAACGAAACGCGUAGGACUGAUUGUUCCUCUAUUUUAUCCUAAGUUGAUGGUGAUUGUUCACCUUUUAACCGAAAUAAAGCUGCUGAAUUUUUUUACCUACAUCUAUUGGAGUGGAAAGUGGAGUGGAAAGUGGGACAAAUAGCCCCCCAAUAACCUUGGGGGAGGCUCCUUUGUGCGCUAUAUACAUCUCCAUCUUGUAAGUACCUAUUUAACACCUUAAAGGGACACCGUAGGCACUGUAUCUGCUUCAUUUCAUUAAACUGGUUAUAGUGUAUGGAGUCCCCUGGUGCUAUAAUUUCUUUCAGCACUAAACAGUUUUUAAUGUUGUAAUGUUUUAAUGCUAAACAAGAGACCACGGCAGUCCAUUCCCUCUGUGCUGCUUUGACUAAUAAGGAAUUAUUACCCUGAGCAGCAAUGGGCAGCUGUGAUUGGCUGAGAGUGUCAGCUGACUGCCUUUAACCUGUCAGAGCUCAACUGACGGUAUGAAUGGGUAUGACAACAAGGAAGUGUGUAAUCUCUGCCUUAGCUACACAUACAGAAGGGGCCGGACUGUGGGUGGCCAGGGACUCUUUUUUUGUGGCAUACUGCACAAACAUGGUGCAACACUGAAUGGAGGGACAGUGCCAGGGCACUCCAGGCACUAUAACCAAUUCAAAGAGACAAAGUUGUUAUAGUGACUACAGUGUCCCUUUAAGAACACGACUUCUGGAAUAAAUUUCUGGGAUAUUUCCUUCAUGUGUACUUAAGGGGUUAAAUGGAGAACUUGAAGGGUCAACGUAAGGAGAUAGGAAUAGUCCAGAUAUGACGACCUCGCUUUGGUCUAAAGUGCUUAUUGCAGAGGGUGUGUCCUCACGUGGCUGUACUGUAAUUUCGUUUAUAAAAAUCUAAAUCUGCUAAGCGACAGAGUACACUAUAGGCACCCAGACUACUUCGUCACAUUAAAGUGGUUUAGAAGCCCCGUCCCUGUCCCCUUAACCUGUCCCACGCUGUGCAUUGAUACAAUGCUUUCCUAUGUGGAAGCCUAAGUUUGCAUUAGGUUCCCCCUCAGUUUUUAACACUUUCACAGCUGCCGGGGGGGGGGAUCAUGAUAUUUUAACACCCAUCACUUUCAGCAAGGCUUUCCCACCAGACCCUAAGUCUCUCAUGACACUAAAAAGUCCUUAACAUGCCCCCUCUUCUCCAACCCUAAUUUUAGCUUUAAAAUGUGUCUCUUUUUGGCUCUGUAAUGAUACAGCAAAAUUUUUGCAUCGCUUGACCAACUGAUGGCUUCAUUUUAAAUGCAUACCAUUUAAACUAAAUAAGGUUUGGAAGACAUAAAAAAAUAACAGAUUUACAAUAUAAAAAAAGCUAAAAAAAUUAAUAAAUUAAAAAAAAGAAGGACACCAUUUGUUAAGUUCAAACCAAUUAAUCUAACUGCAGUGAUUACCACUAAUUUGGAUUUUUCAUAUUUUUUUUUAACAGUCACAUCUUUUCAAAGAAAGGUUGUCACCCUAUCCAAGCAGACUGUCAUCAAAAUACCACCUACAAUACAAAUGGAAGAAAGACAAAUUAACAAUCAGGAAAUAAAAGCUGAACAGUAAUCAGUGCAUAUAAUUCAUAUAUCACUACUGUAGAACAGUUGAGAGUUGAAUUUUUUUUAAUCAAUUUUAUACUUAAUCAUUGUCAUGUUUAUUUCAUUGUCAGUGUGAUAAUGGUGUCUGUGGUUAAUGGAUAAAUAGCCACAUAGUUUGGAACAUUUUAGUGAUAUGCUAACUAGGUAGGAAUUAAAUACAUAACACAAAGAUACAGAAAGCAGGUUCUGUUACGCAUAAUGUUACAAACAUAGAAGACAUGUUUUCUUGCUAACAAAUAUGUUAUUCAAAUGGAUGUAAGGUUUGAUAAUUAAAACUAUUAAAGUUCCUAGGGAAUAUAUCAAAUUGUUUAGCAUCUGCUUAAAAAUUACAUAGAACUGAAAUUCAGAUGUGGCAUAUUUAUUUCAAAUAAUUGCAUGUUUUAUUUUGGUUACAGAAAAUAUAAAGUUUUUUUUAUUAGACUAGCAUUAUAAUACCAAAGUAAUGAUCUGAAAAAUCCAUAAAAAAUAUAAUUAUGUAUAUUGAGUUUGCAUAAACUUCUCUAACAUAAAACAAUAAUAAAUCAAAUCUCACACAAUAUAUUGUCACCCUGAAUACACAUGAGCAAUUAAAAUGCCAUUAUGCAUUCUGCCAAGUUUAUGAAAUGCAAAGCUUUAUUGCAGAUUUCAAAGCAAUACACCUAGCAAUAAUAUGUAUUUUCUAGUUUGCAUAUUCAAUUUAAAAAGAUAUAAUUUCAGCUACAGUAGUUGAAAAUGAACAAUAUUUAAAUAAAACAUAACACACUUGUUUCCAGUAGAGACAGACAGCUUUACAUGUGUUGAUUGAGCUUUUGAUUGUAUAAAUAAAAAUGUAAAAUUUAGGCAAAACAAUAAAAUGAUAAAGAUAAUUGUAAGGAAAAAAACAUUAAUAAAAAUAUGCUACAAUAAAUAAAAUAUGUAUUUAUGAAAUUGUGAGUCUUACAUGGUGGAGCUACGUUCAUAAUAGUGUACUUAAAUUUAGCCCAAAAUAACAUCUAUGAUAAAUUCAUCAUCAGUUACCAACCAACUAAAAAUUACUGUUUAGUGGGAAAAUAAAUGAAUAUUAUAAUGCUUAAAACAUGUUUAAUUUUUAUCUCAAAUGUCUUAAAACAACAAACGCUUUAAGUGGCUUCCCCAAAUUCAACUAAACAUGCAACUUAUAAUAACUUCUCCAGUCCCAAAAUUUGUUGCACUAGGCGUACUUGAGCUGAAACACUUGAAAUACCUGAACUGGCUAGGGGUUUGUUGAAUGUCAUAUCUGACUGUAUGUUAGAAAUAUGGCACAGGCAAAAGAAUGUUCCACAAAGUUAAGAGAGGAGAGCAUCGCCUUUCACAAACAAGGAACAGGAUGCAAAAAGAAAGCAAAGGCACUGAAUUUUCCUAGAGACACCGUUGAUGGAUAGUUUGUAAGUUCAAAGUUUAAGGAACAGUGGUUACACUGCCUGGACGGGACAGAAAAAGAAAGCAAUCAAUGACUGCAACUAGAUUUUUGAGUAGGCAGGUUGUGAAAAACCCUUGAGUGACUGCAAAAGACUGGGCUUGACAUUAGAUUGAUAUAUCUAUACAACUUUAUCUGUGGGCUUGACAUUAUAUCGAUAUAUUUAUACUACUUUAUCUGUUUGUAUUUUUUCAUGUACAAGAAUUUUGGUUGUGGUGUGAGGUUGAUACGCUAUACCCCACACAACCUAAAAACGGGUAACGGGUCUGCGGCUCAGACCGCAUACCCGAUACUAAUUGUUUAACUCUUUCAGAGUUCAUGACCAAUAUUUGUAUUUUGGCUGCUUCAUAGCCAUUUGCAUCUAAUCGUGUGCUAAACAGCACACCGACCAGGGUAUAUUUGGUAAAGCAAUAUAUUGAUCAUACCAGAGCUUUUGUUAUUCAGCUAAUUCAUGUCUCUCUUGUUUUUGUAUAUACUUUUUCUGUUUUGAGCAAUACUUACUUAUGUGUAUUCUCUCUUUACUAUAACUGGUACCCAUGAAGGCACCAUUCCUUUCUUAUUUUAUUCAUUAUUAUUUUUUUACUGGAUUAUUACUAUAGGAGGUUUUCUAUUGCCUCCCGCAUUACCCGCCCUCCCCUGACUCCAUUCAGUUACUUUACUAGUAAGGAAUCAGUGAGUGGCUAUAUUUGUGCAGAUGCUAUGUUUAUGUUAUAUUGUAUCAAUUACAUCCUGGGCGCCUGUUUAUAAGCGAUGUGAUUACUGAUACUAGAAUUUUAUGUCAAGACACGGAGGCUCAUAUUGCAUAUCCCUUUCUUUACUGUCCACCAAUAGCAGCAAAGGAUACAAACAGUAAGAAAAAACAGUAACCAUAGAGAUAGGACACUCCCAUAUCCAGUCCCAGUAUAAUAGGCAGCACCUUCCCAUCCAAUUCCUCUUUCUUUGCUGCUACCAAACAGAUAAGUACAUGACUAAUUCACUCUAUCAUAGCCUUAUGGUUUUUUGUCUACUGUUUUUCUGCACUGUUGACCUUUUCACUGCUGAUAACUUUUACCAUUCACUGGUUUAUUAUUGCUGGUAAUUUGUAUAUAUUUUGACUUUAUGUGUAUAUUUUGUUUGACCCCAGGGUUCCAGACCCCUCUGUCUGGCUUAAUUCUACUCUACCUUUACUGGUACCUCCUUGUUAAGCUCUAGGGCUUCCUUUUCUCCCUCCAUUACACUGCCGGUCUGCCUGUCACUUUGGCGCCCUUUUUCGCCCAUUCUCCUCCUCCCAUUCGACUGUUCUUUCUCCUGUUAUUCCCUCACACUGUUCGGCUAUUCAAGAAUUCGGCUAUUCACAAAUUCACCCAUUCACAUUAUUGCCUUAUUCACCUUCUAUUCUCCUGUUGCUGCAUUCGAAUUUUCUAUGCGAACGCCUGACUCAUUCACCUUUUAUGUGUUUCCCCUAUGACUCCAUAUGCAUUCACUAUUUUCAGCCGAACGGUCGGCUCUUUCUCCCUAUUUGGCUAGAAUUCUGCCGCGAAUCUUGCGAGAUUGCCGGCGGCCAUUUUCUAUCACUCACUUUUCUCCCCAUUCCUCGUGUCCUCUUCCUAUCUGCCGGUCUGGACCCUGGUGAGCUCCCUCAUUUUCUCCCUUUUAGCUAUAACUAGCCUGGGGUGAUUAACUCCUGCUAGUUGCAUCCUCAUCUCUUAGAACAGUGCUUCCUAAUAUUUAGCAGCUCUAUAUUAUACUUUCUAUUCUCUACAAAAUUUAUAUAUUUUAUUUGUGUCCUGAAAUUACUAUUCCUUGUUAUUAUGCCUAGACCUAAAGGGGCUGCUUCCCCCCUUUCCCCUGGGGAUAUGGAUAUACCCCAUGUGCUGGAUAACCCUAACACUGCCAGCUCUGGCCCCCCUUCUUCUGCGGGUGACCCUAUGUCAGUGCCGGAUGAUGCCCAGGCCUUGGCACUGCAACGUUCCGUUACAGACGCCAUUAUGGCCGCCAUGGGCUCCAUGUCCUCGGCCCUGUCCCAGACUAUAUCUCAGGCCUUAUUGGCACAACCUGUGCCCUCAGAAGCAUCGGCCACACCUACAUAUAUACACACCUACAUAUAUACAAAUUACCAGCAAAUUACCGCGCUCCUCUUUAAACCCCUCAGGGGACAAUCCUAGAAAGGCAAAGGCCAAAUCUAGGCACCUAAGCCCUCCUGCCUCCAGAAACAACAAGACUGGUGUGAAAAUAUCCACCCAUGAUAGCGUGCCUAUGUCACGCAAAAGAGCCUUUCCGCGCCAGGCAGAACGGGCGCGGCACUGGAAAUGUGCCAGAGCACAUGCAGAGAGCGACUCCGACUCAGAAAUCGGGUCUUGUGAGGAGGCUAUAGAUGAGUCUGGAGAUGACUCCAAUAACGAGACUGACGGGCAGGACACUGACCCUUUCGCCCCUACCCUAUCAGGGUUGGCAAUUAGUGGCUCUCGCAGCGACUCUCCCGCUACCGCAGGUUCAACCCUCAUGGACCCGGCUGGGGAACCUAUGUUUGACCCGGAUGCUCUCCAUCACCCGAGGUCGGCAGAAUGGCUCCCAGCCAACCAUGUAGCAAAAUACCUAGAGAACUGGGUACGGCGCCCCCUUAGCAAGACGGCGCGCAACAAGCUCAGGGCAGAAUGUCCUAGACCCCUGAUCCCCAACAAGGUCUGUGAGACUCCUAUGGUAGACCCUAAGAUGACGCAGUUUCUUUCUAAGAUGGGUUGGAAUCCCCGUAAGGGUUUGGACUCAGCAUUAAAAUCAUGCCAGGACAAACACCUGGACAUUUUUGGCCCCCUAGCUAAAUUAUUCGACCUGGCCGAACUAGCCAGAACCGAGAACAGACAGGUUGACCCGGAAGAACUCCGUGGUUGGGUACAUAGGGCAAUCUGCAUAGCAGGUAGCGUUAACACCUCCCUGUCUAUAGAGCGGCGUAAAGCCAUCCUUUUCAAAAUCGAGCCUAAAUUGGCCAACCUCGCCCUCACGGAAGCGGGCAAAGAUGCCCAGGGCCUGUUAUUUGGAGACUCCUUUAUCAAGGAUUAGGGGCGCUUCGUAGGUGCUUUCACAGCCCUAGACAAGGCCCAGUCCUCCAUGAAGAGGAUGUUUCAGGGACGGGUCUCUACCAGGGCCGGCAGAUUCAGGGGCCGUCUGUCCAGCCGGUCAAAUUUGAACUCCCGAGGAUCGGGACACAAGGCACCAGUCUCCCUUCUUCCCGUCUCGUGGAAGACCAUGGCACUCCAGAAGCUUCAGAGGGAACCCCGGUUCCAGACGCCCUUACGGUAAGACUACACCUACCUCAUGUUUUUUCCAAUACCUGUGUAGGGGGCAGACUCCGUCAUUUUUUCCAUGCCUGGUUAGAUAUCACCUCAGAUACCUGGGUUCUGGCCACUGUGAGGGGGUUUCACAUAGAAUUGGUAGACACACCGUGUCGUAUUCCUCCCCCUCACCCUAUGGUACUUUCAAAGGCAAACCGUGCCUUAAUAGACGAGGAGCUAUUGUCACUCCACACGAAGGGAGCAAUAGAAUGAGCUCCGCUGCCCCAUUCUGGUGUCCUCAGCAACAUCUUCCUUGUGGAAAAGAAAGGCGGCCAGAUGCGCCCCGUUAUAAACCUUUGGACCCUAAACUCCAUAGUGCGCUACUGCCACUUCAAAAUGGAGGGCAUCCACCUCCUUCGAGACUUACUCCUACGCGGAGACUGGAUGGCGAAAUUAGACCUCAAAGAUGCUUAUCUGACAGUCCCGGUGACCGAGUCAUCCAGGGACCUACUACGAUUCCUUUGGAAAAGCGAAACGUGGCGAUUCACAUGCCUCCCUUUCGGACUCUCAUCAGCUCCGUGGUGCUUUACCAAAUCGAUGCAACCGGCCAUGGCGUGGCUGCGCAGUCGCGGGGUAAGACUGAUAGUCUAUCUGGACGAUAUCCUCCUCAUGGCACAAGAUCGGGGGGUCCUCCUAGAACACCUUCAAUGGACAAUGGAUCUACUGUGUCGGCUGGGCUUCCUGCUCAAUGAGGAAAAAUCCUGCCUAUCCCCUUCCCGACACAUGGAGUUCCUAGGGUUCAAGGUAGACUCAGAAGCGGAGUCUCUCAGCCUCCCUCUGGCCAAAAUACGCUCAAUCCGCAAGGAACUGCGACGAGCCUGACGCGCCACCAGCUGUCUUUACGACACCUGGCACGACUAAUUGGACUACUGGCCUCCUCCAUCCAGGCAGUGUUCCCAGCUCCGCUCCAUUAUCGGGUGCUCCAGCACCUGAAGAUAGCACACCUUCGCAAAGGGGCCUCGUAUGCAGAUUUGGUCUCCCUGGACUCGGAAUCGAGAUGAACUGACCUAGUGGAUCCACAACCUAUCUGCCUGGAAUGGCAAGGCCAUCUUCGGCUCCCAACCGGAGUUCACGGUGGACUCGGACACAAGUCUCCACGGCUGGGGCGCACACUGCAACGGUGUGACCACCGGGGGUCGUUGGACAGAAACCGAGUCCCGACUCCACAUCAAUGCCCUGUAACUAAUAGCCGGUUCCUUUGCAAUCCGGAGCUUUGCGAACGGCACGGCCAGUGCAUGCAUCAGGCUACGUAUGGACAACAUUUCAGCGGUUCGCUAUGUCAACCACCUGGGCUGCACACGCUCAGCGAUACUGGCCCGUUUAGCGAAGGAUUUCUGGAACUAUUGCUUUGCCAGGAACCUGAUGGUCCAGGCGGAAUACCUCCCCGGCCUUCACAAUACUCAUGCGGAUUGGAGCUCACGCUAUCUAUCAGACAACAGCGAUUGGAAAUUGGAUACAGAGGUGUUCUCCACUAUCUCAUCCCUCUGGGGGCCCUUCACCAUCGACCUCUUCGCUUCCAGGCUCAACGCCCAACUACCCCGGUUCUACAGCUGGCGUCCAGACCCGGCCGCGGAAGCAGUGGAUGCCUUCCUACAAGAAUGGUCCGGCUCACACCUUUACGCUUUCCCUCCAUUUGCCAUGCUUCCCCGAGUGCUACUCCAAGUACGACACCAGAUGGCGGAUUUGGUCCUACUAACCCCAUCCUGAGGUACCCAGUCGUGGUUCCCACAACUCCUGGAACUGGCAAUAGACGUUCCCGCACUCCUGCCAUCCAACCAGGACCUUCUGCUGUCCCGUUGGGCCAACAACAUCCCCUCCUACUGGACGGAUCGUUACGGCAACUCACAUGGAAGAUUUCAGGGGUCCUUGGGAAGUCCAAGGAGUUUCGGACACAUCUCGACGCCUCCUGGCUGAUGCAUGGGCUCCCGGCACUAGACGCUCAUACGGGACCGCUUGGAGAGCUUGGACUGGUUGGUGCCUGGCUAGGGACCUGGAUCCCGUGGCGGCUCCUGUGACGGCGAUACUCCAGUUCCUCACAUCAUUAUUUGAAGCGGGCCAAGCAUAUCGCACGAUUAACCUAUACAGAUCGGCCAUCUCCUCAGCUCAUCAGGGUUUCAACGGCUGCCCAGCGGGCCAACAUCCCUUGGUGUGCCGUUUACUCAAGGGUUCACGCCUCUCGCGUCCCCCCAGACCUCGAUACACAGCCACAUGGGACGUAUCCUGCGUCCUAUCACUGUUUUCCUCCUGGCCGACCAACUCGGACCUCACCUCUGCCAAGUUGGUAUCACUAUUCUGCCUCAUUUCGUGCAAACGAGUCUCAGAGGUACGUGCCCUGGACCAUGAUGCGAGAUCCUUCACCCUGGACGGGGUGACAUUCAAUAUCUCCAGAAGGACUAAGACAUCCAUACGUUCAGUCUCGUACCCGAGUUUCCCAACUACCCCUAAGUUGUGCCCAGUGACCUGUUUGAGAGAAUACGAACUUCGGACGAAGGCCCAUCGGUCGGCUUCAACUCCUCAACUUUUCCUCUCAAUCCGUCAACCCUUCGCCCCAGUAUCCAGCACGACUCUGGCUCGUUGGGUGAAGUGGGUCAUGUCACAGGCGGGUGUAGACACAUCCAUUUUUAGCGCUCACUCCACACGUGGGGCUUCAGCCACUUCUAUGGCCUCUUCGGGGGCACGCCUGGAAGACCUUAUGAGAAUGGCGGACUGGUCCAGAGAAUCCACCUUCAAGGAAUUCUACUUUCGACCUCAGCCUCACGUUUUCUCGUCGGUCAUUGCUCAGCUUUAAACUUGCAAUAUGAGCCUCCGUGUCUUGACAUAAAAUUACAUGAUUUUGCUAUUUCAUGACGAAAAGUCAUGAUUUUAUGAAAGACACGGAGGCGAGUAUUGCCCCUCCCUUUUACUUAUUUGUAUAACCUUUUCCCCCCCUGUUAUAUCUCGUUUUAGGGCGGUAAGUAUAGAAUUGCGCUCCAUCACGUAUGACUUAUAUGUACAUCUGAAUCAUGACACUACACAUACCUGGGGAUUCUUGACUUAAGAAAGAAUGGGGGGACACUAAGGGGUGACUUGAUUUCCAAUGUAUCGUAUCUUGGCAUGUACAAUUGGGGUUAGUACCGAUUUAACCUUUGGGCUCCUGUUAUUAUGUUUUCACAGGUUGACUCACUUCUGGAUGCAUCGCAUGAAGUGCAUCUCUCUACACAGGACUUCUCCAAGUUAGCUGGAGUUCGGUGGUUAACGCUGAGAUGGACUCCCUAUGGUUAACGUUUCAUCAUUUGUUCCUGGUUUUGUCCCUGUUAUUGGGCAUCUUCUGGUCAAGUAUCCAGAUGGACUUUGGGCCGUUGCCCUUCUAGUUCUGGACUGUUCCUGGUUUCUUGCUUGCUGUUGGUGGGUAGCAUCUCCAAAGAAAGAGGAAUUGGAUGGGAAGGUGCUGCCUAUUAUACUGGGACUGGAUAUGGGAGUGUCCUAUCUCUAUGGUUACUGUUUUUUCUUACUGUUUGUAUCCUUUGCUGCUAUUGGUGGACAGUAAAGAAAGGGAUAUGCAAUACUCGCCUCCGUGUCUUUCAUAAAAUCAUGACUUUUUGUCAUGAAAUAGCAAAAUCAUGUAAUUGUCAUGACUUGUCACACUCUUUCUCUUGUAUCAAUAAAUGUAUUAGAUAUUUAGAUCUGUAGCCAAUUUGAGUGGUCUCACUUUAGACACUUAUUUUGAAUUAAUCUACUGCUACUAUAACAGCACUUCUUCUGUGCAUAUCCCUAGGAUAUUUCAUUUGAUACUAUAGAUUUUCAUGCAUUGUGGAUUGAUACACACACCAAGAUUGUAUUCUUUUUGUCUUUCUCUUUACCCUUUAUAUAUCUUCAUAUUAGCUGUGUUGAACAUUUAGACUCUGGCAAUUGCUACCAAUUAUUUUUAUUAUUUGUGUCAAUUUUUGUUCAUUAGUUUAUUGUAUUAUUCUCCUCACUCCCUUCAUCCCUCCCUUAUAUAUACACCAAUAGUAUUGGUGUGAUGGUUAUUCUGUCUGUCCUUUUGAGACAGCCAGUUUAUAUUACAUUAUUGUGCAAUAUAGUAGUUUAUCCUGGGAAUGUUUUUUUUUUUUAUACACAUCAUCAAAGUAUUUUCUAGACUUUUAAUUUAGGGACAGAUUCUCUUUGUUUUUUACUUUAUUCUACGUUUCAGGGUUAUCCCCUCUGUGUCCUUUCCACAUAUGAGAAUCUCAUGGGCCACUUUUUUCGUUGUUUACUGCAAAAGACCUGCAGCAAAACUUGGUGGCAGCAGACACUGUAAGGCGUGUAGCAAACACAGAAGGUUUACAUGCCAGAAGACUACACCAGUACUGACCCAAAAGUACAAGAAAAGUCAGCUCCACUAUGCUCAAAAUCAUAUAAAUAAGCCACAGAAGGUUUGGAAUUCUGUUCUGUGAAGCGAUGAAACAAAACUGGAAUUUUAAGUACAAUGGAUCAACGGUGUGUCUGGAGGACGAAAAAUGAAGCAUACGCUGACAAGAACACUCAGUUGAGUAGGGUGGUGGCUCAGUGAUGUUCUGGGGCUGGUUUGCAUCCCCUGGCACUGGAAACCUGCAGCAUGUGGAAGGCAUGAUGAAUUAAUUGAAGUAUCAGGAACGUCUACGAGAAAACAGUAAUUCCGUCUGUGAGGAAGCUGAAGCUUGGGCGUCAUUGGACCUUCCAACAAGACAAUGAUCCCAAGCAUGUCUCAAUUUCUACCAAGGCUUGGUUGCAGAAGAUGUCCUGGAAAAUUCCACAGUGGCCAUCAUAGUCACCUGACUUAAACACAAUAGAAGAUCUCUGUUGGGAUAUGAAUAAGACAGUUGCAGCACACACACCUAAGAAUAUUACUGAACUGGAGGCCAUUGCUCAUGAGCAAUGGGCUAAGAUUACUCAGGAACGCUUCCAGAAGCUGGUGUCUGGCCUAUGCAUCUCAUUUGCAGCAGAUUAUAAUGGCAAAAGGGUGCUCUACUAAGUACUAAAGAAGCUACCAAUGAAAGGGUGGGAUAAUUUUGAGAUUGGAGAAGUCAUGAUUAGUUGCAUUUUGAGAUAAAUCUGGGGAAACCACUUGAAGCAUUUGUUGUGUUGAGCUAUUUCAAUUGCUUUUGUUUGAUUUGUUAAUUGCAAACAGCUGAAAGUCUUGACAAUAAACCUGAUUUCCAAUGGAGGUUGAAUCGUUUUUACUUCAACUGUAUAAUUAAAACCCUUUUUUGCAACAAUUUCAACUGCACACCCACCAGACAUAUGUUUGGUGGUUGAACGGGCUUAGGGACAUGGUUUUCAGGGCUAAAGGUUUAAAAUUAAGGCAGGUCCCCCCCUCCUCCACCUCUUCACAAGGAGCAAUAGGCAAAAAACAGUUGACCUCAGUACACUGACAAGGGAAGUUCAGGGACCUAAUACACAGAUAAAUGGUUAUUCACCAAACUGAUAAAUUAAGGUGAAUUUAAAGUGAACAGUUAAAUUUAAGGUCAAACUAGCCAAAUUGGAAAUGCUAUUGCUAUGCUUUCACUUUAGCUACUCUGACCUUAAAUAUGAAAUUCACUUUGAAUUCUCACUUUAGUAAAUAAACCUGAUAGAGUCCUGUAGAUGCCCAAUCUGAUGUCAAAUUAUCUGGCAGUAUCAUGCGGUUAUGUGUGUAAUGGUACAGGUCUUUAAAAUGUCUGUCAUGCUGAUAAUAUAUUAUUAAAGCUAAUUAGGGUACUUAGCUUACUAAUGUCAACCACUAGAUGUCCCUAGAGAGCAAGUUAUAUGUACAUAGUUUUGUAUGGCUAGAACAAUAUAUAUUUAUAUCUCAGUCAUGUGGUUUUAAAGAAAAUGCUGAAUAAAACCAUACUUCCUUUGUGUGCAGGAUUUCCUGGUUGCAAUCACCCCAAACCUUUGGCAUACUGCUAAGAAUGUAUUGAUUGGUGUCUGGGUGUCCCCCCUCGGAGUGGUGCAAUAUGUCAAAGUCACCCCUUCUAUUCAAAGAAAAUGUGUGUGUCUUUUAUUACAUUACGGUCUUAAUUAGUUGCAAAUCAUUGUGUCUUAAUCAUUUAUUAUAAAUAUUGUUGCACAUUUUUCAUUCAUUGUUUGUGUGAUUUACUAAUAUUUAUAGCUGCAUUUACAUAAUUGUAUUUACAGUUAAUUGAGUCUUUGCCAUACUGAUAAUUGGUAUUUCCUGGCUAAUCAUGGCAGCAUUUAACAUAUGGGUUUAGCUCCUCCCUCUAACCCUCAGGACAGGAAACAAUCAAUUAAACAAUUAAGCAUACCUUCCCCUAGUAUAAUAGGAACCCCAGUAACAUCCACACCUCAGUCUUUUCUUGUCCUCCUAGCCCUAGGACAGUUAUUGUUUUUUUCAGUUUGUCUGAAUAAAUUUAUUUUUUUUGCUCACCUGACCAUGUUUGAUAUGGUCUUGUCCCUGUGGAGGUCAGCCUCCCCACUCAGGAAGCCCAGGCACAUGUAGCCCAAUCUCUGCAGAGUUAAGAGCCCCUGGGAGCCGUGGUGGUUAGUUCCCCAGGCUGUUGGAACCCACUGGCAUCCGAAAUGGGCACUCCAGACCUCGAUCAGACAAUCGGCAUGAUGGUAAGACGCCCGCGCAUGCGCAAUACACACGACUGGAAUCAGAGUGAAUUUUGCCCUUUUCCAAAAUGGUGAUUUCAUGAUCUCACGUCGCUGUGUGUGUGGAGAGAAGCAGGAAUAGUAAGUUACAGCAUAUGCCAGCAUCUCUCUACUCACUGAUCCGUGGGGGAGCAUCUACACAGCACAGAAAGUCCAGACAGCAGUCCCCAGCCUGCAGAGACAGCCACCAGCUCAGGGAAGUGAGGGAUGGCAUAAAGACUGCAGAGAGACAUGGGGACACUGAGACAUUAGGGAACACUGUGAGACAUGGGGACACGGGGAGAUCUCUGGGGAUGCUGAAACACUUGGGGACACGGGGUCACAGACACACAUGGGGACACUGAGACAUGGGGACACAGACACACAUUGGAAAACUUGGGGACACUGAGACAUGGGGACAGACACUAGGGGACAAGGAGACCAGGGAACACUGAGAUACUAGGGGACGCUGGGAGACAUGGGGAUACAGACACUUGGGGACACUGAGACAUGGGGACAUUGAGACACUAGGGACACAAUGUCCCCAAGUGUCUCAGUGUCCCUCAUGUCUCCCUGCCAGUGCCCCUGGUGUCUCAGUGUCCACAUGUCUCCCAGUGUCUGUGUCCUCAUGUCUCCCAGUGUCCCCAAGUGUCUCUGUAUCCCCAUGUCUCAGUGUCCACUAGUAACAUGGGGACACUGGGAGACAUGGGGAUAAAGACACUAGAAGACACUGGGUGACAUGGGGACACUGGGAGACAGAGAGAUCCUGGGAGCAAUCCAUCUAUACAGCAGAAUCAAAAUGUAAGUAGUUUUUAGGUGAUUUCACUGAAUUUUCUCUACUCCUUGUGAGUUACAUAAUGUGAUGUCAGGCAUACAUAAUUAUUUAUGCAAAUUAGUAAGGCCUGUAUUUUUUAUGACUGUUUUAGUGUUUUUGGUCGAUAAGAGUCUGUACUUAGGCCCCUCAUAAUUGUCAGCACCAGGCCUAGUGCCCCCAUUCGACCUUCUCCACCUGCAUUAACCCCUUAAGACUGCAGACAAAUGUACAAGUUGUGAUCAAAACAAAACGUAAACAAAACCUGGCAUUUGCGCUAUAUAUGUCUGUCCAACCGUAAUUCACCUCUUUCAUAUUAAAUGUACACUUCUUAUAUAUCAUUUUAUUCAGGGGAAACAUGGCUUUCAUUUAACAUCAAAUAUUUGGGUAUGAAACAUAAUUUAAUAUGAAUAAAAUAUAAAAAAAUGGGAGAAAAUAAGAUUUUUUUAAAUUUAAAUAGUUCUACCUGACAUUUUAACUGUGAAUGUCAAAAUACUGUUUUCUUUUGCUACAAUAAAAUACACAUAUUUGUAUUCAGCGAUGUCUCACGUGUAAAACAGUACCCCCUAUGUACAGGUUUUAUGGUGUUUUGGGAAGUUACAGGGUCAAAUAUAGCGUGUUACAUUUUUCAUUUUUUUUCACAUUGAAAUUUUCCAGAUUGGUUACGUUGCCUUUGAGACCAUAUGGUAGCCCAGGAAUAAGAAUUACCCCCAUGAUGGCAUACCAUUUGCAAAAGUAGACAACCCAAGGUAUUGCAAAUGGGGUAUGUCUAGUCUUUUUUAGUAGCCACUUGGUUACAAACACUGGCCAAAGUUAGUGUUAAUAUUUUAAAAUCUUCAAUCCUCCAGCCGAAACAUGUUUCACUGUACCCAGACAGCUUUUUCAAUCGGUGAAAAAGCUGUCUGGGUACAGUGAAACAUGUUUCGGCUGGAGGAUUGAAGAUUCCACAUUUUAUAAUUUCUCACAAUUUUGUUUAUAUUUUACUUGUAAGUUUUUACUACUUUAUUUAAUAAAUUUUGUUUUAUAUUUGGAAUCCACCCUCCAUUGUUGCUGCUUAAAGAAGGGUAGUUGCCCCCUUAAAGGCACAGACACCUACACACCAGGAGCCAGGUAUAGGGCUCCACAUCAGGUGAGAAGCCACUUUUUCUGCACUAUUUGACAUUGUACAUUGGGAUUGACCGCACUAGGGGUUCUCCUCUUCCCCUUGUUCUCUCUCUCUCUCUCUCAUGUAUGCAUAAGGAUCUCCAGACGCCUAGAGGACCGAUUGGGUACUGUGUCACCAUAAGCACACGCAGGCCAUUGAGAUCUGAGCCUAUCCUAUAGGGCUCUGCUACAUGUGAGUGAGACCAUAUAGAAUAUUCCCUCACUGCACUUAUUGAAAACGUUAUCUGCACUAUUUCUUGCAUUUACAUUUGUUUCAGAUAUAUCGCUAUGAGUCACGUUUUCCAUACAUAUGUAUGUUAACCCAUAUGGGUGAGUCAACAAAUUUGUAAGCGCUCCAUAUGCACACCAGUGGUGGUUUUUAUCAUUAAUUUCCAAUACUGAGUGUACACCUAAUCUCAUCUGUAAAAGCAGCUUGUAUUCUAGAGCAAAAACUUUUGUUUUGCUUUUACUGAAGAACAUGUCAGACUCAUUAAUAAGGAUAAUUAAGAAUGUGCUUUCUUGUUGCUAUUUUAGUAUUGUUAGCAAUACUAACAGGGUUAUUCACUAAAGGGAGAAUUCAAAGAGAAUUUCAAAUUUAAGGCCAGAGUAGCCAAACACGAUAUAUUCUCCAACUCCGCUAUGCUUCCAGUUCAGCUACUUUGGAGUUAAAUUUGAAGUUCACUUUCAAUUCACUUUUAAUCCUUAUUCUAGCGAAUAACCCUGUGCAUAUUAUUUGUAGAGCUAGUUUUUUUUGUUUGUUUGUUUAAUGUUUAUAUAUACUAGGACAGGGUUGCCCUAAAGGUAGAUCCCCAGAUGUUUUAAAGCUACAACAUCAAUGAUGCUUUGUCAUUCUAAAGGUAUGUAAGGCAUCAUGGGAGUUGUAGUUCUACAACAUUUGGGGUUCUACCUUUUGGGCACCGCUAGUACAUUAUGUUUUCUGCCCAGUCACAUUUCCUUAUUAAUAUACAUUUCCUCUCUUUCCACACAGCCACAUUUCAUUAUUGAUCUAUAUUUCCUCUCUUUCCGCCCAGCCACAUUUUCUUAUUAAAAUAGGCGUGCGCAGCCUAUUGCACUACGGUGUGCACCCUAAAGCACAAACACACGCCGCGUGUAUAUGUAUGUGUGUGUGUGUAUAUAUAUAUAUAUAUAUAUAUAUAUACACACACACACACACACUGCUGUGUGUGUGUGUGUGUGUGUGUGUGUGUGUGUGCUGCAUGAGGGUGGUUUGAGGGUGUUGUGUGUGUAAGGGUGCUGUGUGUGUGUGUGUGUGUGUGUGUGUGUGUGUGUGUAAGGGUGCUGUGUGUGAGGGUGCUGUUAGUGUGAUGUGUGUGUGAGGGUGCUGUUUGUGUGCUGUUUGUGUGCUGUUUGUGUGCUGUGUGUGUUUUUGAGGGUGCUGUUUCUGUGCUGUGUGUGAGAAGGUGCUGUGUGUUUAAGGGUGCUGUAUGUGUGUGGGUGCUGUAUGUGCGAGGGUGCUCUAUGUGUGUGGGUGCUGUGUGUGUGAGGGUGCUGUGUGUGUGUUUUGUGUGUGUGUGCUGUGUGUGUGUGGGUGCUGUAUGUGUGAAGGUGCUGUAUGUGUGAAGGUGAUGUAUGUGUGUCAGGGUGCUGUGUGUGUGUGGGUGCUGUGUGUGUGUGGGUGCUGUAUGUGUGUGUUGUGUGCUGUGUGUGGGUGCUGCAUGUGUGUGCUGUGUGUGAAGGUGCUGUAUGUGUGUGCUAUAUGUGUGUGUGUGGUGUAUGUGUGUAAGGGUGCUGUGUGUGAGAGUGCUGUGUAUGAGGGUGCUAUGUGUGUGUGGGUGCUGUGUGUGAGAGUGCUGUGUAUGAGGGUGCUAUGUGUGUGUGGGUGCUGUAUGUGUGUGAUGUGUGUGUGUGUGCUGUGUGUGUGUGUGCUGUAUGUGUGUGUGUGCUGUAUGUAUGAGGGUGCUGUAUGUGUGUGGGUGCUGUAUGUGUGAGGGUGUUGUAUGUGUGUGGGUGCUGUAUGUGUGUGGGUGCUGUAUGUGUGAAGGUGCUGGAUGUGUGUGUGGGUGAUGUGUGUGUGGGUGAUGUGUGUGUGUGCUGUGUGUGAGGGUGCUGUGUGUGUGUGCUGUGUGGAGGUGCUGUGUGUGUGAAGGUGCUGUAUGUGUGUGCUGUGUGUGUGUGUGUGCUGUGUGUGUGGGUGCUGUAUGUGUGUGGGUGCUGUAUGUAUGAGGGUGCUGUAUGUGUGUGGGUGCUGUAUGUGUGAGGGUGUUGUAUGUGUGUGGGUGCUGUAUGUGUGUGGGUGCUGUAUGUGUGAAGGUGCUGGAUGUGUGUGUGGGUGAUGUGUGUGUGGGUGAUGUGUGUGUGGGUGAUGUGUGUGUGGGUGAUGUGUGUGUGUGCUGUGUGUGAGGGUGCUGUGUGUGUGUGCUGUGUGGAGGUGCUGUGUGUGUGAAGGUGCUGUAUGUGUGUGCUGUGUGUGUGUGUGUGCUGCAUGUGUGUGGGUGCUGUAUGUGUGUGGGUGCUGUAUGUGUGUGCAGGUGCUGUAUGUGUGUGCAGGUGCUGUAUGUGUGUGCGGGUGCUGUAUGUGUGUGCAGGUGCUGUAUGUGUGUGCGGGUGCUGUAUGUGUGUGCGGGGGCGGUAUGUGUGUGAGUGCUGUAUGUGUGUGCUGUGUAUGUGUGUGCUGUGUGUGUGUGUGCUGUAUGUGUGUGUGUGUGCUGUAUGUGUGUGUGCUGUAUGUUUGAGGGUGCUGCAUGUGUGUGGGUGCUGUAUGUGUGUGUGUGCUGUAUGUGUGUGUGGGUGCGGUAUGUGUGCGAGUGCUGUAUGUGUGUGCUGUGUGUGUGUGUUGUAUGUGUGUGUGUGUGUGUGUGUGUGCUGUAUGUGUGUGGGUGCUGUAUGUGUGUGGGUGCUGUAUGUGUGUGGGUCUGGGUGCUGUAUGUGUGUGCUGUAUGUGUGAAGGUGCUGUAUGUGUGUGUUGUAUGUGUGUGUGCGCUGUGUGUAUGUGUGUGCUGUAUGUGUGUGUGUGCUGUGUGUGUGUGUGUGCUGUGUGUCUGUGUGUCUGUGUGUAUGUGUGUGCUGUAUGUGUGUAGGUGCUGUGUGUGUGGGUGCUGUAUGUGUGUGUGUGCUGUAUGUGUGUGGGUGAUUGUGGGGGUGGAAGUUAGGGUACAUUACUUAAUAUUCCCCCUCCCUUCUUACCUUAUGAAGGGAGGGGGGAUUCUUGUUCCUGCUGCUUUCCCUGGUGGUCCAGUGCUCAGAACUCGCGAGAGGAACCCGGCUGAGCUGCUGGUUGAGCUCCCUGGGUCCUCUCCUGCCUCCCUCCAUGCUGCUGUGGGGAGGGAGGCUGAGAGCAGAGCUGGCGCUCGGAUAGCGCCGGCUCUGCAUGAGCCGACAGGGGAGAUCCUGAGAUCUCCCCUGCCGGUCUCACUCCAUAGGUGUGCCGCGGGGAUUAAGGUGUGCCCAGGCACACCCGGCACACCCCAUGCGCACGCCUAUGCUUAUUAAUCUAUAUUUCCUCUCUUUCCGCACAGCCACAUUUCCUGAUUGAUCUAUAUUUCCACUCUUUCCGCCCAGCCACAUUUCCUUAUUAAUCUAUAUUUCCUCUCUUUCCGUCCAGACACAUUUCCUUAUUAAUCUAUAUUUCCUCUACUUCCGCCCAGCCAUAUUUUCUUAUUAAUCCAUAUUUCAUCUUUAUCUACCCAUUCACAUUAAUUAUUAAUCUAUGUUUAUCCUCUAACUACUCAGUAACUCUGCUUCUUCACAUUUCCCUUCUUACCUACAUGUCCUUCUGCAAUUUGCAAUCAGCCUCAGGCACUUUUUCUAAAAUCACAACACCAUAAACCUCUAAUCUUCUGCUACGUUUUACCUUGUGUAUAGUCAAUACUUUUGUUUUGAUUUUUUAUGUAUCAUCUCUGUUUUUUAUACUGUUACCUGAUCUAUUGUACAAUUAGUAUUACUGCCUAUUUAUAUAAAUACUAUUUUAAAUCAUGCUCCACGACCAGAAUGAUAUUAUAUGUAUAACGUAAAAUUGUAUAAUUAAGUUAUACAGCAUCUUUAGAUAAUACAUGCCAACAAGAGUAUAAAAUAAGAACAAUUUCAUACAGUUUGUUAGUAGUUUUGUAUUCAUCCUUACUCACAGCAUUCCCCAAGGACAAUGUCAACGAGUGACUGAUGAUAAUUCUCUGCAGUGGGAAGAGAAGAUUAAACAUUAUCCUUGAAGAAGAGCACUGUUUCAUAAAAACUGUUUCUACCUCCUCAGCACACUUAUAAAUAAAUGGGUUUUAUAGAAAGAUCGUUUUUCUAAUAGUAAUGCAUAUCUGAAAAGCAGAUUUAUUUUGCAUUGCGGAGGCGCAGUUAUGCAAUCAAUGAAUCAUGGAAUAAAGGAGACAAAAGGUAAAAAAAAAAGUUAUAAUUAUAGAGAUUAGAAGCCUUUUCCUUUGUUAUAAAAAGAACGAUAAUGGUCUUUUGUUUUGGAAGUUUUUAGAUUUGCUUCCAUUGUUCUAGGCCAGAACUUCCUAAAUUGUUUUGACAAUGAUGAAAAUGAUCUAUAUGGCAUUAGCUUAGUGACUUAUUUUUCAAAUCAAAACUCAGCACAUUGACCCAUUCUUCAUGUGAAAUACAAUAUGUACUAAAAUUUAUUCUUUUUCCAUUAAACAAUGAGUCUUUGUUGUGUUACAUUUGCCUGUUUUCCAAGAGGAUACAAACUAACUAACCUCUAAGUGAACUACCCCUCUUCUGUUUCUGGUUGGCAUACUACAGACAGAUAGACUGGCAGACAAACAGACUGACAGAAAGACAGAUAGACAGUGUUAAUGCUGAUACUAAUGAAAGUAACCCUGCAAGCACCAUAACAACAUCAUUUGUUGUGGUACCGGGGGUGCCUUUGUUAGGAUGAAAGCCUGUGAAGGCUUCUUGUUUGAAGCCUCAGACUGCAAUGGAAGUUCAAGGACAGUGCUGAACAGUUCCAAACUGAAGAUUUUGGGGUUAAACCAGCGGUUCCCAAACUGUGUGCCGUGGCACCCCAGGGAGUUGUUUUUUUAAAUGUAAAAAAAUUAUAUUUAUUUAUCUACCCUCCAAUCCCACAGACCCACAAUAAUUCUCCCCUAUACACACACACUGCCCCAGUACACACCCUGCUUCCCAUACAUACGCACUGCCCUCCAUACACACACACUGUACUCCUCAGACACACACUGUGCCCCCAUACACACACUGUACUCCUCACACACACUGCCCCAUACACACGCACUGUACCCCUCACACACACUGCCCUCUCAAACACACUCUGCCCCCUCAAUACACACACACAUUACCCCUCAACACACGCAGACUGUAAGCCAUUAAUAAACACACACUGCCCCCGCCCAUCACACAUACACACACUGUACCCUUCAUGCACACUGUAUCCCUCACACACAAACACACUCUGCAACCUUCAAACACACAGACACAAUGCACCCCACACACACAUAUACACACACACACACACUACAUCCUUCACAAACACAAUGCACCCCCGUACACACACUGCACCCCUCACACAAACACACACGCACUACAGCCCUCACACACACUUAACUCCACACACAUUGCACCCCAAACACACACAUGCAUUGCGCCCCUCACACAUGUACACACUACUGCCCUUAUCCCCUACUACAGCCCCUAUCCUGGCAGACAGUUUAAACAGUAUGGCUACUUGCCCUGGGAGGGCACCACAGCACUCCUGGCACCAUAACCACUACAGCAUGCUGUAGUGGUUAUUGUGCAGUGGUUAUUGUGCCGGGAUUGUUUCUUUAAAUAAUCUACCAGUGCUCUUCCCUAGAUUAGGUUCUGGAUCCACCCCUGAGAGGGAAACAUUUCUGCUGAACAGGGGCCCAGUGUAUGCCGCAGAGCUGUAUAUGUAUACAACCUAGAAAUGUUUUUGACUUGGGGCACCUUGGAAAAAUAUUGAAAUAUUAAGUGCGCCGUGAACCUAAAAAGUUUGGGAACAACUGUGUUAAACAUUCAGUAUCAGAUAGUUAGAAAACCCCUAAAUAUCAUUCAGUCUCUAGGGAGUAAACUAGAUGAAUAACGAGCCCUACUUUUUUAUCAUGAAUUUGCAACAAUAUGUUAGCCUAAUAGAUUUUAUCCUUUUAUUCUAAAUUAUACAUUUUGUCUUUAACCCCUUAAGGACACAUGACAGAAAUAUUCCGUCAGGAUUCCCUUUUAUUCCAGAAGUUGUGUCCUUAAAAAUCUAGUUAAAAAUCUAUACAUGAUCCAUUUUCUGUAUCAAAAGUAUGAUAUUAUUAGAGAUGAACUUGUUUGUACUUUGACUAUAUGGGAUUACAUUUUGGAUGCCAUUUGUCAAGUAAAACUAAUGAACCAUCUAGUGAAUAAACCCUGUUGAAAUAGAGUCCAAAACUGUAAUGCAUGUCUAUGUGCUCCAAAUGACCACGAGGCGUGGAUACUAUUUAUAAUUUGUUCUUAGAAUAUUCAUUUCCUAGAAUCCCAGCUGACUUGAACUUUUACAUGCACUGAUAAUAUAACACAAUAUGUGGUUAGCAUAUUGCACAUACCUUCAUAAUCUUGCGAACAUGUGUGUAAUUCAAACCUUGAGUAAUUCAUUAAUAAGAUGUAAGUCUGCACAGCACGAAGCUGCAAUUUAAACAUGUCUUUCAAAGCAGCUCUGUUAAAAGAUGUAUCCAUCUGGCCUCAAAUAUACAGCAAUUUGCAUUAUAAACAAUCUAUUUAUACAACGUUUGGCUUCUCUGCUCCAGUGGAAAAAAAAAAAAAAUGUGAUCACUGUAAUAUCUUUUACUGGAAAAUGACCACAGGAGAAAUACUGAAAAAUGUAAACAGCUCCGAUACAGCAUAAAAGACACACAUAUUAAACAGUUCCCAUAAAAUUUGUAAAACAUGUAAUUUGUUAUAUACAAUGCGGGUUAUUUUGUGAUGUUUAGUAAUUAAAUGUAUCUUUAUACAAUCAGUUCCAAAGAAAGUUUACAAUUAUAUAUUCCUACCUGUAAAAAUACACUGAAUUAAAACAUAUAGUUUGUAUUUUUAGUGUAUGAAUCACACACUUUACGAUGAUUAGUCUAAUUAACUAAUUUAACAAUUAAUUCAUGUUUGAAAGUUAAAGUUUAAACAUAUUGUCAGUGCAUAAAAACUAUAUGACAUGUCCUUACUUUUGUAAUGCAAUUUUAAAAUUUUAAUAAAAACUAGACUUCUUUUUCGUCCCAAUUUAGUCCAGUCAGUGGGUCUUCUGAAAUCCAUAACUGCAAAGUAACAUAUGGACGUAUAACUAAAGAAACAACUCGCACAAUUGACAACAGUGUUUCUGGUUUUCGACCAUGGUGCCAAAACAAGAGAUGAUUGAUGGGGAAAGGAUGAUUGAGGAUUAGGGGAGAGCCACUAAAUAUGAUGAAAAGAGGGGAAAAUAGCAGGAGCAGUAAAAAUAAAUUAUCUAUAUUUAUAUAUUGUAUAGUUAAAUUCAUUUACAAUCUAAUAAAAACUACUGAUGGGAUGGUAAUGAAUACCAUCUUUCCUAACACUAUCCUAACCUAAUCUAGACUAAAAAUGUAGAAGAUGUGCAUGAGUGUACCCAAGGCAUCAUAUGGUGGCACUCCUCGUGAUAAUUCAGUAGGUUAAGUGUAUUUUUAUUGAUCUCUGCUGCAUUUUUCACACUUUUGUGAUUAGAAGGAAGUUGACCUUUAGAAAUCAAGAUGUCAACAAUAAAUACAUAAUGGUAACAUAAUAAAAUUGCAAUCUAGGGUGAAGUUUAUCCUUAAUCAUGCACUUAGAGCGUAUCCAAGAUUAGAUGACCUGUGACAGCCAGUUAUUCGUUAGUACUACCAGGCUACAAUUCUGGUGUAAGUUAGUGCUUUCACUUUGACAAUCCAAAAACCAAUAUGAGUCACAUUAUAACAUGCGUACCUGUCACUUCAAACAUUACUUACUCUGAAUACCAAGAAAGCUAAAUCCCAAGACUCUAGUAAUUGCACUACAUACUUGGAAGUUUUAUUUGCAAGACUAUGUGCAACUAAACUCUCCCCUAAAGUGCAUGGACUUUAUUUUACUCUAGUGAUUUCUCUUUGAUAUUUUACAACUGAACUCCAAGUUACCAAUUGGCCAAAAUGUGAUUUCAACCUUGAGAAUGCAUUCUUUUGCAGACUUCCGUUGUCUAGCACUGAUUUAUUUAUGGAUCUAAGAAUUAAGAGUCUCCCAUCUUCACAGAAGGUGACCCCAUUGCCAAAAGCUGCUCUAUCAUUAUUCGGCCUGAUGUGCAUGGAAUUUAAAGCAGACUUCAAUUACUACCAGUUUUCUACUGCUCCUCGGUGGGAUAAGAAAUUGGGCAAAUCCUAUUCUCAUCAAGUCUGGUAUAAAGCUUUAUUGAACAUGCAUGGCACUUCAAAGUGCAUAACACAUUGGGAAUAGAAUAGAAAUCUACCAGUUGUGGUAUAUUGUCCCCAUACACUUGUAGCAUUUAUAUCCAUCCACUACAAAUCUCUGCUGGAGAUUUAACCUGCAGUCUGACACACCAUAGUUUGGGAAUGUCAUCCCAUUAAACCGUAUAUGCUAUAUGUACAACAGCUGUUCCAGGAUAUUAUACAGCCUUACAGACAGUUACCUGAUAGAUAUCAUACCACCUUUAUUAAAGGGGACAUGAAACAGCUCCUUUUACAUAUUCUAGUGGCUGAGAAAACUAAUAUAAUAAUUUUCCAACCACUACAUUGAUACCUACUGUACAGUGUACCAACAAAUAUGAAGACAUUAUGUAUAGACUCCAGAAUACUAUCCCUACAUUUUUUAAAAAUAUGGUGACCAUGAAAUGAUCUGUAUUCUCAAACAGUAGGAGGACAAUCAACGUGCAAACAAAGUCCCCCACCGUCACUGCUUUUUUUCCAAUGCAAAUUGUAUGUAGGAAGUCACAUGACUACUGAUUAAAGAUGGUUUUGUGACUAUUGCUAUUCUUUUAUUGUAUGAUUGUAUACUGGUUAAAAAUGUAUUUCCUUUUAUACCAAUAAAAACUACAUAUUAAUAAAGAAGCAUUUUUGAAGAAUGCAAAAAUAGAGCAGCAGAAAUAAUAAUCUUGGUUUUACCCUUCUGGAAAUUUCAGCCAACAUUGAGAGAUUGGGUACUUUUCACACAGGAAAGCAAAGAAAAUGAAGUACGCAAAAUGUUCUAUGGAAAGAAAGAAUGAAUAUCAUUUAAAGCCCAUACAACUUGCAGAACUUGUAUUCCUUCUUUAAAAACAUGGUCCUGUUACUGAAGGGAGAAGCACAUGAUAGAGGACACAUGCAUUUCCGGCCAGUAUAGCAUCUUCCAAGCACCUGUUUCUGCAGUUGAGCCAAAAAAAUGCAAAAAAUCUCCACUCAGUGAGCAGCAAACCCUUUUCAAGGUUGAAAAUAUAUCUCAGCAUUGCAAAUUCAAAAUCAAGCUUAUAUAGGUUCUUCUGUGCACAGUUUUCAAUUGACAUUGUUUGAUAUCCGCAAGAGCACAGUAUUUUGUUUAUUUGUUGAACAAAAGGUUAAACAAUGAAGACACAUUUCCACAGCCUUCUUUGCUCGUAUUUACCAGGGGUGCCAAUAUUAGUGGAGGGCACCGCACAAUAAAAAGGUGCUUUGGCUUCUGUGCUACUAGAGCUUUAGUUCAGUUUGAUUCUGUCUGAGUAUAUGAUUCAUAAGGGCUUUGAAUGUAUAUAUGUUAUAGCUAUUGAUUUGACGCUUCAUAAUUUUGGAGACUGAAUUAGAAACUAUUUCUUAAUCAGCUUAUAGCUUGGAGAUUCACUGUGUGAUAAGCAUUGCUGAUAAUUCUGUAUUCAUUUCUAAUGAUUGGUCCUGACUUUGUUUGAAGGACACCGAUCAUUUACCGCCUGGCGUGACCUUUCUGUAUUUGUUUCCGGUAUUUUGCUUGCCCGUUUGAAUUCAUAUUUUGCUGAGAAUCUAUUUGACUAUAUCUAGAAUACUUUAUCUAUUGUACAUCUAUUGAAUCAAAUUCAAACACUUAUGUAUAUGUACUUAUCUGCUGUUGGGUAUUAUGCUUAAACUGCUUCCACAUCACACCACAUGGUUUUUAGCUAAAAAAAAUAAAUUUAAAAAUAAAAAGACUUUGAUUAUACCUAUAUUGUUUAUAUUAUAUACUUGAUUUAUUUACUUGGUCUAUAGCUACAAUAUUUCACUUGUUCUGUUGGUAACAUCUACCAAUCUGUCUUAUAAUAAUUGAGCAGGGCCCUCAGCACCACGUGUUUCUGUGCAUUCACCUAAUGUGAUGGGCAGUAGUCCUCCUUGUCAGAGGAAUGAGGCAGUGGGGGGGUUUGGGUUCUCGCUGUUCCACCCGUUUGGACCAUUUGACGGUGCUUUGCCUUUUCAGUAAAGAGAGUUAUGCAAAUAUGAAGCCUCCUGUCAUAUGGUAAAAAUAAAAAUAUAUAUAAAUAAACGUUCAUUCGUGUUUAGAAUAUAAUAAGUACCACUGAAGCUCACAUUAUUUUAUUUCUUUUUGUGUCCUUCUGCUAACAUUAUUAUUGCUCAAAAAUUAAACUGCGUUCAUUUUGUGUACAUUUAACUUAUUAUACUCCAGUAAUAGUCAUGUUUCCCUUGGACAACUUAAACAUAUUAGAGUAAUGUGCAAUGCUCAUCUGAGAUUAAAAUGGCACACUAAUGACAAUAAGAAAAUAGAAGAGACUCCCCUUUUACCUUUCCAUUUCAAACUACAAUUACUCUUCAUCUAUAGAACAUCAUUUCCUGGUAAUGCUAUUAAGCAAGUCAGAGAAGUGGGAUUACAGUUUUAUAAGCCUCUUUCCAGUUGAUGGUGACAAACUAAUUUAUUUGUAUAGAUGAUGACAUGAAGAAGUAAUUAGUCAAGAAGAUGAAUGCAUUGUAAUAACUUUAUCCUUAAUGAGUACUAACAUUGAUCUGAUAAAAUACAUAAUGACCCACAGUGCAUUUAGAGUUAUUCCAGCUAAAUAAUAUUUUUUGGCUCUAGCUAAACUGAAUUCCAUAAAUAAUGCAAUACAUUUUCAUAAUUAAAAAGAAAGGGAGAACACUAACUUGCAUAAUUGUUUUGAGUUUUAGUUUAUUUAUUUUUUUGUACUAUACAACAAUACCUUUUUUAAGUACAUUUUUGAAAAGUCAUACUUUAGAUAAAUAAAUAAAUAACAUAAAUAUAAAAUAAAAAAUACAGGGCGGAAACCCCCCCUCUCCCCUCCGUGACAGCUGAUAUCAGUGAUCUCUUGUGGAGGCUGCAAGCUGCCCAGAGGCUUGUUAUUGCAUCGCCAUCCAUCGGGCGCUCCCAAUCUUCAAGUAAGACAUCCUUCACUAAGGACUAUGGCAUGGGGGACACUUGCUGGCAAAGACCACACAAUAUAGCUCCAGCCUACAGGGAAACUCCACAGAAAUAUUGCAACUUACAUAGGUCAGUUUAGAGACAACAUCAACGGGGUCUUAGUUCGUCUUCACAAUGCAGAGGUGAAUACUGCUGCUUAUAAGCAACGGAUCUCAAAGCUGGAGCAGGGGCUGCAGUGCUCCUAAGCCCUGACUCAUAAGCGCAUAACCACCAUGGAAGACAGGAGACGUGGGAAGAAUAUCAAAAUGCGUAGCCUACCUGAAACCGUUGAGGCAGCAGAGAUCCUGCACCUCUUUUGCAGAUUACUCACUCACCUCUUUCCUGCCAGCCAAGCCAAGAUAAUGCCUCUUGAUGGGUGGUACCGGAUACCAAAAACAGCCUACAGCAAUCCUGGGAAAAGCAGGUACAUUAUAGUCCACUUCCAACAAACUAAAUACAGAUUGACAUUCAUGGGGGUGAUCCGCAGUUUCCCCUAUGCUUUGAAGAUCACUCUCCAGCCUAUAAUCCCGACUUGUCCAGAGCCACUGUAGACUGGCAUAGGUCCUUGCGGCCACUCACAAAGGAACUUGCAGUUAAUGAGAUGCAAUACAAAUGGGGAACACCACAUUGCUUGUUGAUUGCAUCAAAGUCACAGACGCUUCAGAGAUAGCAUCUACAAUGCAGAAUCUGGGGCUGUCAGCCACCCUCAAUGAGUCGGCCAUUUUCCUGUCCCCGACUAGACUGACAAACUGGGAUCCUGAGAGGAUUUGCCCGUUUGUGCCAGCAUCUCAGAUGGGGGAUCCCUCAUCUAUCUUUACACCUUAAUUGGCCUGCCAGCAGUUGUCUGGCUUUAUGUUUUAUAUCUGUUUGUGUUUAUACUGCCUUUUGGUGCAUGUUUGUAUUAUUGUCUGUGUUCCCAGGUACACUGUCUAAUGCCUUACUACACUUUUUCUUGCAUGCCUAAAAGGGUUACUCACCCUCUACACUCCACCCUCCCCUCCCCAUCUGAUAAUUCUUAGUUCUACUUGAUAAUCUAACCAAGUGGUACUUUACACUGGAUUAUAGAUAAUCUUCUAACUAUCUCUAUAAUUACUGAGGCAUCUAUAGCUACUCUCUUUAGCUACCCUGUAGUAAACAUGGCCUACCUAGAGUUUAAUAUAUGAACAAUCAGCUACGUACAUCUCUGUAAAUAUCAGCUUGCUUUAUUUUAUUAUUUUUAUAUUUUAUUGUUUUAUUAUCAAAAAUGAGCCAGAAGAUCUAAUGCCACAAUACCAUGUUUAUCAAUGAAAAGCUUGUUGUUCCUGUUGUGGCUACAUAGGUUUGUCUGUUCUCUUUUGAACUGAAAAAAAAAAUCAACCAUAACAACCAUACCAAUUUUAGGUAUUCUAUGAGCUUAGUGGGAGAGUUCUGAGGUAUGCAGCAUUUGUACAGCAUUGAGGAAAUCUUACUUGAUCUGAACUUCAGCUGGAACCUAGGCAUAUCACUAAGUAAAAUUGUAAAAAUUGUAAUGUAAAUGACUUUUGAGCUGCUUUGUCCCACACCAACUAUUUUUUCUUUGUUUUCUUUUGGAUCAAAAGAACAAGUUACCCCAUUUGUCAUUGAUGUGAAUAAGUGUAGGUCAAUAUGGGUGCAAACCAUAUUUUAUUAGGAGAAACUAAAACCUUACUGAGGAAGACAGGUCUUUUUAAUACGAUAAACUGCUAGAAACUGCAUCUUUAAAUACAAAUAUCCAUACCAAGUUAUAAAAUGUAGCAUAACAUACCAAGAAGUAAAGAGUGCCACUCAGUCAGAAAGAUAUAAAGCACUAUUGAAGGUGGUCGAUAAAUAUUAACCUACUUGAAAAAGCAAUAUAGUUCUCUGUUUGAUAUAAAAGUGUAAAGGUUUUUUGAAGAUUGGUACUGAAAAUGAGACAGCAAGCUUCUUCUUGGCAAAACUCUUGAUAAAACAUUAUGAACAGUGUGAAAAUAAACCAUCUAUCCCACAAAAAUAUCCGCAGUAAACCAUCGAAGCUUAAUUUACUACUGGUAAAAGAAAACGUGCUUACUUUUAGGUCAGCAAGCACUGAUAGUUGGGUUGCCCUCAAAGAACCCAACAUAAGAAGAUACAUACGCACCGGAUAAAGACAAACCUGGAAUGCUAAGAAUAUAGAAGGAAACACAAUAAUAAACUAUAUUUGAGACAAUAUAAUAUAUAGCUAUAUGUAGAAUAACAAAAAAAGUCUAGGAAUAUGCUUGUUUUCCUUAUUUUAAUAGAGUAGAUCCUUAUGACUAGAUACUUUCUGUGGAAUGGACAGUUUUCAGUGAGACCUAAUUGUCCUCAAUACAUCAGUAUAGGACAUGAAAAUAAACACAUAAUAGAUAGGUCUCUUAUAGUGUAGUAUUUCCAAAUAAGUGAAAAUAUAAAAAACAAGAAAUAAACUGUGGGUAGUGUUUUGAUGCCGAAGGAUGAAGGAGUAAAGUUGCAUGGCUUAGGGAUAAUACAGCAGGUACAGAGUUUAUAAAUAUAGGUUCAUGUAAUACUUUGGAUUCAGUCAAAUAUUUGGUGUCAAAAUGUUUUUAUAAAACAUUUGGGUUUUUACUAAGGACGUAGCACAGGGCUGAUUUUAGGAGGGGCUUUUUAUGCAAGAGGGUCCUAAAAUUUACCCUCGAGCUGUACUGCCUACAAGUGCUCUGGAUCCCACACAAUUUGGAAAGGUAUGUUCCAAACGUACACAUUUAUGGCCAAUCUCAAAAUGCACAUCCAACGUGAUCUAAGUAGCAAUGUGGGUUACAUGUUUGAUAUUUUUAAUUGUUGUAAAUUGAACAUACAUUUGGAACUUAGUAAAUUACCUUGUGUUUCUAAACAAGUUGCUGAAAGAAAUUAAAUGUGAAUACAAUGUGCUAAUUAAAACAUUUAUUUGAACACUUUCUAUUUAUAAAUCGUCAUUAAUUUAUACCAGCAUUUUAUAACAUGUCAUCAUUCUAUUAACACAAUCAAAUUGCUCUUCUUGAGUGAGGUGAUAACCUGUAGUUAAAAAUAUAUUGUGUCUUCAGGAUUUAUGCAAAAUGAUAUUAGCACCUAAUUACACAUUCAGUGUCAUCCGAUCUCUGAUAUCAUUACAGUAUAUUAUCGGAAGCAAACACUAGGUGACAUUUACUAAACUCUGUAAAUAGCAUUGAUCCUCACAUGAAAGAGACAUCAAGGCACCAAGACAUGUUUGUUGCAACAUGUUGGAAGGUUGUUUUUUUGUUUUUGUUUUUUUAAUUCAUUAAUCUUCUUUAGUUUGUUGUUUAACCUCUUAAGGACAAAGUCUAUUUUGAGAUGUGAUGCGUCUGUGGCCAAGGAAUUUUUGGCAAUUGUCCCUUGCAUUCAUUCUAUGACAAUUUCAUCCUUUCUGUUUAAGUGCACACAUCCAUACUAUAUAUUUAUUUUUUUAAACAUAAAAUAGAGCUUUCUUUUGACACUCUACAUGUCUACAUAACACAAUAUUAAAUAGGAAUAAUUAAAAAAAAAAAAAAACAUUUUAAGUAACUUAAAAUAGAUUCACUAAUGAGUCCUGAUUGUUAAAAUGCUCAGUAUGUGUACUAUUUCAAUACAUUUUUAGAAGUUAUAAAAAAAAAAAAUGUUGCAAGCAGUAAAUUGUGGUUUUAAAGCUAAAACUUUGCAAUAUAUGGCAUGUUGAGAUUACAAUUUAUAGCAGUCACAGAAUCCAAACCACUACACAAGACUAUAUAUAUUUGUAGAAAGUGCAUGGCUAUGUAACUAACAUCAUUUUGUCCCUUUUCAUUUACCAUUUUAUCAAAAAUCUAGGUCAAAAUAUCUAAUACCCUGUGCUUUUUUCACAUGUGUUUUAUUUUGGGUAAAUUCACAGAACACACAUGUCUCACUACUGCAAAUACCCCAUGUUUGUAUUCUGUUACUUUCUCAGUUAUAAUGAUACUACACAUGUAUACCUUUUACCAUAAUUUUACCCCUAGCCCAACCCCUAAAUCCUACCCAUAAUCCAACCCUUAAUCCUACACAUAAUCCCACUCCUAAUCCCAGCUCCUAAUCCCACCUCAGAGGGAUUCCAUAUGCUGACAUCAGUACUGGCAUCAGUAGAUGUAUUUCCCAGCUCACACAGUAUAGAGGCAAUCUGAGCAAUCUGUUCUGUGCAGUUGCAGGAGAUCUCCCUCUCAUGCUGCAGCUCCAGGUACUGUGAUUAGUGAUGGACAGCUGGCAAACAGGGGCAUGCAGGGAGACCUCACCAGGGUUUUUGCAGUUUAUGGGGUCUCUUUGAUACUGUGGACACAUUUAAAAUCUCUGCAGCUGAGUGAAUUUGCUCCGCUGCAGUAUUUAAUUUAAUUUAAAGGGCUAUGUGCAGCGCUAACUUAGAUCGCUGCAUACGGCUUAUCUGUCAGCAUGGGGCCACUAUUGGUGUAGUCAAAAUGGUUUGACUACUUGCAAUGGGAUCACCAGGGUCGUCCUGGAACCAUAUUUACUAUAGUUAUUUACAGUGGUUAUGGUUCUUGUAGUGUUCCUUCAAUAUUAGAUCGAAAGUUUUGAUGCAUCAUGAACCGAAGUUAAAAUAAAUAAAUAAAAUAAAUAAGAACUAAGAGAUUUUAAUUUUCUUUUUCUUUUUUGAUCUUUGAUUCUCCAAUACAGAUAUGGAACCUUUCUUGGUUGCAGACAGUCACGCAUUCAGAGCCUCUCAUUUUCUGAUGUCAUAGAUAGAUUUACCUUAAAUAUGUCCCUUUUUCUAGUUCAUUCUUCUAUUUCUAUUGAAGAAAAACAUCUAACACUGUGAAUAAGUGAGCACAUUUGUGGCAACAAGCAUUCUUCAAUAAAGAAAUAUGAUUGACUUCAUAAGCAUUAUUAAAGCAAAAGUGUGCUUUAUGUCAAAUCUUUCCCAAGUUCUACUUUUAGAAGUUAGUUUCCAAUUUUCUUUGCUUUACAAUUUAUGUGCAAUGUUUAAACCAUUUUCUCUGUCAAAAAUGAGAUUGUGACAAAACCUGGCUGCUAUAUUCUUUUAUAGAAAAUACUAUAAGCACAUUAAUCAUUACAGCAUACUUUAAUCAGAACAAGGGGGAUUGCGCUUAAAGAGUAUUUGCACCAUAACCACUACCGUUAGCUGUAGUAUUAUAUAUUAUGGUGCUUAAAGUGCCCAGUUAACACCCUAGAAAUAGAGAGAAGUGUACAGCCUAAAAAUAAAAUGCAAAUAUUAACAUGUUACGGCUUAUUCAAGAGAAAGGUACAUUCAGAGACUCUUGUGACUCAAGCUGACCCACAAAAAUAUAAAUUUUUCCUGUAUGAUUUAGUUGAAAUUCAAGGGAGCUUGAAGUUUCAUUGGCUACGCUGCGUGCCAGGGUCACAGAGGUGACUAGUUAAGAGCCAACCAGGAACUAUGACAAAUAAAUGUAAUUAAAUUAUUUUAUAUUCACUUUGACAGUUAAAUAAUAAUAUUCUUAUUUGUAUUAUUAGAAUGAAACUUCCUUUUUGGAAGAAUGACUUGGCAAUUAUAUUAAACUCAACCGGUCUCAGAGCAAUUUAGGACAGGCAGACCCUGGGUGGGGGGGGGGGCUCCAGGGCACAUCUGGCAUCAUAACCACUACAGUGUGCUAUAGUUGUUAUGGUGCUUUGAGUGUUCCUUUUAAUAUGACAAUGUGCAUUAAAUUCCUAAAAUAUAUUACUAUGUCCAAUGCACUAAAUAGUAAUUUGAUUCAAUUUUGUUUUUCAUUUAAAUGUGUAUAUACAUUAUUUUUUAAUUAUAUUUUUGUGUUUUGCUUUGUUUUGCUUUCAAGGUGCACUCUAAGCAAAAAACAAAUUACAUCUAAAUUCAGUGGCUUUUGGUACAUACACACGUCUUUUCUCAACUCAAAUUUCUGAAAUAACAAUUUACAUUACUAAAGCGUUUCACAAACCGUGGUACACAGUGUGUGUCACGAACGCAUCCUACUCCAAGAGUGCGCGUGAUGUAGUUGUGGUGGUGAGAGGGUUAAAGUUCACUAUUUGUCUGCACUAGACCGGAAAUCAUGACAAAAUCCCCCUUAACACCACCCACACUUAAACAUAAUAAUAUAACUAUUACUAUUUUAACGCUGCCACCAAGACAAUUUAUAAAUGGGGUGCCUUGGUCCCCCAGGUAAAUCAAUAAUAAAACCCACCAAAUAUAACUUAAUACAAUAUUUAAGGAAUUACAGAAAUACUAACUAGUCUCUUCAGGUAACGUGAUUCUUAACCAGACAAAGGCAGAACUUAAUAAAUGAAUGUUUAUUAUGAGCAGAAAAUAGUCACAGUGCAUAUAACAAUAUAUGAUAAACAAAUUAUUUACACCAACAACAGAUAAAAACAAAAAGGAUAAAAUACAGAGGUCCUAAUUACUCACUUAGGUUUUUCAAAGUGCAACUUCUGUCCAGGGGGUCUCUGGCAAGGAAAGAUGGUGACUCAUUCAAAAUUAGAUAUUGGCCCCAAGCAAGUACACAAGCACCCUUCAGGAUCAUUAGAUAUAUACCCUGUGUUUUAUCAAGUCUUGCCCAGGGGUGGAGUUAAGGCGUACCCAUAGAGAUACUAAGUGACUACCUCCUUUGUUCCAGAAAACAACAUGCCAAAUAUAAACUUUUGGUUUUAUCUCCUCUACUGUACUUGCCACAGAAAUAAUAAUUGCCUCUAUGAAUUUGUUAUUAUUUUCCCAUUCCAUAGACGUGUUGCACGCCCCACCCACGAUCCAAUAGGACAGACAGCACAAUUCCUGCCACACGGUUUAAGUUGUGCAACUCAUGUUUAGGCUUAAUUAAGAGAUUGGGCUUAUCCCAUUCCAAAUAUAAUAAAAAUGAGGCUUAAUUAUUAAACUGUGGGUAAGUAUUAAUGUUUCUCUUGGAUAAAAUACUGGAACACAAGGAUCUUCAUGAAACUAAUCCAAUUACCAUAUCAAAUGAUUGAACUAGACUUUACAAGGUACAUGCCAAAUGGAAUGAAUAGACAUUCAGACUUGUUCCAAGUGUAGAACCUCACACCUUGCAGAUCCUUGAUUACUUCACAUCGAUAUAGUAAAAUCCUUUUCACAUUGCUAUGCCAUUCACACUACCCCUUCUGUUAUCUGACCUCUGUGGGGGUCCCAGCUUCAAAAGAUGUAACCCCUUUUGACCUCAACAAUACCAUCUCUGUAAUUUGUGCCAUUUACUACACAAAUUACAUUAAAGGAUAAUAUUCCAUAGGGUAAUAAUAAAUUAUGCACCCUUGCUGUGACCAUGUGUGUAUAUCUAUGUCUAUGUAUUUGAGUGUGUGUCACUGUCUGUAUCUGUAUGUCUGUGUGUCAUUGUUUGUAUUUGUGUAUAUGAAUGUGUGUCGGUGUAUGUGUGCAUCUGUAUUUGUCAGUAUGUGUAUCUGUAUGAUUGUGUGUGUUACUGUGUGUGUCUGUAUGCUUGUGUAUUUGUGUGAGUGUCGUUGUUUGUAUCGGUGUAUAAAUAUGUGUGUCAGUGUUUGUAUCUGUGUUUCUGUAUCUGCAUGUGUGGCAAUGUUUGUAUGUGUGUGUUUGUACAUCUGUAUAUGUGUCAGUGUUUGUAUCUGUGUAUUUGCACGUGUGUCAGUGUUUCCAUCUAUAUGUCUAUGUAUCUGCAUGUGUGGCAGUGUUUGUAUAUGUGUGUCAGUGUAUUUAUCUGAGUAUCUGCAUGUGUGUUAGUGUGAGUAUGAUUUUGUCUGUUUAUGGUAUUUGCUUCCAUGUUUCCAUCUGUGUCUGUGUACCUGCACGUGUAGCAGUGUUUGUAUCUGUGUGUCUGUACAUCUGUAUGUGUUUCAGUGUUUCCACAUGUGUGUCUGUGCAACUCCAUAUGUGUCAGUGUUUGCAUCUGUGUAUCUGCAAGUGUGGUAGUGUGUCUGUGUGUUUAUUUACAAGUGUCAAUGUGUGUAUCUGCAUGUGUCUGUAUCUGUAUGUGAGUCUGUGUUUGUAUCUGUGGAAUUGUAUACUUGUCAGGGUGUGUACAGUUGUAAUCACAAUGAUUAAACCCUCAUUGAAAAUUAGGUUUAUUGGCAAAAUUUGCAGACUUUCAGCUGUUUGCAGUGAACAAAGCAAACAAAAGCAUUCAAAAUAACUCAACACAAUAAAUGCUUCAAGUGGUUUCCCCAAAAUCAACUGAAAAUGCAACUUAUAAUGGAGCCUGGGGCAGAGGAGGACCAGAGAGAACCUGGGGCAGAGAAAAGUGGGAGAUGGGGGAAUAGAAAAUCGUGUAAAUUUGAAAUAGCAUCUAUUUUAAUUACAAACAUUUUGCUAAUAUGUGGGUUACAAUUUAUGUCAGACUGCCAGCCAUUAUAGAGACUUUAUCCUUAAAACGUUGAUUUCAGAAAGUUGUCAUGUUUGGAUUCAUCACACACAGCACGAUGGCAUUGAACAUGUAUAGUGUUUCUAAUAGAGAAGCAUUGGGAAACAGUUCUUCUCAUAGAGAAGUAUUAGAUUGGUGAGCAAAGCAAUUAACACACAUGUCCUGUAGCUCUGCACUUCUUAUCAUAGAGAAGUAACAGAUUGGCAAGCACAAUUAACGCACAUGCACUAUAGCUCUGCAAUGCUUCUCAAAUGGUAGUAUCAGAUUGUCGAGCACAACAAUUAACACAUGCUGUAGUUCUGCUAUGCUUCUCGUAAAGAAGAAAUUAUUCUAUGUAUUUCUUUUUAAUGUUAAAUAAUUCCGUUACUACAAAAAAAAUAUGAUAUCUAGUGGUAUCUCCAACCUGUCUACCUGUCAUCAUUAGUACUGACCUUUCAAAAAAUCUCUCUAAUUGCACUUUUUCCAUCUUGUGAGGACAUAUUUCUUGUAACCACACAAUUGAUGCAUUAGGUUCCACUCUUUUAAAUGAAGAUGGAAAGGUAACUGCUGCAAUGUUAAAAAAAUAUGCUAGCUGCACUGAAGAAUUCCUUACUUAUAUGUAGCUAGACCAAAUUCAUCCUUUUUUAACCAUUUUGUGAAAUUUGACUUUUAACCAAUAUUUUUCUUUGAAGUUUAUGUUGUCUGAUGUUAGAAUAGGGAACUAUGCAUGUUCUUCUGGCACUGAAAACAUUACUGUAGUUUAAAUACAGUUUCUCUUUUGCAGCUGGAUAAAGCAAAACGCUUUAAUUUUUUAUUUUUUUAGCAUUUCAAGAACUUUUGUUAUGUACCAAGUAUUGCUUUUGGCAGUUUACUAUCUUAAAUGUGAAAUGAGCGGCUUCAGAACUUUCUCCAAAAACCUUCUAAGAUGAUAUCUUAUUGCUAAUGUCUUUUAUUAUGGUUGAACGGGGAUUUGGACAUGACUCAAAACUCUCUUCUAAUUUGUAUGGGCAAAAUUUCUUCCUCCAGAGAGAGAAUAGAAUAAAGUUAUGUCUGUCCAUGAGCAAUAUUUAAAGAAAAUACAAGUUUCUCUACAUUUCCAUUAAGUUAACUGCUAAAACUUCACCUUUUAUAUAGGUGAUCACACUUGCUGAUGAUCACAGGCAUUUGAAUAGCAGCACUUGUCUGCUUCUAAGCCUCUUAAUUCCUAUAGAAACAGUAAGGGUGUACUUCGUUAUUCACACUUGCCUUCUCCAUUUUGGCUUUAUUUUUGUUAAAUAACUCAAGACACGGUGUAAUAUGUCAUGUGUUGUUGUUCAUCUGAGGUUGUAUUUACCUAUUUUUAAGACCUUACAAGGAAUAGAUGAUUGUUAUUAUGUCCUGAUAUGUAAAACCAUAGAAUUCAAAGAGAGUGUGCUUUCUUGUUCCCAUUACUGUACGUGUAAAAUAGGAACAAUAUUUGCUGUAGAGCAGUGGUUCCCAACCUGUGUGCCGCGCCGCAAAAUAUUUCCUUGGUGCUAUGAUCAUAUGAUCAUAGUACAGGGAACCAUGCCUCAUUCUAAGACCUGGGGGAAGUCUAACCUGCAGCUCCACCGGGUUCUGCUCUCGCGAGCUCUGAGCAUUGCUGCGGUUACAACGGCAAUGUUCCGAAUCUCGCGAGAGUGAACUCUAUCAGCUCCUGAGGCUGCUAGAGUUAACUCUCACCACUUGGACCACAAGGGCUUCUCCAUGGGACCACCGGGGAUUGCCUUGUACUGUCCCCACUCCCAGGCAAAGGUAAGCAGGAAGGGGGAUAUCAAAAUUAUUAUUUUAUUUUUUUAAUUAAAAAAUAUAUAUAUAUUUAUUAAUCUACCCUCCAACCCCACAGACCCACAAUAAUUCCCCCCUAUACACACACACUGCCCCCCAUGCACACAACCUGCUCCCCCACACAUACAAUACCCCACCACACACACACUGCCCCCAUACACACACAUUGAGCUAAAACCAGUUCUAUUUCAGCUGCUGUCCAUUCUCAGAAUACUCUUGUGACCUGUUUUUUCCUCUCCAUAAGUUUAAAGGGUAAUCCAGACGUUGACCCCUUGCUCACGGUGCCUACAGAGAUAUCAGCUAUGCCUCACUGAUGAUGCCUAACAAGGCUGAAACGAUCAUCUGGGGUUGCUGUAUGUCUCGUGCAGAGAGAACUCGCUUGCAUUUCGGAUCUGGCCUGCCCGUAUGGGUGGGACCAGUCUGAUAUGCUUCAGAUAUGUUCUCUCUGUAAUGGCACAAGAUGAGCUAAAACCAGCUUAAGUUCUGAGUGGUGACCCACCGAAGGGCAGGCUAUUUCAGCUGCUGUCCAUUCUCAGAAUACUCUUGAGACCCGUUUUUUGCUCUCCAUAAGUUUAAAGGGUAAUCCAGACGUGGACCCCUUGCUCACGGUGCCUACGGAGAUAUCAGCUAUGCCUCACUGAUGAUGCCUAACAAGGCUGAAACGAUUGUCUGGGGUUGCUGUAUCUCUCGUGCAAAGAGAAAUUGCUGGCAUUUCGGAUCUGGACUGCCCGUAUGGGUGGGACCAGUCUGAUAUGCUUCAGAUAUGUUCUCUCUGUAAUGGCACAAGAUGAGCUAAAACCAGCUUGAGUUCUGAGCGGGGACCCACCGAAGGGCAGGCUAUUUCAGCUGCUGUCUGUUCUCAGAAUACUCUUGCGACCCGUUUUUUGCUAUGCACACACAUUGCCCUUCAUAUACACACUGUCCCUGUACACACACACACUGGAACCCACACACACUGUACCCCUCACAUACACUGUACCCCUCACACACACUGCCCCCGUACACACACACUGUACCCCUUAAACGCACUGCCCCCAUACACAUGCACUAUACCCCUCACACACACUGCCCCCACACACACACUGUACCCCUCAAUACACACACAAGAUACCCCUCUGUAUACACACACACUGUACCACUAAAAACACACACACUGCCCCCACACACACACACAAUAUACCCAUCACACACAUACUGUACUUCUCACGCACACACUGCACCCUUCAAACACACAGACACAAUGUACCCUUCACACACACGCACUAUAACCUUCCCUUCACAAACACAAUGCACCCCCAUACACACACUGCACCCCUCACACAAACACACACACUUCACCCCUCACACACACUUAACCCCACACACAUUGUGCCCAUUUACACACACACACACCACAGCCCCUAUCCUGCCAGACCCCAGGUAAGUUGUCAAACUGUUUUUAACUGAGUGAUUUUAUCCCAGAUGGAAUAAAUAAAAUACAUUAGAUUCUGCAAACAGGGAAACACUGGUAGCAAUUACUAUGAGAAUUUUUUUAUUCUGUAUUCAUAUAUAGAUCAUAAAUAAUGAGUACAGUAUUGCUUCAAUUACUGUAUUAAAGGGACACUUUGGGCUUUAAUGUAUUUGAUAGUUUUUGACCUCAUAUGCUGUAUUUUUUUGCAUGCUUAAAUCUGUAUAAUUUUUGCAAUAUAAAUAAAUAUUUUGCAGAAAGAAACCUUUCUCCUUAGCCAUGCCCCCUCAAGAUUCCUUAUCAGUGUAUGUACACAGCUUAGAUCACUUAGUACUGUCAGUGAGCUGUGUACAUACCUUUGAUAAGGAAGUAUUUUUCUGGAAUGAGGUGCGUGGCUAAGGAGGCAGGCUUUUGUGCAUCACUCAGCAAAGCAUUUCUUUUUUGAUAAAGAUUUGAGUAUGCAAAAAUGCAGCAUAUUAAUGUGGGUAAAACCUACCAGUUUCGAUUGUUGUGGUGCCCAUAGUGCCCCAUUAAAAAAACGCAUAAAAAAAUUUAAAAAAUACACCAGGAGAUAAAUACUCUCUUCGAAAACCAUGAGUUCGGUCUAUUUAUCAAUUACAUGCCACAAUAACUUUUUUUGCAUAAAUUAAUAAUAUUAGUUAAGUUCAAUCCUCGAGGUGUAUGAAUCUUGCCUCAGGCAUGCAAACUAGUCAAAAAUGUGUCAAGUCAGCCCAAUAAUACAUUUUUUUGCCAGAUUUAUUUGAGGCCUUGGCUGUAUAAAACCUUUGAAGGAAGAUAACAAAAAUGUGGUAUCAAUUUUCUAAAAACUAUUUUAAAUUUUCUAGAAAUCCUAGACACCAUGGGAAUGUUUGAAAUAUUAUGAAAUAUGAUAAGACAUUAUGAUUUUAGGUGGUUGCUUGCUGGUACUUGUCUUCAAUCAAAUAAGACUUCAUCAAUUUAAACAAACUGUAGAGUUCAAGUAAAAGGUUACAUAUUACACAUGACGAGUUAUUUCAGCAACAGACGGGAGAUGACGUUAGGGAAUAAAAUAUUUACAGGUGUCUGUAGAGAAGUAUAUUUAUACUUUCAUCUGUUCACAGUAUGUUCAAGGCAAAUCAUUUGUUGCAUUCUAAGCAACGAUGUCCAGAUCUGUUAUAUGUUUCACUGGUUCUGCUCUACUUCCUUAUGUAUUGAUAUACGGGCUAUUUUUAAAGUCAAACUUUAAGCACAGGUACCAGACAUUUACAUUUAGAUUAUGACUAAUAGGAUUUUGCACAAACUUCUGAUGGAUUUUAGAAUUCCCGAUCCAUUUGUUUUCAUACGAAGAGCAAAUUAGGGACUUAUAUAUUAAAGGACCACUAUAGUGCCAGGAAAACAUACUUGUUUUCCUGGCACUAUAGUGCCCUGAUGGUACCCCCACCCUCAGGGCCCCCCUCCCGCCCGGCUCUGGAAAGGGGAAAGGGGUUAAAACUUACCUUUUUCCAGCGCUGGGCGGGGAGCUCUCUGCCUCCUCUCCUCCUCCGAUCUGCCCCAUCGGCUGAAUGCGCACGCGCGGCAAGAGCUGCGCGCGCAUUCAGCCGGUCACAUAGGAAAGCAUUCUCAAUGCUUUCCUAUGGACGCUGGCGUGCUCUCACUGUGAAAAUCACAGUGAGAAGCACGCAAGCGCCUCUAGUGGCUGUCAAUGAGACAGCCACUAGAGGAUUAGGGGGAAGGCUUAACCCAUUCAUAAACAUAGCAGUUUCUCUGAACCAUUCUCUGAAACUGCUAUGUUUAUAAAAAAAAUGGGUUAACCCUAGAAGGACCAGGCAGCCAGACCAGUUCAUUAAGCUGAAGUGGUCUGGGUGCCUAGAGUGGUCCUUUAAGUAAUUAAAACAGCAAAAUUAUGGAGCUAUCUGCUCAACCACACUCAAAUUGGAUAUGGUUAAAUAGGCAUUGCCACUUAAAGGUACCAAAAAAGGGGAGCUAUCUACUUAACAGCAAUAACGAAUGUUAGAUUUUUGGAUGUUUCUGCAAAUUUUCAAGCAAAUUGUUAAUUGCCAAAUAUUGCCUGACCUAAUUUAGGAAUUACCAAAAUGCAAACAAACCAAAAAUUUUCCCUGUGCGCAUGUCUCACAGGUACUAUUAUUAAGUAUAUUAUACUCUAAAUCCACUAGGUACAAAAUCCUUUGUGUAGUACGUUAAUCCACAGCUGUAGACACAACCAAACCUAUAUAUACUAACUUAAUUGGCUCUGGUAGUUUUAGUGUAGUCUCUCAAUUCUGCCCCUAAGUAAGAAUAGUUUAGAACAGGUUGCUCUUAAUCCCUGGGUCAGGAACCCCAAUUGGGUGCAUAUGAUAAUUUUGUGGGUCCCCUAAGCUUGGAACAGGCACAUCAUAUUUGUUAGAUCUUGGCUACUGCUGACAAUUUUUUUUUAUCGUGGCAGCACUGACACGCUCGGUGCAAUGAAUGUACCUUUAUACAAUGGAAUGGGUCUAAUUUAGGUGUUUUGUAAAAUGUAUUUUGACAUAUAUAUUAAAACUGAAGAAAGGGCUUCCAAGCAAAUGCUAAUGUAAUAUUGAUCAAAAACUUUAAGAACUUACAUUCUAGAUUAACCUCUAAUUGCACUGUAUUUAGAUUCUUCCAGAUCGCCUUUGUUGCCAAUCUUCCGUCAGCCCUAAACAACAAUGUUCAAUUAAUAUGACUAUUAGUUCAGUUUAGUUUUUGGAACCCAGUUAACCAUUAUUAAAUCACCCAUACCUUACUAAAUGGUAUUCACAUUUUUUUUGAAGCCCAGUAAAGUAAACUAGGUGAAAACUGGGUCUACCUUAUCUAUGUUUUAUUUUGGUUUUUGAACUAGAUUUAUGGACUGCAAAGUUGUUAAGUCAAUCAGGUUUAUUCAGUAAUUCACAUUUAACAGAGAAUUAUAAUGUAGGCUAAAAUGGCUGAAAUAAGCUGAGAGAGAGCUGAGUUGGAGAAUUUUUUUCCAGUUUGACUGUUUAUUCAGGGCCGGUGUGUCCAUAAGGCGGCACAGGCGGCUGCCUUAGGGCGCACUGGCUUUGGGGGUGCAAGAUUUCAGUGACCGGCAGGAGGAAAGCACUCCCUCCUGCCAGGCCACCUUCUGGACCCCCGGUGCGGCAGUGUUCUUAUCAGAGGCGGCGAGUGACCUCUAACCUCUCUGCUCUGCUCUCUCGUGCACCAUUUGCUGAUGCCAGGAGCCCGAAUAUGACAACAGCCCGCGAGUAGACAGUGCCACCCACGGCCGCCACCAGAAAUUUUGGGGCCCCUAACUGAGCUCAGGGUCUGGGCCCCCAGAGACCCGCCUCCAAAACCACCCACAGAGACCGCGUCCAAAUCCCACCCACAGGAAUACACACACAGACACAAACACAUUCACUGAUACAAAAGGACACAGAUACACACACACACACACUGAUACAUACUAACAGACACACAUACUGAUUCGCAUAUAGGCAUACAUACUGACACACACAUACUCAGCCAUACACACAUAUACAGACACACAGGCGUACAUAGUGACAGACACAUACUAGCAUAUAUACAGACACACAUGCAUAAGGACAUAUAGACACAGACGCAUUCAUAAUGACAUACAGACAGACAGACAUACAUUCAUACUGGCAUACAGACACUGAUAUCUAUACACACAUACAUACACAGACAUACAUUCAUAAUGACAUACAGACAUACAUUCAUACUGGCAUACAUACAUUCAUACAGACACUGACUUACAUACACUGACAUUCAUACACACAUAAUGACAUACAUACAUACAUACAUACAGACAUAUAUUCAGACAGACAGACAUAUACAUACAUACACACACAUACAUAGACAUACAAACAGACAUAGACAUACAUACAUAGACAGACAUAGACAUACAGCCAGACAGACAUAGACAUACAGACAUGCAUUCAGACAGACAUACAUAGACAUACAGACAGACAUACAUAGACAUACAGACAAACAUACAGACAUGCAUACAGACAGACACACAUAGACAUACAGAUAGACAUACAGACAUGCAUACAAACAGACAUACAUAGACAUACAGACAGACAUACAUACAUGCAUACAGACAGACAUACAUAGACAUACAGAUAGACAGAAAGACAGACAUACAGACAUGCAUACAGACAGACAUACAUAGACAUACAGACAGACACAGGGCUGCCAUCAGAAAUGUUGGGGCCCCUGACACAGCUCAAGGUCUGGGCCCCCCGGUGCCUGCACCUGAGUCCGCCCAAAGUGCUGCCCCCCCCGAAUCCGCCCACAGGGAUGCAGUGUCUGCAGGGCCGGUGCAAGGAUUUUUGCCACCCUAGGCAAAAGUAAAGUUUGCCGCCCCCCCAUGGGACAUCACAAUGCCCCACCCAUAUGAUCUGCCAUGUUAACUAACACCAGUGCUGCAGUGCCGCCGUGUUUACAUUAAAAGGCCUGCAGGGACAGGCUAGACACCAGAACCACUACAUUAAGCUGCAGUGGUUCUCGGGACUAUAGUGUCCCUUUAAUGUGAAGUAAAUUAGAGAUUAGUGCCACGAAUAAUAUACUAGAUUGCCUACUUACAACCAGAUGAGGAUGAUGAUGGGCUCUAGCUGCCGUCUGGCUCCACUGGUCUGGUGUAGAACAGGCUCUCUGGAGGCGGUUUGUAACUGUGGUCACAAAAAUCAAUGUUCUGGGAGAACGGAAGCAGCUCCAUUUUUUUGAGGGCCCUUUACACAGCUCAAGGUCUGGGUCCCAGGGUCCACCUUCAUGUUCCACCAAUGAGUUUGUUCACAGGUAGUGGAGUGUGUCUGUGGGGGAUGUCCUGAUGUGUGAAAGGAAUGCAUUGUGUGAAUCUGUGUUUGUAUGUGUAAGGGCUGCAAGAUGAGUUUGUGUAUGUAUGGGAUGCAGUGUGUGCGUCUGUAAGGGAUGCAUUGAGUGUGUGUAAGGGGUGCAUUGUGUGUUGCUGUGUGUAAGGGAUGCAUUGCUUGUGUACGUGUGUCUGUGUGUAAUGCAUUGUGUGUUUUUCUGUGUGCAAGGGGUGCAUUGUGUGUGAUGGAUGUCAAUCUCUCCCCCUCCCCCCGUCAAUUUCCUUCUCCCCCCCUCUCCCUCCAAUUUCCUUCUUCUCCCCCUCCCUCUCCAAUUUCCUUCUUCUCCCCCUCCCUCUCCAAUUUACUUCUUCCCCCCCUCCAAUUUCCUUCUUUUCCCCCCUUCAAUUUCCUUCUUCUCCCCCUCCCUCUCAUUUCCUUCUCCCCCUCUCCAAUUUCCUUCCUUCUCCCCUCCAAUUUCUUUCCUCUCCCCCAUCCCUCAAAUUUCCUUCCUCUCCCCCCGUCCCUCAAAUUUCCCUCCUCUCCCCCGUCCCUCAAAUUUUCUUCCUCUCCCCCCGUCCCUCAAAUUUCCUUCCUCUCCCUGCCUCAAAUUUCCUUCCUCUCUCCCCCCCCUCAAAUUUCCUUCCUCUCCCCUCCCUCAAAUUUAAUUCCUAUCCCCCUCAGAGUUUCAUUCAUUUCCCCUCCCAUUUCAUUUCCUUUCCCCCCUCCCUCUCCCAUUUCGUUCCUUCCCCCCUCCCCCUCCCAUUUCAUUCAUUUCCCCCCUCCCAUUUCAUUCCUUCCCCCCCUCCUUCCAUUCAUUCAUUCCCCCUCCCAUUUCAUUCAUUCCCCCCUCCCCUCCCAUUUUCAUUCAUUUCCCCCCUCCCAUUUCAUUCAUUUCCCCCUCCCCUCCAUUUCAUUCAUUCCCCCUCCCAUUUCAUUCCUUUCCCCCCCUCCCAUUUCAUUCCCCCCUCAUUUUAUUUCAUUUCCAUUCCUUCCCCCUCCCAUUUCAUUCCUUCCCCAUUUCUUCCCCCUCCCCUUCCAUUUCAUUCAUCCCCCCCUCCAUUUCGUUUCCUUUCCCCCUCCCAUUUCUUCCCCCCUUCCAUUUCAUUCCCCCCCUCCCAUUUUAUUUCAUUCCAUUCCUUCCCCCCCCUCCCAUUUCAUUCCUUCCCACCUCCUCCCUCAAAUUUCAUUCCUCCUCGCCCCCCCCCCGGCGGCGGGCGGCGGGCAGCGGGCGCGCGAGGGAGCACUCUCUGUGUGCUUCCUCUUCAGCUCCCUCGCGCGCCGCUACUGAUGCCGGAACCGGAAGAUCAGUACGGUGCGCGAGGGAGCUGAAGAGGAAGCACACAGAGAGUGCUCCCUCGCGCGCCGGCCGUCAGCAGGGCCAGCCUCUGGGGGGCCCUGAGGUUACCGGCUGCUGGGCCCCCCAGGAGAAGAGGCUGGCCCUGUGGGUACAUACCGGGUCGCAGGGCCCCCUGCGACCCGGUAUGUACCCACUGAAUGUGGGGCCCGGACGACCUGAGCAGUCCGGGCCCCCCAGGACCGCCGGGCCCAUGACAACCGUUGCGGUUGUCAUGCCCUGAUGGCGGCCCUGGACAGACAUACGUAGACAUAUAGACAGAGAUACAGGCAUGCAUACAGACAGACAUACAUAGACAUACAGACAAACAUACAGACAGACAUACAGACAUGCAUACAGACAGACAUACAUAGACAUACAGAUAGACAUACAGACAUGCAUACAGACAGACAUACAUAGACAUACAGACAGACAUACAUAGACAUAUAGACAGAGAUGCAGACAUGCAUACAGACAGACAUACAUAGACAUACAGACAUAGACAUACAGACAGACAUAGACAUGCAGACAGACAGACAUGCAUACAGACAGACAUACAUAGACAUACAGACAUACAGACAUGCAUACCGACAGACAUACAUAGACAUAAAGAUAGACAUACAGACAUGCAGACAUGCAUACAGACAGACAUACAUAGACAUACAGACAGACAUACAGACAUGCAUACAGACAGACAUACAUAGACAUACAGGUAAACAUAGACAUACAGACAUGCAUACAGACAGACAUACAUAGACAUACAGACAGACAUACAGACAGUCAUAGACAUACAGACAGACAUACAGACAUGCAUACAGACAGACAUACAUAGACAUACAGAUAGACAUACAGACAGACAUACAGACAUGCAUACAGACAGACAUACAGACAGACAGACAUAGACAUACAGACAGACAUGCAUAUAGACAGACAUACAGACAUGCAUUCAGAGCUCAUUUCCCAGCCACCCUCCUGUCUCUUACCUUGUCUUUGCAGGAGGGUGGCUGGGGCUGAUUGGACUGGGAGUCGGCUGGCUCUCCCUCUUCACUGCCGGGCGUGCGCUCCUCCCUUGCAGAGUGACCACUUCCUCCCAGUAGCACUUGCUGCGGCGGCAUUUUGUUUAGUUUUUUUAAAGGGGCCCGGUCGCGCUAUGCCACGGCCACAGCGGUGACCGGGUCCCUGCAGAUAUAGGAAAAAAGAGAAAAUCAGCGCUAAAUUGACACACAAAGAGAUAAUGGGAAGGCUGCACUCCUCAAAGGGGAGUCACUUAUAAUCCCCUAAAAAAUAAGAAGAGACAAAAAACAAACAGAAAGAUAAGGGUGCGCCUAAAAUAUAUAAUAAAACAUAUAAAAUGUUUAAGAAUAUUUUCAAAUAUUAUAAAAAAGAUUUUUUGAAUAUAGAAAUAUAAAAAUAUAAAAAUUGUUAGCAGUAGUCCAAAACACUUAUCAUAAGUCCAUAACGAUAGGUUCUACGUGUAGAAACAGGGAUUCUUGAGAUGUAAAAUGGAGUUGAGUCUUCACAGUUAUAUGCUUGAAAUCCAGUGAAGUAUAUGUAAAAAGAAAAACAGAAACAGGACUCAAAUGGCACAGUAUAUAGAUGAAAAUUAAUAUAAUAAAAUAGUGAAGAUAGUCUUACUCACACUUUUCAGAGCUAAAACCUAGCUCUGAUAUUGCGCGCGUGAAGUGGGAUAAUCCCCACUCAUGGAUAUGCAGAGUAGUAUUUGAUUGGCGAAUUUCUAGCUCAGAUUCGGCAUUCGAAUUAGUAUUGUUCGACCCAAAAAAAAAGUAUAAGAAUAUAGUGCUCUCUGUAUAUAAUUAAAAGUUUAAACGAAUAUAAAAUAUAUUACUCACAUUAUAUAGAGCAGGCUUGUACUGCUCGGUGUAAACGCUUGGGUGGUAUAAUCCCCACCUAUGGAUUCUUUAGGCUUUAGAAUAUGCAGUAUAUGUAUAGUCAGGUGAAAAUAAAGAAAAUGGCAAUAAAGUGUUUUAUGCCAAAAUAAUUUCUUUAUUAUAAAGUAGUAAAAUAAUAAUAAUAUCUAAGAUAUAGGGCCCAUCGGGUGGCCCUAAGUGUGUGGGCCACCCGAUGGGCCCCAUCAGCGUGCGCUACACGUGGGGCCCGAGCGGCCAGGCCCCCCAGGGCUGCCGGGCCCAUGAUAACCGUUAUGUUUGUCACCCCCUGAUGGCGGCCCUGCUGCCGCCCGCCGCACUGAAGNNNNNNNNNNNNNNNNNNNNNNNNNNNNNNNNNNNNNNNNNNNNNNNNNNNNNNNNNNNNNNNNNNNNNNNNNNNNNNNNNNNNNNNNNNNNNNNNNNNNCUGAGCACUCUGCUCAGCUCCCUCCCGUGCCACAGAGUGAUGCCAGGAGCCGGAUUAUGACGUCAUAUUCCGGCUCCCAGCCUCACUCUGCGGCGCGCAAGGGAGCUGAGCAGAGUGCUCAGAGGAAGAGCUCCCUCGCCAGCUGCCCGCCCGGCAUGUCAGUUAGCCGCAAGGCUAACAAGGCAUUUGCCCUGGGCAUUUGGGGGUGGCUUUUUUUGCCGCCCCCUGGAAAAUGCCGCCCAAGGCAAAUGCCUUGUUUGCCUCACGGCUAAAAUGCCCCUGAUUGUACCCUAUAGUAACAAUGCAAUGUUUUGUGGACCCAGGACAUACUUGAAAACGAGAGAAAUCUCAAUGUAUCCUUCCUUGUAAAAUAUUUUAUAAAUAAAUAAAUAUGUAAAGUUGGUUUUGUCAUAUAUUAUUCAAGAUUCAAAAAAGAUAUUCACUCAGACCAAAACUGCACUAAAAGCGUUGUUGGAAUAAGCCACCAUGUUUUACGCAGUGUGUGAAAAAAAGUAAAACAUGUAAGUAAAUACAUAUAUUCAAGAGUGUUAACAAAUAUCCAGUUUCAGAUUGCAUCGAGAAAAAAGCUAAUAAAAUAUACAGACUGUAUACAUAGCACUAUAAAUAUGAAUGCAAAGCACGCUCUCACUUACAAGAGGGGAGCAAAUAAAAUUUUUACAUAGUGACAUAGAUAGUCCAAACAUCACUUAUAUUAAUAGUAUCACUGGUGCACCUCAACGGGGUUCCAAUUUCAAAAGAAGAAAAAGUAGGGACAAAAAUUGCAUAGUAUACAUAUACAAAGUAUGCAUAGUAUACAUAAAAAUGUUCACACUAAAAAAAAGUGUCACCAAAUUCCUCCCACUAGAGAGCAUUUAGUUGCACAGUAGCAAACAAACACUCAACCUUCUGUGUUCUUCGUAUGCUGUAUAACACUACUGGGAGGUGUGGCCACAUAUGUUAGGCUGACUAAUCAGCUUCUUCAGAUGUAACAGACAAUAUUGUCGCAGCAGCCAGUAUGGAGUCAAGAUAAGAAAUGAAAACAACAUGCUAAUUAUGAUAUAAAAGUGCACUACAAAAAAGAUGGUAAAAAUCAGGAAAAUGUUCAACUUGAAUGUACGAUAACCACACAGAAUAUAGAAUGUGUAAUCAGGCACAUUUCCAUUAAUAUUGGCUUUAAAUGAUUUCAUAUUUUUGGAUAAGCUAUUGUGAUGAUUUGAUAUUUUUGGAUACAAAUUUUAAUAUUUCUCCAUAUAUAUAUUUUAAAUAUUAAAACUUUUAAAAAGUUUAUUCAAAAAAUAUUACACCAUUUGUAUAGUUUAACCAAAAAUAUUAAACUGAGACGAUAAUGUGUACAGUAAGAAAAUGACAACACAGCAGCCAUUUUUCAAUCCCCUUCAAAAUGCACACAAAAAAAGCAAAAAGUGAAAGAAAAAAAAGAAGCAUCAAAAAAGGAUAAUACAUAAACUGGACCACACAAAUGUACAAUAUUUCUCAACAAAAUUCUAAGAGUAAAAAUGACACAAUAUCUUAGGCCACUAGUGUUCAAACUGUGGCCACCAAUGAUUGCAUCAUUGUUUCAUUCAGAUCCUCAACAUGACCCGCAGGGUGACAUAUACAGUGGUAGAAUGAGUUUAGGUUAUAAGGCAAAAUAUGUGCACAAAGGUGAUGGUAGAAGUCUAUGGGGGUUUUUUGAAGGUAAAAACAGGUGUUCUUCAGAAUCAAAUUGCUAAAUAAAAAGCAAUCCCCAUGGAAACAAAUUGAACAUUUGUCCCAAAUUUAGGACUUUCCUCCAAAAUAGCACCUGUUUUGCCUUGACAAAUAACACGUACAUGUUUUAUCCAAUAUUUUUGUCUUUCUGUUAAUUUGAACAGAAAUCUGUUAAAUUAUAUUACUUCGCCUUAUAUAAAAAAUAUAAAGUGUUUGAUCUGUUUAAAUAUGAUUAUUUAUCUUAGUAAUGUUGAUUACAGUGAGCAGCAUGCAGUGAAGAAGUAGUCCUCGGGUUGCAAAACCUUUUCCAUAUUGGCCUUCAAACAGAAGUAGUUUAAGAAUCCCUGCCUGUACUCCAUUAUACAGCGAUACUACUCUUCAUCCAUCAGGAUAUUUUCAUCCAUAUAUGCACUCCCUUAUUUGUUGUCAUCCAUUUCUGGGUGUAUACAGAGUUCUGCAGAAAUAUGCACAACUUGCUAAGACUGUUGGCACCUUUGUGUUCUCCAUGACACUUUUAAAUUAGAUUUUACAUGACGUUCUGCAGAGAACCUACACGUAUGUGAUAAAGCGCAACAAUGCUUAUAGACUAUAAACAAGUGAGAUGUAAAGAGUAAAAUAGACUCAUUUGAAUUACGUAAAUAUGUUAACCCUCUUUGCUACUGGAGUCCUGCAGCCUAGAUUUAAUUGUAGAAUUAUUAAUGAUCAUAUGAUUGUGAUUGGAAACAGCAACUGGAACAGUUUGUUGGUCAUUGUUUUAUAAUUGCAGCUGCACUAUACGUAAUAAGAUUCUAAAUGCACAAAAAAUAAAUUUUACACAUUUACAACUUCCCUUUCACUCAUUUGGGAUUCUUAAUUCGAAUUUAUAAUUUACAGCUUCCUUUUAUUUUGUGCAUAUUGUUUAAUUUUCUUAUGGUGCAGAUAAUACUAAUACAGAAUGGCAAAUAUCUGUAAUUCUGUAAACUGAUGUAAAAAUGGCCCACUUUUGCACGGUUUUAAAGAGUUACUAUAACCCUUCUGAGAGGCGGGACCUUUCUGGUGUAAUAUGCCUUAUUGGGCACUAUGGAGAAGGUCAUCGUUAUGUACAUAACCACAGAUACUAAUCGUGCAAUAAUUGCAUUUCUUUUCUCAUUGAAACACAAACCUCCCUCUGUGCUUGACAAGCUUUAUCCCAUUUGGAUAUUUGUCACGUAUGCCGAUUUCUGUUGGUGUAUUUUGUAUAAAUUAGGGUCAUUUUGACUGCAACAUUAAUGAAUAACUGGACAGCAGGUGAUGAGCAGAGUGGUUUGCUUAGAACAGUGAGUAAGGAGUUAUAUGACACAUUUUCCUUAAAUGAAGAACAUAAGAUAAAUGGUAACUUUAACUUUCUACAUGAUCAUGCAAGAAUCUUGAGCAAUAAAAGACAAAAUUAUUAGCAUAUGAAAAAAUAGUUUGCACAGUUGGUGUUACAUAAAAAUAUGUUGGGGCUGGGCUGUUUAUUAUAGCUGUAUAUACUUUUAGAAAGUCUGGUGUUAAAGACAUUGUAUAUAAUAAUCAAAAAGAUAGAAUGAAACCAUAUAGGUAGAAAUUUGCAUUGGAGAAGGGGGAGAUAUAUUAUUUGUGGGAAUAUGCUAUAAACCACACGCACUAAAACUGAUGAGAAAAAUUAUCCAUGAAUUGAAAAAGCUGCACAUCUGGUUAAGAAUGUAAUCAUUGGAGAUUUGACCAGACAAUGAUUGGGAUAGAAAGACUAGUAUGGCUAAGUGAAACAGAUUUUUGAACGUGCUAAAUGGCGGUUUAUGUCUCAAUUAGUAGAAGCGCCAAUUAGAAUAAAUGCUUGUGUGGCUAACAGCUGAUAAGGAUGAAAUUUUUUCAAACAUUGAUCUUAGAUUGUACAUGAGAAACGGUGAUGAUAAUAUGUUGUCAUUUGAGAUCAACUCAAAAGAAAAAAAAAUUAUGUUAGAAUUACCAAACCAUCAUUUUUUUUUAAAAAAGGGCAAUUUCAACAGUAAAAAAAUAAAAAUAAAUCCAAAUCUGAAAUAAAAAACGCAUCGGAUAAAUAGAAUAUUGUUAGACAUAUGUUAAAAAGUACACUCCUUAACAUAAUAUCUUCCUACAAUUAUUUGUUAGCUAUAUUGCGUUAAAUACAAAGAUGCAAACAUGACUAUAGAUUGAUUAAACUAGAAAAUUAAAACCGUUUGCCAAAAAUACAAGACCAAGAAUUUCCUGAUAAUGACAAAAAAUCCUAUAUAUGUCAAAAACUAAAUGUUUUGACGAUUUUCCUGGCGCUCUACAUUGAAAUUGGUAGAUACACAAUUAUUUUAAAUUGUACCUGUAAAUCUAUACAUCAGAUAGCCACUCAGAUAGUAUCUCAUGGUGAUAUAAUUAUCUGCUAUCUGAAAAUGUUAGUCAUGUUAUGCAAAUCAUGAGUACAAUAACCACAUUUCUGCUUUGCUAAUUUGUAUUGUUGUUGAAGACAUUCCCAUGCGAUAGUUCUGAUAAUUCUACUAACAUCUCUGUAUUCUUUUGAACAUUUUUUGAACAUGUAUUGUUUAUUUAUUAUUAUUAUUGCUAUUUAUAAAGCGCACACAGAUUCUGCAGCGCUGUUUAUGACUUCUAUGUGUUCUAAUAAAUGGAGACUAUCCUUAGAAUUACACAAAAAUAAGACAAAUUAAGCCAUACUCAGAAAAAAACAGAAAUUUGUUUCCAUAUAGCUGAGCAUUUUGUUCUAGAAAAAAAAGCUAAGAGACAAUUAUCAUUGUGAAUAACAUAACUUAGAAAACUUUUUAAUAAUAUAAGAGCACUGAGAGACUUGAAAAUUAAGCUGAAAUUGUACAAUACAGGGUUACAUUAAAAUCCGUGUUACCUUUUUUAUGUGUCACCUCUUAAAGGGAAAAUUGUGUCACCUUAACCUAAAUUAAAAUGUGCCAAUACUUCAUAUUUUCACAGCAGCAAUCAAAUAUAGGCACCCUCAGGUGCUCCAGAUGUUGUAGUUUACAACCCGUAUCAGAUGCAGUAAGCACUGAAAGUGGACCUGUUAUGAUACUGAUUAUUUUUUUUGUUUUUCUUUUUAUAAUUUUGCAGAUACUUAUAAAUUAUGAAUCGUGCUAAAAGAAAACGUGAAAGUAUUACCAUUUAUGAGUUGAUAUCAAACCUGAUGUGCACACAGGCAUCGGAAUACACAGAAUGCAAACUUAAGGUAAAAUCCAUGUCAACAACUUUCUUAGUACACACUUGUCUCCUUGCACACAAUUGCUAAGAACUGCAGCGAUUUGCAAAAUCACUGCAACUGUAAGACUGCCUCUUUUUUUGCCAGACUCAAUAGAAGGAACUUAUAUUUCUGUUUCUACCCAUCCAAAUAUUUGUAAAGUGUGCACACACACAGGGGCGGACUGACAGGUCGGGCAGAUCGGUCAUGGACCGAGGGCCCGAGUCAGUCAGGGGGCCCGGCAGCACAGUCAUGCUUCUGCUGUGGAGAUCAGAUCAGAGAUCUCCUCAGUGAGAAGUAAGAAAGCGCUGUAAGAAGGUUGCAGGGGCCCAUAAUGACUCUAAGGGCCCCUGCAACCCAUCAGUCUGCAAAUACCCCCCUCCCCAUUCAGUGAGAGACCUGGCAGCGCACCUCUCACUGCCAGGUCUCCUCUCUCUCUCUCUCCCUGCUCCGUGCUCCCUGCUCAGUGCUCCGUGUGAGGAUGGGAGGCGGGGCAGGAAAUGACAUCACACGGAGCACACUUACAGCGUGGAUGGAGGGUGAGAAGGAGCCUGUCUGCCCCACUGCUGCUGGAGGAAGAAAAACAUCACAUUGUACAGGUAAGCAGGCCCAUACACACACUGCCCACCUAUAUACAUACACUGCCCACCUAUAUACAUACACUGCCCACCUAUAUACACACACUGCCCACCCAUAUACACACACUGCCCACCCAUAUAUAUACACUGCCCACACAUAUACACACACUGCCCACUCAUACAUACACUGCCCACCCAUAUACACACACUGCCCACCCAUAUAUAAUGCACUGCCCACCCAUAUACAUACACUACCCACCUGUAUAUAUACACUGCCCUCCCAUAUACACACACUGCCCACCCAUAUAUAUAUACACUGCCCACCUAUAUACAUACACUGCCCACCCAUAUACAUACACUACCCACCUAUAUACAUACACUGCCCACCCAUAUACACACACUGCCCACCUAUAUACACACUGCCCACCUAUAUACAUACACUGCCCACCUAUAUACAUACACUGCCCACCCAUAUACACACACUGCCCACCCAUAUACAUAUACUGCCCACCCAUAUACACACACUGCCCACCCAUAUAUAUUUAUAUAUACAUGCACUGCCAACCCAUAUAUACAUGCACUGCCCACCCAUAUACAUACACUACCCACCUGUAUAUAUACACUGCCCACCCAUAUACACACACUGCCCACCCAUAUAUAUAUACACUGCCCACCUAUAUACAUACACUGCCCACCCAUGUACAUACACUGCCCACCUAUAUACACACACUGCCCACCCAUAUAUACACACUGCCCACCCAUAUACAUACACUGCCCACCGAUAUACAUACACUGCCCAGCCAUAUACACACACUGCCCACCCAUAUACAUACACUGCCCACCCAUAUACAUACACUGCCCACCCAUAUAUAUACACUGCCCACCCAUAUACACACACUGCCCACUCAUACAUACACUGCCCACCCAUAUACACACACUGCCCACCCAUAUAUAUACACACACACACUGCCCCACACACACACACACACACACUGCCCACCCAUAUAUACACAUACACUGCAUACACUGCCCACAUAUAUAUAUAUAUAUAUAUAUAUACACACACACACACACACACUGCAUACACCGCCCGCCCAUAUAUAUACACACACUGCCCACCCAUAUAUUCACAUACUGCCCACCCAUAUAUACACACACACUGCAUACACUGCCCACACAUAUAUACACACAUACAUACACUGCCCCCCAUACACACACUGCCCCCACACACACACCGUACACAUACACACACACUGCCCCCACACUUACACUGCCCCCACACACACCAUGCACAUACAUACAUUGCCCCCACACAUUGCCCCGACACACAUACACUGCCCUGACACCAUACACAUUCACACACUGCCCCCCAUACACAUACACUGCCAACACACACACACAUACACAGUCCCACAUACACACAUACAUUGCCCCACACACCCUACACAUUCACUCACUACACCCCCCCCACACACACACUGAACCUUUCACACACACUGCACCACUCACACACACCACUGCUCCUAUGCCCUACUACAGCCUCAUAUCAUAGCAGACCCCAGGUAAGUUGUCACACUGUUCUCAAACUGUUUGACUACUUACUUUAAAAUUAUUUUUAACAUUUACUUAGUCCUUAAAGGACCACUAUAGGCACCCAGACCACUUCAGCUCAAUGAAGUGGUCUGGGUGCCAGGUCCCUCUAGUUUUAACCCUGCUGCUGAAAACAAAGCAGUUUCAGAGAAACUGCUAUGUUUCACUAAGGGUUAAUCCAGCUUCUGUUGCUGUCUCACUGACAGCUGCUAGAGGUGCUUCUGCGAUUCAUACUGUGAAUGCGUGCGCUGAAUUCGAGAAUGCGAGAAUUCCCCACAGCCGAGGGAGCCCGGCGUAGGAGAAAGGUAAGUGGUUGAAGGGGUUUUAACGCCUUCAGCCCAGCGGGAGGGGGGCACUAUAGUGCUCCUUUAAUAUUUUGUCUUGAAGGCCCCUGGAUCUAAUUUUGUCCGGGGGCCCAGGAGGCUGUCAGUCCAUCCCUGAUCUUGUGUAUUGUAAUAUUUGGCCCCCAGCAGCACCCCCAUUUAUGCAUGUUCAGGUGAGUGCAGCCAACCCCCUCUUGUUUCAUAUAUAUAUAUAUAUGUAUAUAUAUAUAUAUAUAUAUGUUGAUAUCAAAAUACAGUUAGAAUGAAAUUAAAUCUAUAUAUAAGAGACCUCUGAGAGAAUCCAGCAUAUAGUAGCCGGGUGUAAGAUGUUAAUAGGAACAGCAUACAUUCAAGUUGCUGAGAUUGUGUACCAAAACACCUGUACAGAAUAUGCCUACGUCCAGAUGGGAGAUACCACAAAGGGUAGUUGAGAAUGGUAGAGAAAAGAUCCUGUGUGACUUUCAGAUCCAGACAGACAAGCAAGUACUGGCCAACAAACCUGACAUUAUUGUCACAGACAAUAAAUAGAAGACUGCAGUGGUGGAGAAGGUGGCAAUACCAAGUGACUAUAACAUCAGGGAAAAGGAACUUGAAAAGAUGGACAAAUACCAAGGACUGAAGAGCUAGAAAGGAUGUGAAAAGUGAAGGGAGUAGUAGUCCCAGUUGUGAUGGUAGCACUUGGGGCUGUGACCCCCAAUUUGGGGGAGUGGCUUCAACAUAUUCCAGGUGGGACAUCUGAGUUAGCUGUCUGUAGUUCUAGGAACAUACUGUGCAGAACCCUCUGCCGCCCAGCCCUCUGGUAGAGGACCAGAGAAUGAGGACUUUAUAUACCACCCAGGAGGUGAGAAAACAAAUUUAAAUCUAUAUAUAUAAAUAAGCAUGAUAUAUUUAAAUUAUAUGUGUAUAUUUAUGUAAUCUUUUUACAUAAUUAAGUGAUUUUAUUAAUUAUAAUUUGAGGUACCUGUCGGACAACCCAGGCAGAAAGUCCAGAGACUUUAAAUUGCAAGCUCUAUAUUUCACCCUGUAACUUUCCCAAACACUAUAAAUCAGAGGUACUGUUGUACUUGGAAGACAAUGCUGAACACAAAUAUGAGUUUUUUAAAACAGUAAAACGUAUCACAAUGAUGACAUGAAAAUGCAAAAAACAAAUAUGAACGCAAUCUUUGGCUAGGAUUUGUGUCUAAGUGGCUACUAAAAAUUAUUGGACAUACCCCAUACAGCUUAUAUAUUCAAAUGGCCAUUGGAAUAAAACUAAAGAGCCUCCAUUUUGUUUAAAUGUACAUGGGGAUUUAGGCCAGAGCGCAGGUAACGAUCUUUUUGUUUUUACUAUGUAUUUUAAGCUGUUGGAUGCUAAGCUACUGCUGCUCUAAGCGCGGUGCUUUAUCUUUGUGUUUAAAUAGUAUGCUAUGUUGGGUUAAAUUUCAUUCCUGGGUUGUCAUAUAGUCUCAAAGGCAACAUAGCCAAUAUGGAAAAUUUCAACGUGUAAAAACUGAAAAGGGGAAAUUCCUAUAUUUCACCCUGUUUCCAAAACCCAAUAAAACCAAUACAUGGGGGUAUUGUUGUACUCAUGAGACAUCACUAAACAAAAAUGUGUAUUUUAUUGCAGUAAGAGCAACAAACAAAACAAAAAAAAACAGUAUUAUGAUAUUGGCAGUUAAAAUGCAAUGCAGAACUAAGAAAAUAACACAAUUUCUUGAUUUCUCACACAUUUUUAGAUUUUAUUCAUAUAAAAUUAAGUUGCAUACAUAAAAAUAUGGUGUGAAAUGAAAGUCCUGUUUCUCCCAAACAAAAUGAUGUAUAAUAAGUGUAGGUGCACUUAACAUGAAAGAGGUACAUUAUGGUUGAACAGACAUAUAGUCAAAUUCCAGGUUUCAAAUUCAGAACAUGUACAACUGCCUCCGUCCUUAAGGGGUUAGCACCAGAAAAAAUAUUAUUUAAAAACAACACUCAAACAGUAAUAUCCAUUCAGAAGGUUCAAAGUUAUAUACAAAUUGAAUGGUCAUUCACAUGUUUAUAUAUAGAUAUGCAAGGCUGAAGGCUGUCACUUAGGGACAAUUAGUCUGUACUAACAGAUUUAUUCAAUAAAUUGUGAAUUUUAAAAAUAAUUUUGGGUAACUGACUUGGGGCAACAUGGCCUCAAUUCGGACUUGAGUGUGCAUCAACUCCUUAUCAAAUUGUUAUGGAAUGAAUACUUAGAGUUCUCCCAAGUUGACAUCACUGGGCACUUGGCUCAGAAGCUUUGCUAUUGCUACCAAGUCCACAGUGAACAUUUCACAUGCUGAGAAACAUUUUAGAAGGAAAGAUCUGUAGAACCCCACUUAGUCUAGCUGGCAAGCUAAGGCUACGCAUAUUUUGGUAAACACCCAAGGUGAUCAUUUUCUGGAUUUGACCCAAGAAUUACCACAUCUUCUGUUUAGGUUAACAGAGUCUAUAGCAUAUGAAGUAUUAUGAUUGCUGGACUAAAACAAAGGCUUUGCAAUUGGGGUUGGAGCAAUUUUAAAGGAACACUCCAAACACCAUAGACACUACAGUAAAUUGUCAUGGUUAUGUUGACAGGAGUGCCCUGGCUCCCCCCACAUUCCUAUCCUAAUGUGUUUUACACUCCACCUCCUAUAGACUGAAAGCUCGUUUGAGCAGGGUCCUCUUCAACCUAUCGUUCCUGUAAGUUUUUUUGUAAUUGUCCUAUUUAUAGUUAAAUCCCCCCUCUCAUAAUAUUGUAAAGCGUUAUAGAAUAUGUUGGUGCUACAUAAAUGGAAACAAUAAUAAAAAUGUAAUGGUUUGACUACUUACCUGGGAUCCAGAGGGCAUUGCACUCCACCUCCAUUACACCUGAGCUGGAGUCACCACCAGCUCUCCUGACCGAAGCUUACUGCUCUUUGAAGGCUGGUGUGGAGGCAUGGAACAGGAAGUCAAACAAUUCUACAAUGGUUUGACUUUACACACUGGGGGUGUGGGGCAGGGCACUGUUGCACCAUAAGCACCACAGCAUGCUAUAGUGUUUAUGGUGCUAGGAAUAUUCCUAACAGUCUGAAAUAUAUUUAUUUAAAGUAGUGUAGUGAUACUUACCUAUUUUACUGGAAUCUUAUUUCCUGUGAUAUUUAAUUUGAAAAUUAGAGCAAAAUGUGUUACAUUUUUUUUGCUUUAUACAGUACUAGAAUAUAGUAAGGAGUACGCGCUGUAGUAAAAUAUAUAAAAAAUGAACUUUUUUCUUAUAAUAAUCGAAUUUCCCUGUUACAAUAAAAACUGCAAGUCAGCAGUUGUAGAGUUAGGGGCCGGUGUUUCUUUUCUUGAUUUUUCUCCGUGCAUAAACAAGUGAAAUAUAUGCGAUUAACAUAGCAGGGAAUAAAUCAAUUUCACAAGUUUAAUGAUUAUGAUAGUCUUGGAAAAUCUUUGUUCAGAAAUUCUUUGUGAGACUGUGUAACACUGAAAACACAUCUGUUAUCACAUACAUGUAAAACAAAAUCAUGUACGAGGGAACUGGAUUGUGCCACAACAACAUUAUAUCAUUAAUAAAGUACAUGAGUAGGCCAAAUACAUAAACAGGUAUGUAAAUAUCGCAAAAUUCCCGUAGGGGGGAACCUCAUGAGGGCGACAAGUCUAAGCAGAUUCCUCGCACGUUCGGUAACUGGCUUCAGGGGUUUAAUAUUUAUGCAAGUAUCCUAGUCCAUCAUUUUCCAGAGAAGGCUAGCUCUCUAUUUGUGUAUCUGAAUUUCAUCUGGGGGGCUUAUAAGAUUUAUGGGGGUCAAUGCUGGUUUCGCUACGACCAACAAUUUAGGCAAAAAAUGGCAGCAUGCCUGGAUAUGGAUUUCAGCAUGCAGGAUAGUAGCCUAUGCCUACUUCUGAUGACGCUGUGUAGGCCAUCUCUAUUUCCCGGGCCUGCCGGCGUGCACAGUGGCGGGCCACAAGAGAGGAGUCUGCUGGCUGUUCAAUGAAAGCCAGUGUAAAUGGUUCAGUUCCUGUCGUUUCUGACAUGAAUGCUCUCAUUGUCGAGGAGCGCACCCCGCUAUGCGCUGCUUUAAAAAGGGGAGACAAGCCACGGGGAAGGGAGCCGGCAGGGACGACAUACCUAGAAGUGAGGACUCCAGUGAGCGUCACAAGGAUGUGACCAUGGCUCGACCGGAAUCCCAAUAGACGUGCCGCAGCGGUUCUGUUAGGGGGAUUUUUGAAGGGGUUUUGGAUUCCAUUUGUCUUGUCUGAGUCCUUUUGUUUUGUGGAAAACUUAAAAUCAGUCCGCGGGAUGGAGGAUAGGUUACAGGACAAAUUGGAUAGGGAGAUUAGAC